AAGAACCAAAACAACUUUUCCAGCAAAGAAAAAGUUAGCCCAGAAAACCUAAAAAAAAAGAAAAAAAAGAGGCAAAACAGAGAGUUUUAGGAAUUUUUCUUUAACAAAGGUGGUUGCCCCUCUCUUGUUUAGCCAAUGAUUUUUAUUUUUAUUUUCAGAAGCAACAACCCUUGGAUUCAUGUCAAUUUCUUGGAAUGACUGGAUCAUUGAAAUGGCAAUUAUACAUAUAUUCCAGAAUUUUUUGGUAAUAUUUUUUUUUGGUGAGGGUGGAGAGGAGGAUCUGGUGACUGGUGGGGUGAAGGAAUGGUUGCGGUUGGAGUGGAGAGGAAAAUCUGAUGGCUGGUAGGGUGGAAUAGUAGUAGGGGUUGGGGUUGGGGUGGGUGUGAGUGGAGAAGGAAACUGGGUCGGGUGGGGUGAAGAAGACGACGGGGGCUGGGGUAAUUAUUUUUUUCCUAUUAUUUGAGUUUAAAGUGACAUAUGUCAUCAAAUUUGUGGCUUUUUUUUUCUACUCAAAAGUCAUUAUUUGAUUUUUUUUUGUGUGUGUGCGCGCGUGCGUGUGUGUGUGUGAGAGAGAGAGAGAGAGAGUGAGUGAGUGAGUGUGCGCGCGUGCGUGUGUGUGUGUGUUACGUGUCUUUAUUUGAUUCGUCACUUUGACACAUUAUCAACAAGUGUAUUAUAUACACUUGUAUAUUUGGGUGAUUGUAAAAAAAGUGUCAAAAUGACAUAAUAUAGAGAAGUUUAUCUAUUCUUUUUCUUGCAUUUUAAUUUUUUAAAAUUUAAUUAUGGAUAGUCAAAUAACUAUAUUUGAUGUGUAAACAUUAAUUUACGUCACGUGUAUCCCGUACUAAUUUAUAUAGAAUCAUUAGAAUUAAUAAAUAAUUUACUAAUAGAACAAAGUUUUAUAAUUAAGGGAGAAGGGUCAAAUAUGCCCCUAAACUAUUUGAAAAGGUUUAGAUAUACCCUCCGUUUAAAGAUUGGUCCAUUUAUACCCUCGCCGUCUAACUUUUUGUCUACAUAUGCCCUUUUGAGCGUUAGUUGGUCAACUCGGAAUAUCCAACUCAUUUUACUUUUAUUUAAAUGCCAAAUGGAUUUUUCACGUCAUUUUUAUUAUUAUCACUUGACAUUUAUAUUCAAGAGAAAAGGGUCAAAUAUGCCCCUAAACUAUCAAAAGGUCUAGAUAUACCCCCGUUUAAAGUUUGGUCAAUUUAUACCCUCGCGUCCAAACUUUUGGUCUAUAUAUGCCCUUAUGGAUGUUAGUUGGUCAAUUCGAGAUAUCCAACUCAUUUUACUUUUAUUUAAAUGUCAAAUGGAUUUUCCACAUCAUUUUUAUAUAUUAUUACUUGACAUUUAUAUUAAAAGAGAAAGGGGUCUGUUAUGCCCCUAACUAUCCGACCUAAUUUUAAAACACAUAUAUGACCCGUCUUUUAAGUAAUCUAUACAACCUAACCCUUUUUUUUAAAUGCCCUAUAUGGGUCGGAUUAGGGCAUAAUUGAACCAUUUAAAUGGCGAACACUAUCAUGCUCUGAUUGGAACUGCCGAGGAAUCAAUGGCACGACAACUAAGGGAAAAGGAAGUCGAGGUUUGAAGAGCGUUUAGGCGCAACUCAGAGUUGGAAGCACAAAUCUGGCAGGCAAGGGCUAGAGCAGAGGAAUUCACCGCAACAACGUUACAGACACAACUGCAAGCUGCAGCAGGCGAUGAUGACGUAAAUAACAAAAUAAUUCACACAUAUAUGAGUCGGAUUAGGGGCAUAAUUAAACCAUUUAAAAGACGGUCGUAUAUGUGUUUUAAAAUUGGGUCGGAUAGUUAGGGCAUAAGUGACCCCUUUCUCUUUUAAUAUAAAUGUCAAGUGAUAAUAUAUAUAAAUGAUGUGAAAUCCCAUUUGGCAUUUAAAGAAAAGUAAAUUGAGUUGGAUAUUUUGAGUUGACCAACUAACACCCAUAAGGGCAUAUGUAGACCAAAAGUUGGACGCGAGGGUAUAAAUGGACCAAACUUUAAACGGGGGUAUAUCUAGACCUUUCGAAUAGUUUAGGGGCAUAUUUGACCCUUUUCCCUUGAAUAUAAAUGUCAAGGGAUAAUACAUAAAAGUGACGUGGAAUAUCCAUUUGGCAUUUAAAUAAAAGUAAAAUUAGUUGGAUAUUUCGAGUUGACCAAUUAACGCCCAAAAAGGCAUAUAUAGACCAAAAGUUGGACGGCGAGGGUAUAAAUGGACCAAACUUUAAACGGAGGGUAUAUCUAAACCUUUUCAAAUAGUUUAGGGGCAUAUUUGAACCUUUUCCCUAUAAUUAAUAAAAAUUUCAUUUUGAUCUAUGAAAGUAUCUUUGCUGAAAAAUAUUUUUCUAGCCUGAAGUUUUAGUUAGAGAACUGAUUGGUUAAAGGCUAUAGGUGGCAAGAAAAUUAAAAAUAAAUAGGCUAAGAAAUCACGUAAAUAUCCAGCAAAAUACAUGCAACAAGGAAUAAAAAUAACAAAAUAUAAAGAUAAUAACAAUGACCUACAUACUUGAUAACAAUUAAUAUGUUCUCUAUACAAAAAAGAAGAUAAAAAUUAAAAAUUAGAAGUAACUAAUUAUUCAAAAUUAUUACUGAUACGCCAAUUUCUUCUUCUACUAUCCAAAUCAAUUUCCAUUAAAAAAUAAAUUACUACAAAUUGAGUUUUGGAUUGAAACCCCAUCACAUAUCCAUAUAUGUGAGUUUUUAAUAGGUUAACAUUAAUAAUAAACUAUAAAUAUGUCAAAUCACUUUAUUUGAACUAACUUUUUAGUUUCUCAAAACUUGUUACACUUCCAAAAAAUGUGCAUAAGCAGAAAUAUAUAUUGUAGAUCAUUUAAUGAUAAUAAAUCAAAUAUUGUAAAAUAACAACGAAUGUGGAAGUUUGUUAAAAAUAAUUAAUAGAUGAAAAGAAGAAAAAAAUUAAAAUAAUUAGUAGUAAUAAUUUAGAUAAUUCAUAUUGUUAUAAAUGAAGUAUUUUAGAGGCAACUCAUAUGUGUAAGUUAUAUUACGUAUACAUAUAAUAGGUGAAAAAAUAAAAUUGACUGAUUAAAAAAGAUAUUGUUCAACUUUUCAUUUAUGUAAGAAGUUACUUACAAAAGUACGUAAUGACAGAAUAAAUUAGUUUCACACACAUAUGGGGAGAAUUGAAUGUGGAGGGUUAAAACAUAAUUGUUGAGUUUUUAACAUACUAGCUAUUUGUGUUAUUUAAACAUUACUAUUUGAUUUGAUUUGAUUUUAAUUCAAUGAAGGACCGGAAAUUUUGACCAGUAGUAAACUUGCAUUCAGCCUUCAAGUAAUUAAAAUAUGAUUGUAUAAUAUUUAAUUAAAUAUUUUAUGAUAUAUUUAAAUUUAUCUCAAUGAUGAUCUUGUAAUUCGAUGUUGAUGAUAUGAUUAAAUAUAUAAUAACUAAUUAAAUCUUUAAAAAAGGGUAAAAAUAUCUUGCAACUUUCCCUUGACAUUAUCUCGAAUUCUUGGCUAACAUGGUGAUUUAAUAUAAGUUUUUCUUUACAUAUUAUUACAGUCGUUUACUUUUAUGAACCAUUUUUUAUUCUCGCUCAACUUGCAUUUUUCUAAGGGCAUCAUGGAUAAAUCACCAUUCAGCUUCUUAUAAAUAAUGUUAGGAUGGACAGAUUCAUUCUAAGAAUUUUUAGAAAAAUGAUAGAACAAAGUCUCGACUCGUAAGUUCUUCGAUUAUACUAUCACAACCCUAGUAGCCAAGAGUUGAUAUUUCGUUCUAACUUAAGAUUCUUAUGUUUUUUAGUGCAAGAAAAUCAUGAAUUGAGGGUUUUUAUGUCGACUCUUUGAUCUUACAAAAGAAAGGUUUUUUUUAUUCCAACGAUUUCAGUAAGUAUCAUUGGCACAAAUCCAUUUUAUUAAGUAAUUUAUUGAUAUUUUUUUUCAUCGUUAAAAUCUCAUUCUAGCCUAAGAUUCUUGUGGUUCUUGAGUGCAUGAGAAACAAGAACAGAAGGUUUUUCUCGAUUCGCUGAUUGAAAAAUUAGACAGUGAUUUUCAUUUCUAAUGAUUUUAGUAAGUACUAGUCUUGGACACGUGCAACACACGUCUAUCCUAUAUUAAUUUAUAUAAAAUUAUUAUAACUAAUGAUAAAUGUAUUUUCUAAUAGAACAAAGUUUUACAAUUAAUAGAAAUUUUAUUUUGACCUAUGAAAGUAUCCUUGCAAUGAAAAUAUUUUUCUAAACUGAAGUUUUAGUUAGAGAACUGAUUGGUUAAAGGCUAAAGGUGACAAGAAAAUUAAAAAUAUAAUAUGUUAUCAAUUCACGUUAACAUCCAGCGAAAUGCAUGCAACAAGUAAUAGAAGUAGAAAAAUAUAAAAAUAACAACAAUGACCUACAUACUUGAUAACAAUCCAUAUGUUUUUAUUGAAAAAAUAAGAUACAAAUAAGAAAUUAGAAAUAAUUGAGUUAGUAAAAAUUCUUGUAGGUAUAACAAUUUCUUUUUCCGUUAUUCAAAUCACUCCACCUUAAAAAUAAAUUACUACACUUUGAGUUUUAGAUUGAAAACCAUCGUACAUUCAUAUAUGUGAGUUUUUUUCUAUAAAUUUACAUUAAUGGUAAAUAAUAAAUAUAUCAAAUUAGUUAAUUGUACUUACUUUUUAGUUUUCCAAAGAACCGUUACACUUUCAAAAAGUGUGCAUAUGCCUGUGCAUGUGCAUGUGCAUGUCCAUGUGCAGAAGAAUUUACUAUAAAUUAUUUAAUGAAAAUAAUCAAAUAUUGUGAAAAUAAAAAGGAAUGUGGAAGGUUGUUAAAAACAAUUAUUAGGUUAGAAGAAGAAAAAUUAAAAUAAUUAAUAUCAAUAAUUAGGUAAUUCAUAUGGUUAUAAAUGAAGUUUUUAGAGGCAAAACAGAUGUAUAAGUUACAUUAAAUAUGCUUAUAAUGGGUGAAAAAACAAAAUUGACUCAUUAAAGAAGAAAUUGUGCAACAUGUCAAUAAAUUAGUUUCACAGAUUUAGGGAGAAUUGAAUGUAGAGGGUUAAAAUAUGAUUGUUGAGAUUUCUAUUUACUCAUUAUUUGUUAUUUAAUUUAAUUAUGAUUUAAUGAAGGACCACAAAUUUUGUAAUGUGAUGAAGUUACAUUCAAUCUUUAAGUAAUUAAAAUAUGAUCGUAUAAUAUUUAAUUAAAUAUUUUAUGAUAUUUUGAUUUUUCAUUGUUUAUCGCAAUGGUGAACUUGCAAUCCGACGUUAACGCUAAAAGUUAAUACAAUAUGAUAUGAUUAAAUAAAGUCUUUAAAAAGGGAUAAAAAUGUUGAGUCAAGAACAAAAUAUCAUGUUUGAAUACUUAUUUUUUGAGUUAAACCUUUUUCAAUAUUUUUUACAAAAUGAAGUUAAAGUCAAUUAAUUUUAUUUUUAUUUUUAAAAAGAACUAACAAAAUACUAAGGAUUAUUAUAAGUUAAAUAAAAUUUAUGAAAACAAAGAAAUACAUGUAAUAGAUAAUGUUUGAUAAAAUGACAAUUUUAUUUAUUUUCUACCUCAAAAUGAUGAAUAAAAACAGAUAUGACAAUUUCACCUAUUUUUUUUAAAAAAGUCAUAAAUCUGAACUAAAAAAAAAAUCAUAUUUUGAGCUGAUACUUGUCAUAUUUUUUUAAAAAAUGAAAUUUAUCUACUCAAUCUAGUCGAUUUUUAAAAUUUAUAAAACCAAAUCAAAACAAACGAAAAACAUAAUCGUCGGUUUGAUUACUGACGGUUUGGUUCACUUUUUCUAGUUUUUUUUCCAGUUUGAAUGUAAUAAUUUUUUAGGACAUGUGUAUCUUGAUAGACACAAAUACCUAGUAUAUGAAUAAUCUAUUGAAAAGUUAUUGUUGGUUCAAUUAAGCAUUUAAACAAGGGAUAAUGCCUAAGUACCCCCUCAACCCAUACCCAGAAUCUAGGAGACACACUUAUACUAUACUAAAGUCCUAUUAACCCCCUGAACUUAUUUUAUAAGUAGUUUUCUACUCCUUUUCAGCCUACGUGGCACUAGUUUGAAAAAAAAAUCAACCAUCAUUGGGCAACAAGAUAGUGCCACGUAGGCCGAAAAGGGGUAGAAAAUUAUUUAAAAAAUAAGUUCAGGGGGUAAAAGGACCUUAGUAUAGUAUAAGUGUGUCUCUGAGAUUUCGAGCAUAAGUUGAGGGGGUACUUGUGCAUUAUCCCUUUAAACAAUGCUAAAGUUAUUAAUACACGAAUAAAGUGUUUCAAUUAAGAGAAGGUUUAACUAUCUUAUGAAAUAUAUGGUAGAUAAAGACUAAGGUAAUGAAUUUUGAUGCAGUUAGACUUAUGAUUGUAAUAUAUGGGCUAAAAUUUAUGUGUUGAGCUUGAGCAAAUUGUAAGUUAAAGAGUGAUAUUACUUAAAAUUUAACAAAAUAUUUAUAUUUUAUUUAUGAACAAUAUCUUUAUAAAAUUUAUUGGUUCGAUUUGAUUAUUUUUGUAGUUAUUUUUUAGUAAAAUCAAAGUCAAAUCAAAUAGUAUCGAUUUUUCAAAAUGUAAAAUCAAAUCUAAUCACAUCAAAUCAAAUAUCAUUUUUUAAAAUUGGUUUGAUUCAAAUUGUGAUUUGAUUUCAUUUUUUUAACCAUAACAACGAACAACCCUAAAGGUGAAUUAACAUAUACAACAAUUUCUUUUUUUAUAUAUAUUUUCUAAAAAUGGCACACAUCCCAAGUAAAUAUAAUAUUGAGUUUAUCAUUUAUAUAAUUUUAAAAAAUGAAGUCAAAUUUCAUUUGUCUAUUUGUUUUCUAAAUAAAAUUAUAAAUUAAAAGUAAAAUAAUAUCUUUUUAUUUAAAUUCUGAGUUGAUCCUUUUUAUAUUUAAAAAUAAAGAAGUUGGAAUUACUUAAUUUUAAAAAUAGAAAUAAUAAAAUAUUAAUAAGUAAUAUUUAUAUCAUGAUAAUAAACUUAUGUUCUUAAAUUUGAUCGUAAUUAUCUCUAAUUCUUGGCUAACCUUUUGCUGUUUAAAUAUGAGUUUUGCUUUACAUAUUAUUAGAGUCGUAUAUUUUUAUGAAUCAUUUUUUAUUCUCUCUACAGUUCUCUCUCAACUUGCAUUUUUAUGGAUAUUACAGAUAAAUAACCAUUCAGAUUCUUAUAAAUAAUGUUAGGAUGGGUAGGCUCAUCCUCAUAAUUAAAAAAAAAUGACAGAACAAAGUCAUUUGAUUUUGAUGACACAUCUACUCGAUAUCUCAUUCUAACUUACGAUUCUAAUGGUUUUUGAGUGCAGGAGAAUCAUGAGUUGAAGCUUUUUGUCGACUCUUUGAUCCUUGAAAGGGAAGAUUAUUUUCUUUUCAAAGAUUUUAGUAAGUAUUAUUGGUACAAAUUCAUUUUAUUAAUUAAUUUAUUGAUAUUUUUAGUCAUAGUUAAAAUCUCAUUCUAACCUAAUAUUCUUGUGGUUAUUGAGUACAUGAGAAACAAGAACGGUAGGUUCUUGUCGAUUCGUUGAUCUGAAAAAUGGACGGUGAUUUUCUUUUUUGAUAAUUUUAGUAAGUACUAGUCUUGGACACGUGCAAUGCACGUAUACCAUACUAAUUUAUAUUGAAUCAUUAGAAUUAAUGAUCAGUGUAUUUUCUGAUAGAAUAAAGUUUUAUAUAUAAUUAAUAGAAAUUUCAUUUUGAUCUAUGAAAGUAUUCUUGCAAUGAAAACAUUUUUCUAGCCUAAAGUUUUAGUUAGAGAACUGAUUGUUUAAAGGCUAAAGGUGACAACAAAAUUAAAAAUAAAAUAUGCUUGUAACGACCCGCUGGUCGUUUUGAAAACUAGGACUACUUUGACUCCUUUUGAAUACUUAAAGGGGUAUUUUUAAACUAUUCGAUAACUACGAGUAUCUAGUUGAUGAGAAUUUAUUAAAUAAUUUACAUAGAAAUAGUUAAAAAGGGCAUAUGUAUAAAUACUCCUUAAAAUUUGACUCAUAUAAUUAAAUAUAUUAGUAGGUUAUUUUAGAAUAUUGAAAUAAAAGUUAAAAAAAAACCCUCUUGGAGACGAGCGGAACCAAACUGCUACGACGACAUUGAUUUCCAGGUAAACAAUCCAGAUUCAAUAAUGUUUAUAUAUAAUGAUAUGGUGCACUUGAAGUAAUUUAAUAAAAUAAGUGUUAGAGGUGAUUAAGCCUAUGGUAGUUGCUGGAGUGCAUAUUGUAUUAAACAUCAAAAAGGCAUAGGGUAAAUUGAGGUUAUGAUGCCAAUGAAUUCUUAAACAUUGGACACAUUAUGCAUUUAUAUGUAUAAUUUAUUAAAAAGUUAGGCAAUUGACCGUAUGCACUUGAAGAAAAGAAAGAAUGUGAUUACGACACUACGGUAUUCUUUGGUUCUCUUAAUUGAUUAUUAAUUGUACUUAUUUUAUCAAAUUAAGAUAAUAGUUUUUGAUAUAUUGAGAUAGGCAAUUAAUUAUUAGAUGUAUAUUAUAUGAUUUAACAUUGAAUUCUAGGGUAUUUGGAGAGGUUAAAGUUAAAUUCUUGACUUGAAAUUUAGCAAAUAUGAUAACUUUGACAUACAAAUUUUAUCAAGGCUUGGAGCUAGAUUAGAAAUAUGAGUGAGUUUUAGGGUCUACGAUAGACAUAUAAUGAUUUGAUACAAACUCGCUUACUUACGAAUAAUUGCAUCAUUGGUAGAUCGUGAACGUUCUGAAAUUUUGCGAAAAGGGAAGGAACUACCUUGAGGUUUCAUGGCACGAGUUCGGCACUGAGGUAUGUUAAGACUUUUUAGACUUGUUGAAGGACGUUUUCCCAAUUAAAGAUUAAAAAUGAAAAUAGACAAAGGGGUAAGGGGGAAAAAGUGGUGGUCUCGUAUUAAUGGUGUGACGGGCAUUGGUACGAGUACCGGUGUUAUAAAAAGGAAAAUUUCUAUUAUAGAAUGUGGAUUAAAAUUUGAGAAUGCCAAAUCAUAUGGGCAUUAGCUGAUAUAUUAUUGACUUGAAUUCCUGGUGUGAUUGUGCUUUAUUUAUUUCACCCGUAUAGUUGUGAUAAUUGAGGUGGUUAUGUAUUAUGUUCAUAUUGAUUGAUUGAGAUGCAUCAUCAUCCCCUCUAUUGAAAUAAUAUAUUGCACAUGCGUAGACAUGAGACUGAGUAUAAGUUGGGCACGUGGAGAUCGUCCGUGCUGGGGAUGGUGAGAUGUUAAGAUUGUAAUUUGGGCACGUGGAGACCGUCCGUGCAAAAAUUGUUUGAUAUUAUGAUAGUGCGUUGAGAUCGUCCGCACAGACACAUGGAGAUCGUCCGUGUUGGUAUAUGGACCUCGCGAGUCCCCCAUGGGUCAUGAACUCUCGAUGUAUUUCCGAGGAGUAUCAUGUAUAUACGGUUGAGUGAGUACUGGGUAUUCUGAGACAUAUCAUUACAUGGCAUCAUAUUGCAUUGCAUUUCAUCCCAUCAUUCAUUCUUGAUGACUAUAUGUUUCGUUUGGUGUUUGGAAAAUAUUAAAUGUUGAUUUCCUUUAUUGAUGAAACUUAAAUAGUAAGUGUAAUAUAUAUAUAUAUAUAUAUAUAUAUAUAUAUAUAUAUAUAUAUAUACUUGUACAAUCUAAGAAUUUAUUUUCUUAUAUAACUCCCGUCACUACUUCUUCGUUGUCGGUCAAUGAGACAUACUGAGUACAUGUGGUUUCGUACUCAUACUACACUUGUUGCACUCCUUGUGUUGCAGAUUUGAUUCCAAGUAGGAGCACAUCUCGAGGAGCAGUUUGAGUCCGAGUUUGGAGUGUCUUGGAGUUGUGGUGAGCUACUUGGCUGUUCUGUGGCUCACACCUCCCUCUAUCUUUUACUUAUUCUGUUAUUCAGUAUUCAGACAGGAUAUUCCUUAUGUUAGAUUUGCCUUUUUAGUUUCAGACUUGCAUCGUAUUUUAGAAACUCUUGUACUCAUGACACCAUUUCUUGGGUAGUACUUUUUUUCAGUUUUGUAAUGACCCAAAAGCUCCUCUUUAGUGUUUUGAAUAUUUGUUUAACUUAAGUGAAUUAACUAAUAAUUAAUGGACUAAAGUGUUAAUUUAUUUAAGACCUCAGACUACUUGACCCAUACAAAUUAAAAUAAGUAGUGGGGUUUUGCACUUUUGAGGUAUAAUAUUAUUCUUCAAAGAAAAACUACCCUAAAGUGUGGGUCGUGCAGCAUCCAAAAAAAAAAAUAGGACUACCGUCGGCAAGCAUAAUCUCAAUCAUGUAAGUACCUGCUCAUAACAAAAUUUCGCAUUGCAAUAUACAUGAUUUAAAGCAAUGUCACAUGUAUAUUGAACACAAGUUGGAUAAUGGCUUUGUUUUUUUGUUAGCAUAUAUAGUUGACGGAACGGUAAUUUGUUAAUUGAUUUUAGAGUUGUGGAGAAACUAAACCUUAUCCAUUUUAUAAGUUAAUUAAUGUUUGAUGAGAAAAUCGGAGUGCACCGCCGACCGCCUAUAACACAGUUAUCGUUGGAGUUAUGGACAAUUAAGAGUUAUGGUCAAGAAUUGUAGGUAAAUUGGAAAAGACAAAAAUAGGAUGCUUAUUUGUGUGAUGCUGGCAAGGAUUGCCAUUAUAUAUAAAUAUAAUGUGAGGAUUAAAUGAAGUAAUGAUGAGGUAGUUAAUGAUUAAAUAAUAAUGAGUGAAAUAGAAGCAAAUAUGUAGAUAGUUUAGAUUCUAUUUGUUAUUCUGGAGCAAUUUGUCUAGUUUUAUUUUUAUUUUUAUUAUUUUUUUUGUUAGCAUAUAGUGAUUAAGGUUUUAAUAUAUAGAGAAAGGUAAUUAAAUAUUGGAAGUAUGAUAUUAUGUGGAUAUCAUUCGAAUUUAUAAUAUUGGAAAGUUAAAACUCAGUUCUAGGCUUGGAAUCGGAGAAUAUGAAACUUGACAUAUUAAUCGGAUCAAAACUUAUGAACAUGACUAUAGUUUUGGGUGAAUUUUUAAUUUAGGCUAGAUAUAUAGCAAUAUGGUUGUUGUAGUUUUGAAAGCUUAUUCUGACUAUGUACUUGAAUAGAUUCCAUUGAUUUGGAAGCUCAACGAAAAGGGAAGGCUCAAGUCCAAGAGUAAUUAUUCGAUUGGCUAAGGCAAGUGGAUUUCUAAACUCUUGUUAAGCGUAUGAAAUUCGUGUAUCUUCUUGUGUGGUGUUGAGAACGAUUUGGAGACUUGUUGCUUAUUUGUUAGCGUUGUAUUUCUUGUUGUAAAUUGUGUUUGGUUAUCAAAUGGUUAUCUCCUCCCUUUUCAUUUGAGCAUGUCAUUUGCAUUGUAUCUGAGACAUUGUUGUGGUAAGAGGAUGGUGUACUAUUUUCGAGGGUCGUAUCGCGCGCCGCGACGGAUAUUAUAUUUCAAGGGACGUAUCAUGCGCCGCGAAGGUUACUACUUAUCGAGGUUCGUGUCGUGCGCCGCGACAGAUGCAUGGACAGAUAUGUCCCCCAUGGAUCCCGGACUGAGAGACAGCGGGUGUGUAUCGUUAGGAAAGACAUGCAUCACGAUAUUUGACAUUGCAUCUCAUGGCAUUGCACAUUUUAUUAUUGAUGAACUUGAACAUGUGUUUUGCUGAUCUUGUGAUUGUUUCUCUGUGAAGUCUGUGAUUGUUGAAUAUUGAGUUGUUAUCGAGAAUGUGUAAACUGAUAGAGUGUGGUUAUUGAGUUGUGUGUUUGGUAAACUGUAACCUAUUAGACUGUAGCGUGGAGGUUUAGAUAUGGUGUAAGGAGUGCCCGUAUUUUGUUCACUUAACUUGUGUUUAGAGGUUUGCUUGUUGGGUACCGCGUGGUUUGGUACUCACCCCUUGCUUCUACAAAUUUUUGUAGGAUACGAGCCUGGAUCAUCGUGAUACUUGUCAUUCUUUUCGUUUCCGAGGCAUCUUGUGGAGGAUUGUGAGGUAGCUGCUUGUCAUCUCAGCGAACUUUCCUACUCCAGUUUAUGACUUUGUUUUUACUUGAAAGACAACUUCAUUUAGACUUCUAUUUUAUUCCAAUUCUAAUAUUUACAUUAGAGGCUUGUGCACGUGACAACCUGAUUUUGGGGAUUGGAUUAAUAUGACUUGGUUUCAUAAUAGGAAUUGUUGUUGGAUUGUCAUUUACUUCCGCACCUUGUUAGAUAUUUGGUUUUAAGCUGACUUGUCUUGGUGGGAUAAGACGAGUGCCAUCACACCCAUUUUUGGGUCGUGACAAAAUGGUAUCAGAGCCCCAGGUUCAUAGGUCUCACGUAUCUACAAGCCGAGUCUACGUAGAGUCUCAAGGGUCAGUACGGAGACGUCUGUACUAAUCUUUGAGAGGCUAUAAAGAUUACUAAGAAACUUCCUUUUGUUCAUUGUUUCUCAUCGUGCGUAGUUACCUUCGUUAGUACUGAGUUGUUGUAUACUCUUUUGACAGAUGACGAGGACUAGAACUAAUGUUACUGGUGGUAGAGGGGAGGCACUUCCCGAGGCAGUUGUUGAGGCCCUAGCUAGGGGUAAGGGUAGAUCUCGAGCUAGAGGUCGUGCUAGUAGUACGACAGUAGCCAGAGGUCGUGGACGUGGAGCAGCACCACUGAGAGGUAGUGCUAGAGAGGUCUCUACCGAACCUCAGAUUGAUGACAUAGAGGACCAGGUUCCUCCAGAUCCCGUAGUCACACCUUUGCUUCAGGAUACGCUAUUGAGGGUGUUAAGUGUGCUAGAGGGAUUUUCUCAGGGUGGUGGUGCAACUACCACACCACAUGACUCUCGUACUAGAGAGGGGGCUCAGACCCAAGAGCAGCAACAAGCUCCGGUUAAUCAGGAUGCGGUGGGGCAACUACCAGUAGAUCCCGCGGUUCAGAAUGAUAUUGCACCAGCAGUUGGGGGUCAAGUUGCAUCGAUGGUUGUUCUGACAGAGGAUGAGCAGCGUAGGUAUGAGAGAUUUCGAAAGAUGGACCCACCUCAGUUUCAGGGUGGGAAGAGCGAGGACGCUCAUGAGUUUCUAACUACCUGCCGAGAGUUACUAGAGGUGGUUGGAUUAGCUGAGUCACAUGGGGUUAGAUAUGCUACACUCCAGCUUCGUGGACCAGCGAGAGACUGGUGGAGGACUUAUUCGGGGGUUUUGCCAGUUGGAUCUCCUCCAGUGACUUGGGAGCAGUUUGCUAGUGCAUUCCAAGAUCGUUUUAUCCCAUGGAGCGUGAGAGAGGAGAGUCGCUUGAGGUUUGAGAGUUUAAGACAGGAUGGUUUAUCGGUUACAGAGUAUGAGGCGCGUUUUUGCUAAUUGUCUAGGCAUGCGUUGGCCAUUAUUCCGAAUGAGACAGAGAGGAUCCGCAGAUUUGUGAGGGGAUUGACUUUCUCUAUCAGGUCAGCUGUGUUUCGGGCAUCUAGGGAGGGGGCUUCUUUUCAGUCCAUUGUGAGCGCCGCCAAAGAGGCAGAAUUGAUGGAGAGAGAGGAGUUUGGGGACCCUAAAAGAGCCCGUAUAUCAGGACAGUUUCAUGGUGCCUCAUCUGGAGGUAGGGGAUCACAGAGAGUGAGUGGUUCUUUUCAGCAGCGGGGACCUAUUUAUGCAUCUAUGCCGACAUUUGAGGGUGGCCAGACAUCUAGGGGUUCUUAUAGCCCGGGUCAGAGCUCGUACGGUUCACAGCAGCGACCUACAGGGCGAGGAAAUUAUAGUGGGUUUUCAGGGUCCACACAACAGUUCCCAGGUCAGAGAUUUUGUUUUACUUGUGGAGAUCCCGAUCAUCUAAUGCGGCAGUGUACUUCACAAAGGGGUCGUGGUGGUCCUCGACCUAAUUCUUCAUUCCAGACUAGACCACCAGCACCACAGGGUAGAGGUCGUGGCAUAGUUCAGUCAGGUAGAGGUGAUAGAGUUUUUAGUAGUGGUGUUGCAGCUCAGCAGAGUGGGGGUAGAGGUACCACCCAGGAUGGAGGUGGACGAGGAGGCCACUGCUAUGCUUUCCCCGGGAGACCUGAGGCGGAGACCUCUGAUGCUGUUAUUACAGGUAUCAUCCCAGUAUGCCAUCGACCUGCGUCUGUGUUGUUUGAUCCAGGUUCUACAUUCUCUUAUGUGUCUACGUAUUUUGCUGCUAAAUUUGAUAUGAUAUGUGAUAGUAUGACUGUACCUAUUCGUGUUUCUACACCCGUGGGUAAACCCUUAGUGGUGGACCGAGUGUAUCGCUCCUGUCUUGUUUCUUUGGCUGGGUAUGACACUUGGGUAGACUUAAUCAUUCUGGGGAUGGUGGACUUUGAUGUUAUCUUGGGUAUGGAUUGGCUUUCUCCUUAUCAUGUUGUCCUUGAUUGUAAUGCUAAGACUGUGACUUUAGCUAUGCCUGGUGUUCCGAAGGUUGAGUGGAAGAGUGUUAGUGGUUCUUACCCUAGCAAGGUCAUCUCUUUUAUCCGUGCUCAGAGAUUGGUGGAGAGGGGGUGUUUGUCUUACUUAGCUUUUAUUCGGGAUACUAGCGUUGAACCACCUCCCAUGGAUUCUGUUCCCGUGGUUCAGGAGUUUCCCGAUGUAUUUCCUUCUGAUCUUCCAGUUGUUCCUCCCGAUAGGGAUAUCGAUUUCGCUAUUGAUUUGGAGCCGGGCACUAAGCCUAUUUCUAUCCCUCCAUACCGUAUGGCUCCAGCAGAGUUGAAAGUAUUGAAGGAUCAGUUGUAGGAUUUAUUGAGUAAGGGUUUUAUUCGCCCUAGUGUGUCACCUUGGGGUGCCCCUGUAUUGUUUGUGAAGAAGAAGGAUGGGACUAUGAGAAUGUAUAUUGAUUACAGACAGUUGAACAAAGUAACAGUUAAGAAUAAGUAUCCUCUUCCGCGUAUUGAUGACUUAUUUGAUCAGUUACAGGGAGCAUCAUUGUUCUCUAAGAUUGAUCUGAGGUCUGGGUAUCAUCAGUUGAAGAUUAGGGCAUCAGAUAUCCCUAAGACAGCUUUUCGGACCCGGUAUGGGCAUUAUGAGUUUCUAGUGAUGUCCUUCGGAUUGACUAAUUCCCCUGCAGCAUUCAUGGAGUUGAUGAAUGGGGUGUUUCGACCAUACCUUGAUUCUUUUGUGAUUGUUUUCAUCGAUGACAUCUUGGUUUACUCUAAGACUGAGGAGGACCAUGUCCGACACCUGAGGAUUGUACUUCAGAGAUUGAGAGAAGAGAAGUUGUAUGCCAAGUUCUCAAAGUGUGAGUUCUGGCUUACUUCUGUGACAUUCUUGGGAACGUGGUGUCCAAGGAGGGUAUUAGAGUAGAUCCGACCAAGAUAGAGGCAGUUAGAGGCUGGACGCGACCUACUUCACCUACUGAGAUUAGGAGUUUUGUGGGAUUGGCAGGCUAUUAUCGACGAUUUGUUCAGAGUUUCUCUACUAUUGCAGCUCCAUUGACUAGAUUGACUCGACAGGAUGUGAGUUUUCAGUGGUCUGAUGAGUGUGAGGAGAGCUUUCAAAAGCUCAAGACUUUGUUGAGUUCUGCUCCUGUGUUGACUCUACCUGAGGAAGGUGUAGACUUUACUGUGUAUUGUGAUGCUUCAGGAGUUGGUUUGGGUGGUGUGUUGAUGCAGAAGGGGAAAGUGAUUGCUUAUGCUUCUAGGCAGUUGAAAUCCCAUGAGAAGAACUACCCUACUCAUGAUUUGGAGUUGGCGGCUGUGGUAUUUGUACUUAAGUUAUGGCGUCAUUAUUUGUAUGGAGUGCAGUGUGAGAUCUUCACUGAUCAUCGGAGUCUUCAGUAUAUCUUUAGCCAGAGGGAUUUGAACUUGAGGCAACGAAGAUGGCUUGAGUUGCUGAAGGACUAUGAUGUGACCAUUCUGUAUCAUCUGGGGAAGGCCAAUGUUGUGGCCGAUGCUUUGAGUAGGAAGACUCAUAGCAUGGGGAGUCUUGCAUCUCUUAGUGUUAAGGAGAGACCAUUGGCUAGAGAUGUUCAAUUGUUAGCUAACAGUCUUGUCCGAUUACAGAUCUCAGAGGAGAGUGAUGGGAUGAUUGCUUUUAUUGAGGUUCGAUCUUCUUUAGUCGAGCAGAUUCGUGCACACCAGUUUGAUGACGAAAAAUUAUGUCUCAUUCGAGACAAAGUAUUGAGAGGGGAAGCUAAGGAGGCUGUCCUUGAUUCUGAUGGUGUCUUGAGGAUCGGAGGCAGGGUUUGUGUGCCCAAGACAGGCGAUUUGAUUAGAUUGAUCCUUGAGGAGGCCCAUUGUUCUCGAUAUUCUAUCCAUCCGGGAGCGGCGAAAAUGUAUCAUGAUCUGAGUCAGCAUUACUGGUGGUGUGGGAUGAAGAGAGAUAUUACAGACUUUGUUUUGAGGUGUUUGACUUGCCAGCAGGUCAAGUGUGAGCACCAGCGGCCUGGUGGUGUAUCUCAAAGGAUGCCUAUUCCUACUUGGAAGUGGGAGCGGAUUACUAUGGACUUUGUUGUGGGUUUGCCUACCACAGUGGGUGGUUAUGACUCUAUUUAGGUUGUUGUUGAUAGGCUGACCAAGUCUGCCCACUUCAUCCCGGUUCGGGUAAAGUAUACAGCAGAAAAGUUAGCCGAACUAUACAGUCAGAUUGUGCGACUAUAUGGAGUUCCUAUUUCUAUCAUAUCAGAUCGAGGUUCACUAUUUACUUCUCACUUCUGGAAGGCAUUACAACAUGGUCUGGGUACUCAGUUAGAUAUGAGUACGACAUUUCACCCUCAGACAGAUGGUCAAUCUGAGCGGACCAUUCAGGUAUUGGAAGAUAUGCUUCGAGCGUGUGUAAUCGAUUUUGGUGCAAGAUGGGAUCGACAUUUACCCUUAGCGGAGUUCGCCUAUAAUAACAGUUAUCACUCUAGUAUCCAAAUGGCCCCAUUUGAGGCAUUGUAUGGUAGACGGUGUAGAUCUCCUAUUGGUUGGUUUGAUUCGGACGAGAUGGACUCUUUGGAUACAGACUUGCUUAGAGAUGCUAUGGAGCAAGUCCGUAUGAUUCAGUAUAGAUUAUUGACAGCUCAGAGUCGACAGAAGAGUUAUGCAGAUCGGAGAGUUAGAGCCUUGGUGUUUAUGGAGGGUGAUCAUGUUUGGCUCCGAGUAUCACCCAUGAAGGGUGUAAUGAGGUUUGGAACGAAGGGCAAGCUUAGCCCUAGGUUCAUUGGACCUUUUGAGAUUUUGAGCCGAGUGGGAGAGGUGGCCUAUAAGUUGGCCUUGCCACCUAGUUUGUCGGCAGUUCAUCCUGUUUUCCAUGUCUCUAUGCUUCGGAAGUAUAUUCCGGAUGAAUCUCAUGUGAUUUCACUUGAUUCUGUGGAGUUGGGUCCAGACUUGACAUUUGAAGAGGAGCCUAUAGCUAUUUUGGAUAGGCAGGUUCGAAAGCUUAGAACCAAGGAGAUUGCUUCAGUGAAGGUGCAGUGGAAGCACCGAUCAGUGAGAGAGAUAACUUGGGAGACUAAGUCUGACAUGCGUGCCAGAUAUCCUCAACUUUUUGAAGCUUCAGGUACUUUCUUUUACUCUAUGUUCGAGGACGAACAUGGGUUUUAGUGGUGGAUAAUGUAAUGACCCAAAAGCUCCUCUUUAGUGUUUUGAAUAUUUGUUUAACUUAAGUGAAUUAACUAAUAAUUAAUGGACUAAAGUGUUAAUUUAUUUAAGACCUCAGAUUACUUGACCCAUACAAAUUAAAAUAAGUAGUGGGGUUUUGCACUUUUGAGGUAUAAUAUUAUUCUUCAAAGAAAAACUACCCUAAAGUGUGGGUCGUGCAGCAUCCAAAAAAAAAAAUAGGACUACCGUCGGCAAGCAUAAUCUCAAUCAUGUAAGUACCUGCUCAUAACAAAAUUUCGCAUUGCAAUAUACAUGAUUUAAAGCAAUGUCACAUGUAUAUUGAACACAAGUUGGAUAAUGGCUUUGUUUUUUUGUUAGCAUAUAUAGUUGACGGAACGGUAAUUUGUUAAUUGAUUUUAGAGUUGUGGAGAAACUAAACCUUAUCCAUUUUAUAAGUUAAUUAAUGUUUGAUGAGAAAAUCGGAGUGCACCGCCGACCGCCUAUAACACAGUUAUCGUUGGAGUUAUGGACAAUUAAGAGUUAUGGUCAAGAAUUGUAGGUAAAUUGGAAAAGACAAAAAUAGGAUGCUUAUUUGUGUGAUGCUGGCAAGGAUUGCCAUUAUAUAUAAAUAUAAUGUGAGGAUUAAAUGAAGUAAUGAUGAGGUAGUUAAUGAUUAAAUAAUAAUGAGUGAAAUAGAAGCAAAUAUGUAGAUAGUUUAGAUUCUAUUUGUUAUUCUGGAGCAAUUUGUCUAGUUUUAUUUUUAUUUUUAUUAUUUUUUUUGUUAGCAUAUAGUGAUUAAGGUUUUAAUAUAUAGAGAAAGGUAAUUAAAUAUUGGAAGUAUGAUAUUAUGUGGAUAUCAUUCGAAUUUAUAAUAUUGGAAAGUUAAAACUCAGUUCUAGGCUUGGAAUCGGAGAAUAUGAAACUUGACAUAUUAAUCGGAUCAAAACUUAUGAACAUGACUAUAGUUUUGGGUGAAUUUUUAAUUUAGGCUAGAUAUAUAGCAAUAUGGUUGUUGUAGUUUUGAAAGCUUAUUCUGACUAUGUACUUGAAUAGAUUCCAUUGAUUUGGAAGCUCAACGAAAAGGGAAGGCUCAAGUCCAAGAGUAAUUAUUCGAUUGGCUAAGGCAAGUGGAUUUCUAAACUCUUGUUAAGCGUAUGAAAUUCGUGUAUCUUCUUGUGUGGUGUUGAGAACGAUUUGGAGACUUGUUGCUUAUUUGUUAGCGUUGUAUUUCUUGUUGUAAAUUGUGUUUGGUUAUCAAAUGGUUAUCUCCUCCCUUUUCAUUUGAGCAUGUCAUUUGCAUUGUAUCUGAGACAUUGUUGUGGUAAGAGGAUGGUGUACUAUUUUCGAGGGUCGUAUCGCGCGCCGCGACGGAUAUUAUAUUUCAAGGGACGUAUCAUGCGCCGCGAAGGUUACUACUUAUCGAGGGUCGUGUCGUGCGCCGCGACAGAUGCAUGGACAGAUAUGUCCCCCAUGGAUCCCGGACUGAGAGACAGCGGGUGUGUAUCGUUAGGAAAGACAUGCAUCACGAUAUUUGACAUUGCAUCUCAUGGCAUUGCACAUUUUAUUAUUGAUGAACUUGAACAUGUGUUUUGCUGAUCUUGUGAUUGUUUCUCUGUGAAGUCUGUGAUUGUUGAAUAUUGAGUUGUUAUCGAGAAUGUGUAAACUGAUAGAGUGUGGUUAUUGAGUUGUGUGUUUGGUAAACUGUAACCUAUUAGACUGUAGCGUGGAGGUUUAGAUAUGGUGUAAGGAGUGCCCGUAUUUUGUUCACUUAACUUGUGUUUAGAGGUUUGCUUGUUGGGUACCGCGUGGUUUGGUACUCACCCCUUGCUUCUACAAAUUUUUGUAGGAUACGAGCCUGGAUCAUCGUGAUACUUGUCAUUCUUUUCGUUUCCGAGGCAUCUUGUGGAGGAUUGUGAGGUAGCUGCUUGUCAUCUCAGCGAACUUUCCUACUCCAGUUUAUGACUUUGUUUUUACUUGAAAGACAACUUCAUUUAGACUUCUAUUUUAUUCCAAUUCUAAUAUUUACAUUAGAGGCUUGUGCACGUGACAACCUGAUUUUGGGGAUUGGAUUAAUAUGACUUGGUUUCAUAAUAGGAAUUGUUGUUGGAUUGUCAUUUACUUCCGCACCUUGUUAGAUAUUUGGUUUUAGGCUGACUUGUCUUGGUGGGAUAAGACGAGUGCCAUCACACCCAUUUUUGGGUCGUGACAAAAUGGUAUCAGAGCCCCAGGUUCAUAGGUCUCACGUAUCUACAAGCCGAGUCUACGUAGAGUCUCAAGGGUCAGUACGGAGACGUCUGUACUCAUCUUUGAGAGGCUAUAAAGAUUACUAAGAAACUUCCUUUUGUUCAUUGUUUCUCAUCGUGCGUAGUUACCUUCGUUAGUACUGAGUUGUUGUAUACUCUUUUGACAGAUGACGAGGACUAGAACUAAUGUUACUGGUGGUAGAGGGGAGGCACUUCCCGAGGCAGUUGUUGAGGCCCUAGCUAGGGGUAAGGGUAGAUCUCGAGCUAGAGGUCGUGCUAGUAGUACGACAGUAGCCAGAGGUCGUGGACGUGGAGCAGCACCACUGAGAGGUAGUGCUAGAGAGGUCUCUACCGAACCUCAGAUUGAUGACAUAGAGGACCAGGUUCCUCCAGAUCCCGUAGUCACACCUUUGCUUCAGGAUACGCUAUUGAGGGUGUUAAGUGUGCUAGAGGGAUUUUCUCAGGGUGGUGGUGCAACUACCACACCACAUGACUCUCGUACUAGAGAGGGGGCUCAGACCCAAGAGCAGCAACAAGCUCCGGUUAAUCAGGAUGCGGUGGGGCAACUACCAGUAGAUCCCGCGGUUCAGAAUGAUAUUGCACCAGCAGUUGGGGGUCAAGUUGCAUCGAUGGUUGUUCUGACAGAGGAUGAGCAGCGUAGGUAUGAGAGAUUUCGAAAGAUGGACCCACCUCAGUUUCAGGGUGGGAAGAGCGAGGACGCUCAUGAGUUUCUAACUACCUGCCGAGAGUUACUAGAGGUGGUUGGAUUAGCUGAGUCACAUGGGGUUAGAUAUGCUACACUCCAGCUUCGUGGACCAGCGAGAGACUGGUGGAGGACUUAUUCGGGGGUUUUGCCAGUUGGAUCUCCUCCAGUGACUUGGGAGCAGUUUGCUAGUGCAUUCCAAGAUCGUUUUAUCCCAUGGAGGUCACUUCUGAUGGCUCACAGACCCGUGUUGGAGGUCAAACUCCAGAUCCGAUAGUUGCUCCAGAUUCUCAGACUCCUAGGACUCAGCCAGCUGCCACUGUAGCUCCUCAUUUGGAUAGUAUGGAGUUCCCAUAUAUGACAUCACAUUUGGUGAACAGGCCUUCUAUGACUAUUGAUGAGCAAAAGAUGUUUGGGAGGUUCAGACUAAUGAAUCCUCCUACUUAUACUGGUGACUUAGCUGAGGAUGCAUAUGAGUUUAUAGUUAGUUGUCAUGAGAGGUUGCAUAAUCUUGGAUUAGUGGAGUCUCAUGGAGUUGACUACACAACGUUUAAGAUGACUGGCUCUGCUAAGCAGUGGUGGAGGGAUUAUAUUAGUAGUAGGCCAGCUGGAUCUCAUCCACUAUCCUGGACUGAGUUUACUCAGGUAUUUCUAUCCAAAUUUGUUCCACGCAGUGAGAAGGAGCGCAAGAGGGCCGAGUUUGAGGGUUUGCAGCAAAAUGGUAUGUCAGUUGCAGAGUAUGAGGGUAAAUUUCAUGCCUUGGCUAGGCAUGCUUCGAUGAUACUUCCCACAGAGGCUGAGAGAGUGAGGAGGUUUGUAAAGGAGCUGAUUAUUCCAAUUCGUCUAGGAGUUUCUUAGGUUGCUGCUUCUGGUGUUCCAUUCCAGAAAGUGGUAGAUGCUACUAAGGAGUUGGAGAUGAUUCGACGUGAGGGAUUUGAGCAGCGAGAGGGCAAGAGGACUCGUUAUUCAGGUGAUUAUGGUGGUGCUCCGUCUAAGAGUCGGGGUUACUUGGGCAGAGGUUAUCACCCUCAGUCUAGCAGACCCAUUCAUGCUGCCAUACCAGCGUCUGAGGCUGGUUACACUGGGCAUAACUCUUCGAGCUCGGUACAUACUUCGCAGGGUUCAUCUUCUAGACCUGUAGUUCGUGGAGGGAAUUCUGGUCAUUCCGGUUCCUCUCAUUAGCCGGCGUCUCGUAGGGGUUGCUUUGAGUGUGGUGAUAUGGGACACUUUGUGAGAGACUGCCCUAGGACCAGACGUGGUGGCUUACAUCAGGGUUCUUAGGUUUCGACUUCCAGGGCUGCACAACCUCCAGCUAGGGGUGGUGCACAGAAUGGUAGAGGUGGUUCUCAUUCAGGUAGAGGUGGUUCUCCUUCUAGUCGAGGUGGUGGUCGUGGAGGUCCACAAUCUGAUGGAAGUCGUUCUCAUUGUUAUGCUUUUCCAGGUAGGACAGAGGCUGAAGCCUCAGAUGCUGUUAUCACAGGUAUUAUUCUGGUUUGUCAUCGACCAGCUGCUAUAUUAUUUGAUCCAGGCUCUACUUAUUCUUAUGUGUCCACAUAUUUUGCUCCUAGUCUGAAUAUAUUGUGUGAGUCUCUUGAUUUGCAGAUACGUGUUUCUACUCCUGUCGGGGAUUCUGUAGUUGUAGAUCAAGUGUAUCAUUUAUGUACUGUUACUUUGAUAGGGUAUGACAGUCAUGCAGAUCUAAAGGUUUUAGAAAUGAUAGAUUUUGAUGUGAUUCUUGGUAUGGAUUGGUUAUCUUCUUACCACCCAAUUUUAAAUUGUCAUGCCAACACCAUCACUUUAGCUAUGCCUGGAAUUCCUAUAGUAGAAUGGAGAGGUACUCUUAGUUAUCCUUCUAAGGGUGUGAUAUCAUUCCUUAAGGCUCGUCAGUUGGUACAGAGAGGAUGUUUGGCUUACUUGGCCCAUAUUCGAGAUACUAGUAUUGAGACUCUUAUGCUUGAGUCUAUUCCAGUGGUGAGUGAAUUUUCAGAGGUAUUCCCGACCGAUUUGCCAGGACUUCCACUAGAUUAUGAUAUUGAUUUUUGUAUCGAUAUGGAGCCAGGCACUCAGCCUAUUUCUAUUCCUCCUUAUCGUAUGGCACCGGCUGAAUUGAAAGAGUUGAAGGAGCAGUUGCAGGAUUUGUUGAGCAAAGGUAUUAUUAGACCAAGUGUAUCUCCUUGGGGUGCUCCAGUGUUAUUUGUGAAGAAGAAGGAUGGAUCUAUGCGUAUGUGUAUUGACUAUCGACAGUUGAACAAGGUAACCAUCAGAAACAAGUAUCCGAUACCUCGUAUUGAUGAUUUAUUUGAUCAGUUGCAGGGUGCUUCAGUUUUCUCCAAAAUUGACUUGAGAUCUGGCUAUCAUCAGCUGAAGGUUAGGGCGGAGGAUAUCCCUAAGACGGCUUUUCGAAUACGUUAUGGUCAUUACGAGUUUUUGGUGAUGUCUUUCGGAUUGACUAAUGCCCCAGCAGCUUUUAUGGACUUAAUGAAUGGAGUGUUCAGACCGUAUUUAGAUUCCUUUGUUAUUGUCUUCAUAGAUGAUAUAUUGAUAUACUCACGCACUAAGGAGGAACACGAACAUCAUUUGAGGAUUGUUCUUGGGAUUCUAAAGAAGAAGAAGCUUUAUGCAAAGUUUUCAAAGUGUGAGUUUUGGCUUAGUUCGGUAGCAUUCUUAGGACAUGUAGUGUCCAAGGGGGGUAUCAUGGUGGAUCCUAAGAAGAUUGAGGCGGUUAGAGAUUGGGUCAGACCUGCUUCAGUUACUGAGAUUCGGAGUUUCUUGGGCCUUGCAGGUUAUUAUCGACGGUUUGUUGAGGGUUUCUCAUCCAUUGCAUCUCCAUUAACUAGAUUGACACAGAAGGAAGUGACUUUUCAGUGGUCAGACGAAUGUGAGGUUAGUUUCCAAAAGCUCAAGACUUUAUUGACUACUGCUCCGAUUUUGACCCUACCCGUGGAGGGAGAGGGUUUUGUCAUAUAUUGUGAUGUUUCUCGGGUUGGUCUUGGUUGUGUGUUGAUACAGAAGGGAAGGGUGAUAGCUUAUGCUUCGAGGCAGUUAAAGGUUCAUGAGAAGAACUACCCUAUUCAUGAUUUAGAGUUGGCGGCUGUUGUGUUUGCAUUAAAGAUUUGGAGGCAUUAUCUUUAUGGUGUGCAUUGUGAGGUGUUCACGGAUCAUCGUAGUCUCCAGUAUAUAUUCAAUCAGAGGGAUCUAAAUUUGAGGCAGAGGAGAUGGUUGGAGUUGCUCAAAGACUACGAUAUGACUAUUCUUUAUCACCCAGGCAAAGCAAAUGUUGUAGCAGAUGCCUUGAGUCGGAAGGCAGUAAGUAUGGGUAGUCUAGCCAUGUUACAGGUUGGCGAGCGUCCUUUAGCUAGGGAUGUCCAAUCCCUGGCCAAUAGCUUUGUGAGACUUGAUAUUUCAGAAUCUGGUAAGGUGUUGGCUUAUAUGGAGGCUAGGUCAUCCUUGUUGGAGCAGAUUCAGGCUCAACAGUUUGAUGAUGGUGAUUUAUGUAAGAUUAGGGAUAAGGUUUUAAAAGGAGAAGCCAAGGCUGCAAUUCUUGAUAGUGAGGGAGUUUUGAGGAUUAAGGGUCGUAUAUGUGUUCCUCCUACAGGUGAUUUGACUAGAUUGAUCAUGGAGGAGGCUCAUAGUUCGAGGUACUCUAUUCAUCCGGGGGCUACUAAGAUGUAUCGUGACUUGAAGCAACAUUAUUGGUGGUGUCGUAUGAAGAGGGACAUAGUAGAUUUUGUAUCUCGAUGUUUGAAUUGUCAGCAAGGGAAGUAUGAACACCAAAAUCCUGGAGGUAUGACUCAGAGGAUGCCCAUACCUGAGUGGAAGUGGGAGCGCAUUGCUAUGGACUUUGUGGUAGGGUUUCCAUGUACCUUGGGUAAGUUUGAUGCUAUAUGGGUCAUCGUGGAUCGACUGACUAAGUCUGCACACUUUGUACCAGUUCAGACUACCUAUAACUCAGAAAGGUUAGCCAAGAUUUAUAUUCGGGAGAUAGUUCGGUUGCAUGGGGUUCCUAUAUCUAUUAUUUCAGAUCGUGGCACCCAAUUUACAUCUCAUUUCUGGCGGUCUAUGCAGAAAGAGUUGGGCACUCGGGUGGAUCUUAGUACAACCUUUCACCCUCAGACUGAUGGUCAGUCUGAGUGGACUAUUCAGGUUCUUAAGGACAUGUUGCGGGCGUGUGUGAUUGACUUUGGUGGUCAGUGGGAUCAGUUCUUGCCUUUAGCGGAGUUUGCUUACAAUAAUAGUUAUCAUUCGAGCAUUGGGAUGGCACCAUUUGAGGCUCUGUAUGGUAGGAGACGUCGAUCUCCAAUUGGCUGGUUUGAUGCAUUUGAGGUUAGACCAUGGGGUAUAGAUUUAUUGAGGGAGUCUUUGGACAAGGUCAAGUUGAUCCAAGAUAGACUUCUCAUGGCUCAAAGCAGGCAAAAGAGUUAUGCAGAUAGGAAGGUUCGUGAUUUAGAGUUUAUGGUUGGAGAGAGAGUUUUACUUAAGGUUUCACCCAUGAAGGGUGUGAUGAUAUUUGGAAAGAAAGGGCAAGUUGAGUCCAAGGUACAUUGGUCCUUUCGAGGUUAUGGAGCGUAUUGGUGAGGUGGCAUAUCAGUUGGCAUUGCCACCUGGGUUGUCAGGUGUCCAUCCUAUAUUUCAUAUUUCAAUGCUUAAGAAGUAUCAUCAGGGUGGUGAUCAUGUGAUUCAAUGGGAUUCAGUGUUACUUGAUCAGAAUUUGACUUUUGAGGAAGAGCCAAUCACCAUUUUGGAUAGGCAAAUUCGGAAGCUAAGGUCCAAAGAGAUUGCUUCAGUAAAGGUUCAGUGGAAGCAUCGUCCAAUGGAGGAGGCUACAUGGGAGACAGAGGCAGACAUGAGGAGUAAAUAUCCUCAUCUUUUUUAGCGUUCAGGUUAGCUCUUUUCUUUUUCCAUUUGAGGACGAACGUUUGUUUAAGUGGUAGGUGAUGUAACGACCCACUGGUCGUUUUGAAAACUAGGACUAUUUUGACUCCUUUUGAAUAAUUAAAGGGGUAUUUUUAAACUAUUCGAUAACUACGAGUAUCUAGUUGAGGAGAAUUUAUUAAAUAAUUUACAUAGAAAUAGUUAAAAAGGGCAUAUGUAUAAAUACUCCUUAAAAUUUGACUCAUAUAAUUAAAUAUAUUAGUAGGUUAUUUUAGAAUAUUGAAAUAAAAGUUAAAAAAAACCCUCUUGGAGACGAGCGGAACCAAACUGCUACGACGGCAUUGAUUUCCAGGUAAACAAUCCAGAUUCAAUAAUGUUUAUAUAUGGUGCACUUGAAAUAAUUUAAUAAAAUAAGUGUUAGAGGUGAUUAAGCCUAUGGUAGUUGCUGGAGUGCAUAUUGUAUUAAACAUAAAAAAGGCAUAGGGUAAAUUGAGGUUAUGAUGCCAAUGAAUUCUUAAACAUUGGACACAUUAUGCAUUUAUAUGUAUAAUUUAUUAAAAAGUUAGGCAAUUGACCGUAUGCACUUGAAGAAAAGAAAGAAUGUGAUUACGACACUACGGUAUUCUUUGGUUCUCUUAAUUGAUUAUUAAUUGUACUUAUUUUAUCAAAUUAAGAUUAUAGUUUUUGAUAUAUUGAGAUAGGCAAUUAAUUAUUAGAUGUAUAUUAUAUGAUUUAACAUUGAAUUCUAGGGUAUUUGGAGAGGUUAAAGUUAAAUUCUUGACUUGAAAUUUAGCAAAUAUGAUAACUUUGGCAUACAAAUUUUAUCAAGGCUUGGAGCUAGAUUAAAAAUAUGAGUGAGUUUUAGGGUCUACGAUAGACAUAUAAUGAUUUGAUACAAACUCGCUUACUUACGAAUAAUUGCAUCAUUGGUAGAUCGUGAACGUUCUGAAAUUUUGCGAAAAGGGAAGGAACUACCUUGAGGUUUCAUGGCACGAGUUCGGCACUGAGGUAUGUUAAGACUUUUUAGACUUGUUGAAGGACGUUUUCCCAAUUAAAGAUUAAAAAUGAAAAUAGACAAAGGGGUAAGGGGGAAAAAGUGGUGGUCUCGUAUCAAUGGUGUGACGGGCAUUGGUACGAGUACCGGUGUUAUAAAAAGGAAAAUUUCUUUUAUAGAAUGUGGAUUAAAAUUUGAGAAUGCCAAAGCAUAUGGGCAUUAGCUGAUAUAUUAUUGACUUGAAUUCCUGGUGUGAUUGUGCUUUAUUUAUUUCACCCGUAUAGUUGUGAUAAUUGAGGUGGUUAUGUAUUAUGUUCAAAUUGAUUGAUUAAGAUGCAUCAUCAUCCCCUCUAUUGAAAUAAUAUUGUGCACAUGCGUAGACAUGAGACUGAGUAUAAGUUGGGCACGUGGAGAUCGUCCGUGCUGGGGAUAGUGAGAUGUUAAGAUUGUAAUUUGGGCACGUGGAGACCGUCCGUGCAAAAAUUGUUUGAUAUUAUGAUAGUGUGUUGAGAUCGUCCGCAUAGACACAUGGAGAUCGUCCGUGUCGAUAUAUGGACCUCGCGAGUCCCCCAUGGGUCAUGAACUCUCGAUGUAUUUCCGAGGAGUAUCAUGUAUAUACGGUUGAGUGAGUACUGGGUAUUCUGAGACAUAUCAUUACAUGGCAUCAUAUUGCAUUGCAUUUCAUCCCAUCAUUCAUUCUUGAUGACUAUAUGUUUCGUUUGGUGUUUGGAAAAUAUUAAAUGUUGAUUUCCUUUAUUGAUGAAACUUAAAUAGUAAGUGUAAUAUAUAUAUAUAUAUAUAUAUAUACUUGUACAAUCUAAGAAUUUAUUUUCUUAUAUAACUCCCGUCACUACUUCUUCGUUGUCGGUCAAUGAGACAUACUGAGUACACGUGGUUUCGUACUCAUACUACACUUGUUGCACUCCUUGUGGUGCAGAUUCGAUUCCAAGUAGGAGCACAUCUCGAGGAGCAGUUUGAGUCCGAGUUUGGAGUGUCUUGGAGUUGUGGUGAGCUGCUUGGCUGUUCCGUGGCCCAUACCUCCCUCUAUCUUUUACUUAUUCUGUUAUUUAGUAUUCAGACAGGAUAUCCCUUAUGUUAGAUUUGCCUUUUUAGUUUCAGACUUGCAUCGUAUUUUAGAAGCUCUUGUACUCAUGACACCAUUUCUUGGGUAGUACUUUUUUUCAGUUUUCCGCAUUCGUACUUAUAAGAACUCAGUGUUGGAGAUUUGGAAAUUGUUGUCUUUUCUUUUCUUUGUUAGUUAGGUUUGUUAAAAUAUGUUGGUUGGCUUACCUAUUGGUUGGGAAUAUAGGUGCCAUCACGACUCGUGAUUUUGGGUCGUGACAAUGCUAAGAAAUCACGUGAACAUCUAGCAAAUAAAUGCAACAAGGAACAAAUAUAGCAAAAUAUAAAGAUAAUAACAGUGACCUACAUACUUGAAAACAGUCCAUAUAUUCAUUAUACAAAAAAAAAUAGAAAUAAUUGAGUUAGUCAAAAUUCUUAUUGGUAAAACAAUUUAUUCUUCUGCUAUUCAAAUCACUCCACCAUAAAAAAGGAAUUACUACACAUUGAGUUUUGGAUUGAAACCCUAUCACGUAUCCAUAUAUGUGAAUUUUUUCCAUAAGUUCACAUGAAUAGUAAACAAUAAAUAUAUCAAAUCAUUUUAAUUGGACUAACUUUUUAGUUUCCCUAAAAAUUGUCACACUUCUAAAAAAUUUGCAUGUGAAGAAGCAUUUACUAUAAUAAUUUAAUGAAAAUAAAUGAAAUAUUGUUAAAAUAAUAAGAAAUUCGGAAGGUUGUAAAAAACAAUUAAUAGGUGAGAAGAAGAAAAAAUUAAAAUAAUUAGUAGUAAUAAUUGAGGUAAUUCAUAUUGUUAUAAAUGAAGUAUUUUAGAGGAAACCAAUACGUGUAAGUUACAUUACGUAUGCUCAAAACAGGUGAAAAAAUAAAAUUGACUCACUAAAGACGAAAUUGUGCAACUUCUCAUUUAUGUAAGAAGUUACUUACAAAAGUACGUAAUGAGCGAAUAAAUUAGUGUCACACAUAAAGGGAGAAUUGAAUGUGGAGGAUUAAAAUAUGAUUGUUGUUGUAAUACUAAACCAAACUAACAAUAUAAAGAUAAAGAAGAAAAGAAUGAGACAAGAGAUAUAGAAGAUGAAAACAAUAGAAAUAGAGAGACAACAGAUGAGAGCUUUUCUUAGUAAUCAAAGUAUUUAUCAAAUCCUCAAGUGUAUACAAUAUGAACUCUUAAGCCUUUAUUUAUAGUGUAACAUAAAGGCAUAUAAAAGGUUAGUCAUGAGCAUGAUAUUAACAUGAAUAUAAUGGUGAGGUUAUGAAAGAAAAGUGUUACAAGAAUAAUGAUUAUAAAGGUGGAAGUUAUGGAGGUUAUGAUCAUCUUCAUAAUGAGGAAAAUAAUGGAGAUAAUGGGUGAGUAACUUCUUGGUAUAGUGGACAUCCACACUAUAAUAUUUUAUAACACUCCCCCUUGGAUGUCCAUAGAUAAUAUGCUUCGUUAAAACCUUACUAGGAAAAAACCCCGUGGGAAAAAAUCAUAGUGAAAGAAAAAUAGUACACAUAUAUUUUAAUACGCUUGAAUGUUGCAUCAUUAAAAACCUUACCAGGAAAACUCAUUUGGGACAAAACCAUGGUUAAGGAAAAGAGCACAGCGCGCAUUUUUCUCCCCUGAUAAAAACUUUACAUAAUAUCUCGGAGACGAUGCAUUUCGAUCUUAUAUCACAACUUCUCAAAUAUUGAUGUUGGUAUCCUUAGUGAAUAAGUUUACAAGAUUAUCACUUGAACGAGCCUUUGAGAGUCUAUCUCAUUGUUUUGUUGAAGAUCGUGUGUGAAAAAGACUUUAGGUGAAAUAUGUUGUGUCUGAUCUCCUUUGGUUGUAUCCUCCAUUCAAUUGAACUAUAAUUAUUUUCGUAUAUGAUGGUGGAAUAUCCUUUGUCAAAGGAAGAUUUCAUAUUUUCUGAAUAUGAUAGAUUAUGAUUCCAAUCCAACACACCCCUGAAUUACUUCAUUGAUCUUUAUGAUUUGAAAAGGUGGUUACAAAUGUUUUUUGAAUGUCAAGAUAUUGUUGUGCCUCAUAUGUAAGCAAAUAGCUCAUUUGCGAUCGAGAUUUAUGUAGAUCAAAUAAAUAUUUUGCAUCUGCAUAAUCAAGCUAUUUUUUACUCAUUGGAGCUUGAUCAAUUUCGUUGAAACUCGUCUUUUCUUCUGAAAGACAGUCAUACAUCUUCUGCCAUUUGCAUAACCAACAAUUUGUAAGUGCACUAAUAGCACUGAUACAUAACAUUUUAAAUCAUUUUCUUGAGAUUAAAAAGAUCCUUUCUUUGUGUUAUGCAAUCUCAAAAUCAUUGAAUACUCAAUGGAAUUGCUUUAAAAUCUUUUAAAUCCUUUAAGGAUUUUCAUAUAACCUUCAUCGUCUAGUUAGACAUAAUAAUCAUUCAUUAUGCAUAUUCAAGUAUUUCAUCACUUGCCAGACUGAAGCAAGUACCACUGCAUUCAACAUUGGAGAAUAUAUCUCCAUUUAAUAAUGUCAGGACUUCUGCGAAAAUUCUUUAUGCCCCGAGGCACGAACAGUACUUUAUAUCUUACGGUUAUACUUUCGCACAAUGAUUCAUUUGUACCCCCAAUAAUAUAUAUUUUGAUCUAUAGACCAUAUUUUCAAAAGUAUCACUUUUCUAAGUGAAACAAAAUAUAUUUGAAUAGUGUCAACCAUUUAUUCGUCCAUACUAUAUGACAUAUUUGAAUUUAAGAUGCUUGUAACCAUUUAUAGCAUUGAGUGCUACAUCAUAUCAAAUAUACCGUCGAUGAUCGUUUUGAUUUCAAUUCUAAUACGACAUAACUUAUCGAAAUAUCUUCAAUUUCUAUCAUUUUCAUGUACCUGAAUCUUAGUUAAGGUUUUAUGAAAUGUUAUGUCAUAGUGCUCUUUCAAAGCACUUACCUCAUUAUCAAUGACCAUUUUGAUAAUUUACUCAUCUCCUUCCUCAAGAAGUUUUACAUUUGGAAUCGAUUGGUCUAUCACGCUUUUGGCGUACCAUAGACUCGGUCCUUCAAGGACUAUUUAUUGGAGCAUUUGCAGCUUAAUUAAAAUAUUGGGUCAGCAAAUACAUCUGGCAAAUUACUUGCAACAUUUUGCAUAUGAAUUGUCUCUUGAACUUCAAGUUUACAUUUUUUCAACGAGGAUCUAGAUAAUUCACCUCACACAUAAUUUUCAGUUGAUACACAUAUCUCCCCCUAAUGUUAAGAAAUCUAACAUUCACCCUCAACCUCAAUUGGGUACCCAUCUUUGUGCAUGGUGGAGCAAUAAAAUCAUAUGUGCACAUGUCAAAUUUUUAGAUGGAAAUUAUUGGUUCUUGACCCUCAACCAAUUGUGUUGAGAAAACCUUGUUGGCUUGAUGCAUACAUGUUAAAUAAACAUAUCUCAUACCAAAUUUUAUUUGAGAGAUUUGUUCUCAUAAUCAAUGGUCUAGCAAUAAUUGGAGGCAUACAAUUUCUGCUAAACCAAUCAGCAUUAUCAACAUGACUUUAUAGUUUGAAAAUGUGCUCUUAAUAUUUCGAGAAAACAACCUUACAAAAAUCAAUUUGUAAGUUGAUACAAAUGCACAUGUGACCAUACCAUAGAUGCAUCUAUUAAAUCAUAAUAGUAAACGAUCCACAUGGCAGGUGAACGGGCCCAUAUUCACCUUUUUAUAUGUUCCAAAUAAUUUUAGGGGACACAGUCUCAACCUUAGCUGGUACAAUGAUCAUUUUAUCACGAGAACAAUCUGCAAAAGAGAAAUCUUGAAGAAUCUUUUAUUUCUUCAACAUAUAGCCACGUGAAUUCUCAAUUUCUCUUGUAUCACAUUUGAAUCGGAAUGACCAACCUAUUAUGCCAACUGAUAUUUAUUCAAGUAAACUUCUAGUUUACUUUUGCAUGUGAUUCAAUCACCAUGCUCGUAUUUGUAUACAACAAACAACGAGAAAAAAAUGAAUAAUCUUAUACGUAAAUAUUUAUUACCCACUUUGAUCGUAGUAAUUGAAGAUAUGAAAUCUUCCCAUAAUUUCUUGUCUCAAUAUAAUAAUUUGUUUUUAAUUCUUCAUAAACUUAAAAAUUUUCUUUUGAGACUUACUACAAUGUCCAAUACUAUGAAUAAUUUUAUUCCUCCAAAUAGUAACAAUUAGCCCUUUCGAAAUUAUCAAUUAAUUUUGUGUGCUACCAUAAUUUUCACAAUGCCAUUCUUAUAGUGACCAUCUCCUUCAAGGAGAAAAUUUUUAUUAUUGUCAUGAUUAAAAUUAUUACAUUCAAGACUUAUUUCUUGAUAAGCAAUGACAAAUUUGUGUUGCCACACAACAACAUUUAUUUUGAUCAUGGCCACAACCUUUACAGAAAAGAUUUAUUCUUUCUUUUGUCUCAUUUUUAAAAUAUACCACAAUAUUUGUGUAGUAUUCAAAAUAUAUAUAUGACCAAAAUGACUAUAUAUGUCAAAAGAUUUUUUUUCAUCUCUUAAAACGUCCCGUAGAGGUGAGAUGUGACAUUCAUCCAACAAUACAUGAACAUGUUUUUAUCCAUACGAAAACAAGUCACAUUUUUUUUUAAAAAUGGACCAUAAUCAUUUGUACAUGUUCCAUAAGUUUUAUUAGAGACUCAUUGUCAUGUUUUGACAUUAUGUAUAGUAACAUUCCGGAAAAUUACAUGUCUAGUGAAGAGCCCAAUAGGUCUUUAAGAAUGCGUAUUGGGAAUACAUAGGCAUUCCAAUGUCCAAUAUUGAGAAAUAUUAGGCAUAAUAUAGAAAAUUAGCUAAGGGGUAUUAGCCAAUUUUUCUAAGUAUUAAUGAGCUUGUUCAAGAAAUGUACCUGCAAUGAAGAUCCUAAGCUAAAAACAUAGAUUUUCCAACAUUUACACAUUAGGUGUGAGGCAUUCAUGUGUCAAGCCAAGACACCAUAGCACAUGACCAAUUAAAAUGGGCAUGUAGAUUAAGCAGUGCCCAAGGACAUAGUGAAAAUCCUUGGGACAAUAAGUACAUAUUCAAAAUGAACCAUCAAGAAUAGUUAGUUAGGAAAGUACAGGCAACACAUGUGCAAGCACAUGUGAAAAACGGCCAAGGGAGGAGACCAUCCUAACCGAAUUCAGUUAAAGUAGUUAGGGGGCAGGCGUGCACAAGGGUUCCACCAUGUGGGCCUAGAUCUCUAACAAACUCUACACUCUAACUAACUGACCUAACUAGCUAACUAUACUAGGACAAACAAAAAUAAAUUAUCCAGUACACCCGACAACCUAAGACCUAGUUGGAUUACACUAACCUAGUAACUAGUUAAAGAGACAACCUAGUACCUAACCUAGGAUAGUCCAAAGGGUUAGCUAUGAUCCUAACGACUUAAGGGUACUUUAGUAAUUACCCUAAGUCACCUAAUUAAUUAAAUUAGCAAUUUAAUUAAUUAAUUUAAAUGGUCAAACAAAAAUCCUUACACUAGACAAGGAACUAACUAAGAAACAUCCUAGUACCUAAUCUAGGAUGGUCCAAAAGGGUUAGUUAUGGUCCCAAUGACUUAGGGGUAUUUUAGUAAUUACCCUAGGUCCCUUAAUUAAUUAAAUUGAGUGAUUAAUUAAUUAAGAAAAAUUUCUAAGUAAGGCCGAAAUUCGAAAUUUCAGAUUUGACUAAUUAAAUAUUUUCCUAUUUCUAGUCAAUCUAGGAGGGGAUUUUUAGUAAUUAACUAUUUAAUUUACUUAAUUAGCCUAAGUUGAAUGAGUCAAGAACAGUUCCUAAUACUUAGCACGUUCAAACACUAAGAAAUUCACGACGCAAAACAGUAAACGGACGAAAGAAAAACAGAAAAGUUUCUCUCGAUUUCUCUUAGGCGAUUUCAAGAUUUUCUUUAAGAUUCCGUGCAAGGUGAUCUUCGUAGAUUUAAUUCUACAUAAGGUAUGGGUUUUAUCUCAUUGAAUUCUUUCUCCAAGAGACUUUUCAAACAUUUGAAUUCAUGAACUUCGAAACUAAGGUUGUACCCCAAUGAUAUUGUUGAACAUUCAUCUCCCUAGUUAUCCUUGUUUUUUAUUCUUUAAGUAUAUAGAUGUAUCUUGAACAUGUUGUUGGUAUGUGGUGCUAACUGAUUUUAUAAGUUAUUGGUUUGUUAAUGACUAAUGAGGUCUAUAGAUUGGAUUCAAAUUAUUUGAGUGUUAGUUACCCGAAUUAAGGAAUGAUAUAAUGCUUACCUGUGUUUCGAGAAUAUAAAGUUACUAUGAAUCGGCUAUGGAAUUUAGUUACUAUUAAAAUGUUAAGUUUUCGGCUGAUUCAUGUUGGGGAAUCACUAUAUUACAUUCAUGAUAUUAAUUGAUGUUGUUAGUGAUAACAUAAUGAAUGUUGUUUAAGUGAGUUUGAUUUAUGCCAAUAAAAUGUCUAACAAUGUCAAUGCCCAAAAAGUUGAAUGAAAUGGGCUUUCAAUAUUACUUUCAAAGAAUGAUGGAAAGAGCGGCUAAUGUAAACUCAACUAAGCAUGACUAAUGUAACUUUGAUUUCAUAACCAAGGGUAUGUCAAUCAUUGGGAUAAGUCCCAACAUACCCUUUCGAAAUGAAUUAUGAACAUAGUAACUACAUUGAACAAAGUUCUUAACAUUUAUAAAGAAUGGUAUAAAGCUACCAAAAUACAUGAAACGAGUUAAGGUGAGUAAUAACAUAAUUAAAAGUCUUUAAAUUAUGAAGGUGACCAGAAUGGGUUGUUAAAGAAAAUGAGACAAGUCUCACAUACACCUAAGAUAACUACGUUAAAGAUACUCACAAAAGCUGGUGUUAAUAAUCGUAAGACAAGUCUCACUAAUACCAAGAUGAUAAUGUAAGGUUAAAUUUCACAUUUCAUCAAGUAAAGAAAGGGAUGACCAGUUAUCUAAAGAGUUAAGUAAACAUCAUAACUAGAAGCAAGCUUCCAUAAUGUUUGAUUCAACUCUAAAAGAUGCAAAGAAAAAGAAGUUGAGCAAAGCACCGAUAGCCUAGCAAUGAGCUUGUGCCAACACAUGUUAGCCUCAUGAGAUGAGGCUACCACCAAGGUGGAUAAGUAGUCUCCAUAUGUCUACUAAUCUUUGAACUAUGUUUCCAGAAUAGGAACUUGCCAGUGGAUUUCACCUAAGGGAGAUAGGUAUGAUGCGAUUUUUUUUGACCGGUGAAACCACCCCUUUCGGUGUGGGGCAGACAUUGAAUUUUAUGCUUAGCUCACAUAAUCUAUGUCUGUUAAAUGCUCAAAGAAAGUAUUUUGUUCACUUUAUCCGUGAACCACCUCUUUUCGGUGUGGGGAAGACAAUGGACUUGAUUUCACUUUAGCCGGUGAACUACCCUUUUUCGUUGUGGGACAGAUAAUUGAUUUCAUGUUAGCUCACAUGAUGUAGAUUCACUUUGAUCAUUGAAUCACCCUUUUUCAGUUUCUGACAGACCAUGAAUUUCAUGUUAGCUCGCAUGAUCUUAAUUCUAAAGAUGUCCUUAAGAAAGAAAGAAAGAAAAAAGAAGAGAUGUAUGUUCAAAGUGAGCUAACGAAGUAAGAGCUUAAGAAUAGCAAUCAUCAGUGUUUGAUAAGAAUGAAGUUUUCAGCAAAUAAUGGGCAUAGUCAAAUAAAAUUGGCUUAUAAUGACUUCUUAUAUUAUGUUAAUAAAGGGGAGUAAAAUGUAAUGCCUAAUCAAUGCCUCAUACCUCCAUAAUAUGAAAAUGAUGAAAUAAGUGGCCGAGCCAAUAAAGAUUCGCUUAUAAAGAGUCCAUGCACAAUCUAACAAGAAUGAAAAGAAUAACUUGUUGUAAGGAUAGCCAAAUCAUUUCCUUAGUCCUUUGGAUUACUUACUUAAUUCAUAGUAGGUAUGGGACUACAAUGAAUCAUUGCACUUGAAAUUAAAAUAUAGGAUCAAAGGAGAUCGUUGAACUACACAACAAAAAGAAGAAAAGACUGGAAAAAAAUAAGUUCAGAAAAAGGUGCUCUCGGGUUUGGGGGAUCAAUUUUUAGAAUUUUCGUUCUACAAUUUUGUUAAUGAUUCUAGGUUCUUAUGUUCAUAUAGAAAAUGAAUUGUGUGCUUUGAAUGCAUUAAAAUACGUCAUAUUCAUACCACAAUUCACAAAUAACUAAGUAGGAAAGUCUAGUGAUGUCACUUUUCAAAAAUGGCAUGUUGUUAUAGGAAGAGCUUUCCUUGAUCAUGUAUAGUCAUUAUGUGUAUGUGUACAUACACCAUACUUAGUAUAAGUGUGUACUAACCCUAUAUUAUUGUUAUCUUUAUAGGUGCAGGUCAGAGAGAAGGUUGAAGAUUCAUCGAAGCUGUUUGGAUUGUCGAUCUCCAGACUUUGGUAGAUCUUCUUCAUGUUCGAAGAUGCUACACUUAUCUAUCUAGCUUCGUACUUUAGACAUAGUUAUUGGAUAUUGUCCCUAGCGUUUCUUUUCAGAAGUUUAUUUUGAAGCUUUGUAUUAAAGACAUUUUGGCAAACUAUUACAUUAUAUAUUGAUCUUUUGAUUUGAAUUGAUACAUCAAUUGUAGAUGGUUGUUUUAAUUUGAGCUUAGUAGAAUAUUAAUCUAUGUAGAAAAUAUAUGAAGUCUAUGUAUACUUCAUUAUGUUUAAAAGUUUUAAAUUUUCCGCAAAUUUAACUAUAUGAAUGUGAUGAAAGCUAAGAAGAGGCUUGUCUGCGACCUUUGAGAGGUUAACAACGCCGGUUGCAUACGGAUUUCAGAAUCCAGGUGUGACAGUAACUCACCUCAACAUCGCUUUGAGAGGUCAAAUGUACCAAAUGUAUUACCACUUUGUAUUCAUUUAUUUUUAUGGAGGAUUUACAAAACUUUUUAAAUUGGGUUGCACCAACAACAAUGUGCCAACAUCUCAUACCACUUUGAGGGAUAAAAAUUGUCUUUAACAAUUACCUUCACAUUUGAAGGACCAUCUUAAGUACAACGUCUAAUAACCUUUUAUACAAUUUUAACGGACAAAAUUGUCUUCAAAUUUGAAGGAACAUCUUAGAACCCAUAAUGUUCUGCCUUUUAAUUACCACAAUGAUGACCAUUAACAUUUCACCAUACCCAUAUUCAUACAUUCAACCGCUUGUCAUUUUUUAAAUAUAUUAAUACACUGCUACCGCAUUCACAUAAGGGAAUGAAGCAAAUUAAUUGGGUAAAUUUCAUGAUUUUCGGUCAAAAGUAUAAAUCUUUAUGUUAGUCAUCAUCAUAUCAUCACUAUAAUGCAUUAGGACUUCAACCCAAUGUCUUACCCAUAUAAAGACACCUUUGGUCAUAAAUCAAUAGGACUUCAUGGUGCCCAAUUGACUUUAACUCGAUGUCUUAGCACUUGGUGCGGUGAAACCUGAGUUCACCGUCUUAACCUCAACCAUUGCCUUAACAAACCAAAUGAAUUACCAAAAAUAUAAUUAUCGAAAAUCAUAAAUAUAAUCUGAACUUGACUUGAUAUACAAGAAAAAUAAACAAAAUAAAUUAAUUAGAACAUGUUAGCAUCAUCUAAAAGCCCCAAGUUAAAAUAAAUUCAAACAUUUUCAUAGUCCCUCUCAACUUUGUUAUGAAAAUUAUUAUAAUUGACUAACCAUUUUGGAAUAACUACAAAACAAGCUUUGUUAGUACAAAUAAUAUGUUAAUAACUCAACAAGUAAAUCUUCAAAUGAAGAAAAAUAAAGAGGUGCAAAAGUAACCAACAAUAAUAAUCCAAUCAAUAUGUAUAUGUCACACAACUCAAUAAAAGAAGAUCAUAAAGAACAAUUUCUUUACAAAUUGUUAACUUACAAACUAAAUUUACUUUUUAAAUAUAUAGCAAUUUGUUGGACUCAUAUGAUUUUGAGAUGGUAAGAAAAUUAAUGAUGCAAAAUCUAAAGUAAAAUCUAAAAUAAAUUAUAUAGCAAUUUACCUUGAGAGAAAAAUAAACACAAAUAUUUUUACCUUAUUUAUAUUGUAUUUGCUUCAAUCCUUCAAUAGUAGAACAAUUGUGUUGAUAACGUGUUGUAAAAAUAAUCGAAACUAACAAUAUAAAGAUAAAGAAAAGAAGAAUAUAAGACAAGAGAUAUAGUAGAUGAAAACAAUAGAAAUAUGGAUACAAGAGAUGAUAGCUUUUCGUAUUCAUCAAAGUAUUCAUCAAAUCUUCAAGUGUAUACAAUGUGAACCCUUAUGCCUCUAUUUAUAGUGUAACAUAGAGGCAUACAAAAGGUUAGUCAUAAAAAUAAAAUUAACAUGAAUAUAAUGGGAGAUUAUGAAAGUGAAAUGUUACAAGCAUAAUGAUUAUAAAGGUGGAGGUUAUGGAGGUUAUGAUCAUCUUCAUAAUGAGGAAAACAUUGGAGAUAAUGGUGAAUGACUUCUUGGUGUAGUGGACAUCCACACUAUGAUAUUUUAUAACAAUUGUUGAGUUCUCUACAUACUCACUAUUUAUGUUAUUUAAACGUUACUAUUUAAUUUGAUUUAAAUUCAAUGAAGGAUCGCAAAUUUUUUAUUGUGGUGAACUAGCUUUCAACCUUUAAGUAAUAAAAAUAUGAUUGUAUAAUAUUUAAUUAAAUAUUUUAUGAUAUUUUGAUUUAUCCCAUGGUGACCUUGUAAUUCGACAUUGAUUAUAAAAGCUAAUACGAUAUGAUAUGAUUAAGUAUAUAAUAACUAAUUAAGUCUUUAAAAAAGGGUAAAAAUUGAUUAAGUAUAUAAUAACUAAUUAAGUCUUUAAAAAAGGGUAAAAAAGUCUAGCAACUUUCUCUUGAUAUUUUCGUCUUUCAUUUUUUGAUUUAAUACUAUCCCACUUUCAACAUUUACUAUAUGAUAUUCUUGUUAUUUAAUAUUGGGAAAAUACCCAAGUACCCCCUCAACCUAUGCCCGAAAUCUCAGAGACACACUUAUACUAUACUAAGGUCCUAUUACCUCCCUAAACUUAUUUUAUAUGUAAUUUUCUACCCCCUUUUAGCCUACGUGGCACUAAUUCGAAAAAAAGUCAACCAUCGUUGGGCGCGCGCACACACACACACACAUACACACACACGCACGCACGCACGCACACACGCACACACGCACGCACACACACACGCACUGUUUUAUCAAUUAUAACUUUUCACAUCUUCCCUUACGAGAAUUAUGAUUAUAAUUAAGUCAAAAACAAAAUAUCAUGUUUGAAUACUUAUUUUUUGUGUUGAAACUUAUGCUCUUAAAUUUGUUUGUAAUUAUCUCUCAUUCUCGGCUAACCUUUUGGUGUUUUAAUAUAAGUUUUUCUUUACAUAUUUAUUAGAGUCGUUUGUUUUUAUGAAUCAUUUUUUAUUCUAGCUCAACUUGCAUUUUUUAGGGCAUCAUGGGUAAAUCACCAUUUAGAUUCUUAUAAAUAAUGUUAGGAUGGGUCGGCUCAUCCUCAUAAUUUAAAAAAAAUGAUAGAACAAAGUCAUUUGAUUUUCGUAACACAUUGGCUCGACUCGUAAAUUCGUCAAUUAUUCUAUCACAACCCUAGUAGCCAAGUGUUGAUAUUUCAUUCUAACUUAAAAUUCUUAUCAUUUUUUAGUGCAAUAAAAUCAUGAAUUAAGGGCUUUUGUCGACUCUCUGAUCUUAGAAAAGAAAGGUUAUUUUGUUUCCAACGAUUUUAGUAAGUAUCAUUGGUACAAAUCCAUUUUAUUAAUUGAUUUGUUGAUAUUUUUGGGCAUCUUUAAAAUCUCAUUCUAACCUAAGAUUCUUGUGGUUCUUGAGGACAUGAGAAACAUGAUUAGAAAGUUUUUGUCGAUUCGUUGAUCUGAAAAAUGGACAGUGAUUUUCAUUUCUAAUGAUUUUAGUAAGUACUAGUCUUGGACACGUACAACACACGUGUAUCUCAUACUAAUUUUAUAUAAUCAUUUGAAUUAAUGAUAAAUGUAUUUUUCAAUAGAACAAAGUUUUACAAUUAAUAGAAAUUUCAUUUUGACCUAUGAAAGUAUCCUUGCAAUGAAAAAGAAAUUCUAGCCUGAAGUUUUUGUUAGAGAACUGAUUGGUUAAAGACUAAAUGUGACAAGAAAAGUGAAAAAAUAUGCUAUCAAAUCACGUUAACAUCCAGUGAAAUCCAUGCAACAAGUAAUAAAAGUAGCAAAAUAUAAAGAUAACAACAAUGACCUACAUACUUGAUAACAAUCCAUAUGUUCUUUAUAGAAAAAAGAAGAUAAAAUUAAAAAAUAAAAAAUAAUUAAGUUAGUCAAAAUUCUUAUUGGUACGCUAAUUUCUUCUUUUGCUAUCUAAAUCACUCUAUCUUAAGAAAUGAAUUACUACACGUUGUGCUAUGAAAUGAUUAAUGUGUUGAAAGUUUUGGAUGAUAGAGAGGUGUUGUUCUUGUGGCGCGUUGAUUUCUUAUUCUUGCAUUAUCCUGUAAAGAAUGACAUGUAGGAUGACAUGUAGGACACCACGUAGGACAAAAGUGACACGUAGGAUGACAUGUAGGACAUGUGUGUCUAUUUGUUCAACUUUGUACAAGUUUUAGUGUCUACUUGUGCACGCCCAAUGUUGAAGGACAUAAAUAUAAUUCAAAGUCAAGUAACAAGUAUAUUUAUAUCUUAUGCUUUUUUAAUAGCUUGGUACAUUCCCUUACCUGAACGUAUACCAUGAAACCCACUGAACGUACUUAAGCUUUUUUUAAUUUGUAUUUUUUAGUGAGUUAGUUUUGGUUGUAAAUAAGUUGCUAACAUUUUCACUUUUGUUUAAUCCAUAGUCAAAGACGAUAUGUCAAUUUAAUAGUCUUUUUGUUUCAAAUUUACUUUCGAUUUACUCAUCUCAUUUUGCCAAAACAUAGUUUGUACCUUUAAUAAUAAUAUUGAAUACGUGUUGUACAAGUUUGACGCAAAAACUCUUUCACAAGUGUUGACCAACUCGAUCAUUUGAAUAUACUUAAAUAGAACUAUAAUGCUGAUACUCACUCAUUUUGAGGUAUGGGUGAUGAAAGAAUACGAAGUUACUGAUUCAUGGGCUAAAGAGAUUGUGAUAAACAUAACUCCUGAAUACAACGAUUGGUUGUGCUAUGAAAUGAUUAAUGUGUUGAAAGUUUUUGAAGAUGGAGAGGUGUUGUUCUUGUGGCGCGAUGAUUUCUUAUUCUUGCACCAUCCUGUGAAGAAAACUUUGAAAUUGCUUGAUAUCCGUGAAGGGAACUUGUUGGCAUGUGGGCAUGUAUCAAGCUCUUUAUCUCUCAAUAAUUUCGAAGCAGAAGUUGUGAAUGUCUUUUAGAUUAUUGUCAAAGGUGUGUAUUGUACUACUUGAGUAUACUUUUUUUUUGUUACUAUUCUAUGUUGUGAAGGUCUUUUAGAUGCAUGUAUUUUGUACUACUAAAAUAGAGUAUCUGGUGAAAGUUUUGGAUGACGGAGAAGUGUUGUUCUUGUGACGCGAUGAUUUCUUGUUCUCGCAUCAUCCCGUGAAGAACACAUUGAAAAGGGUUGAUGUCUGUGAUGGAAACUUUGUGGCAUCUGUGAAUGUAUCAAACUCUUUAUCUCUCAAGAAUUUUAAAGCAGAGGUUGUAAAUGUCUUUAAGGUAUCUUGUACUAUUAGAGUAUUGUAUAUUUUUAGCUUUCUGUUUUAUAUCCUUGGCUAACAAUAACAUACCAUCAUGUUAUUUGAGGGGAAAGUUGUUUGUACAAAUCUGCAAGUAAUAUAUGAUAUUUAAUCUAAUCAAAGACAUGCCAAAAACAAAAAAUAUCUGAUAGCAUUGUAGACUGAACAUCGGGUGCGUGGACAAUUCGAGCAACUUUAAAACAAAAGAGUUGAAAUUUUAAGAAAAUAAGAAAGACCGAGAGAGAAAUAUUGCAAUGUAAUCAAAGGAAAAUAUUCAAAAGGUAAUGUAAUGAAUGAGUUUUGCUUGUAAGCUGCUAAUAUUCUCUCCUUAUUUGAUACUCUUGUUAUUUUAGAUUACAAAAAAUCCCAAAUAUAUCAUUGAGUUUUUAGAAGAAGAAGAAAACUGAACGAAAUGCCUAUUGGUGCCACUUUCGGAAGGUGAGUUUGGAUCUAACUCAAUUUUAAAAUUAGCUCAUGAAUCUUGAGAAUUACUUAAUUUCAAAAACUAUUUGUAAAUAAUUAUGCUGAUUUAUAUGACCGGCACUAAAUCAAAGUGCCCUUGUUGCCAGUUAUAAAAAUAGAUUUUUGGUAUAACUCAAUCUCAAAAGUAAAAAUAACUUUUCAAAAUUCUCGAGACUCCUAACAAGAGCAUGGACAAUAUACCAUGGAACUCAACAAUAAAUUGAAAUUACUAUAACUAACUCUCAUACCAAAUAAAUAUAUAUUGCGGAAAAUUCAAAUUCAAAUACUAACUCACGAAGAGAAAAAUUAUUCAAAUUCAUAUAACAAGAUCAAAUUUUCAAUCCUUCUUGAGAUGUUAAACUUCUUUAACACCACUUACCUCAAAAAUCAGUAAAAUUAAUAAUGGGGGAUAAGUUCUCAUGUAUCACGUGCUGUUCACUAAGUCAGACAAAUAGCUUUGAAAUUUGACCAGUAUCAGGAUGAACCUGAUUAGAAAUAUCAAAAUAAAUAUUCGGUUUUGUUCUAUUCCAUUAUAUAUUAAGAUGGAAUCGGAAUGGAACGGGAUGAGAUAAACGGGACGACAUUUUUAGUUAUUUCAAAAUCGAUUAAAUUUUUUUAUUUAUUGUGAUUUUUUAAAAUACGAAAAUAUGAAUAUUUUUUUUAUUUGUCUAAGUUUAAAUUAUUAGUUUUUAAAUUAUAAUGUAAUUUUUAACUUAAGUUUAUUUUAAAGAUAGUUUUUUUUUUAAAUUUUUACUUAUUAAGUUUACAAGUUAAGUCUAUAAGUUUUCAAGAUUUGAAUCUUUUGAAGUUUAUAAGCUAUUACUUAUUAAUAUGUUAUAACUUAAGGUUAUAUUUAUAACUUGUGAAUUAAAUAACUUAAAUUUGUAAUUUUAAAAAAUUAAAUAAAUAUAAGAAUAAAAAAUUACACAAAUUAAAAAAUAUAAAAUAUCAACUAAAAUAGAUAAUAUAAAUUAAUUAAUAAAUAAUAAUUAAUCGAAAAUCGAACUGACACCGAACCGGAUCGAGAUCCGAAUAAAUCGAUACAGUUACAUCGAUAUCAAAUUACGAUCACAUUACGUUUCGUGUACCAAUUCAUGGUGUCUCGUUCCGUCUCGUAGGCAAUCGAAUCGGUGUGAACUGAAACGGUAUAGAUCCGUUGCCUAGUCUUACUUAAGAGUAACUUAACAAAAAACUUUCUGUUAAUAAUUAGGUUUUUUUGUAUGACCCAUUGGUGCCAGUUAUGGAUAUGAAUUUUGGAUAUAACUUAAUCUCAAAAAUAAGAAUGAUUUUUCAAAAAUCUGAAGUAUUCCUUAACGGAAGCAUGCACAAUAUACCAUGGAGUUCAAUAAUAUAUCAAAACUACUUUAACGGACUUUGAUACCAAGUAAAUGUAUAGAAAAAGAAAAUUUAUCUAAAUACUCUCUCUGUUUCUAUUUACUUGUCCAUAUUUUCUCUUCAGAUAUCUCUAUUUACUUGUCCAUUUGACAAAUCAAGAAAAAACAAAAAAAAUUCUAUUAUACCCUCAUUUAAACUUCUUGAAAAUUUUUAAGUUUUAAUUCAUCUUUUUUAAAAUCAUAUUUAAUAAUGGUAAAGUUGUAACUUCACUAUGUUAAUUGUUAUUAGAUUAGUAUGUGUGUCUUUUCUAAAGUGUUCAACUAAAUAAGUAUAGAGGGAAUAUAUUUAAGGAUAUUAAUUUUCUAAUAUUUUUUUUAAUGUUGCACUUAAUUCUCAUGGCUUUAUAUAUAAGGAUAAGGAUAUCAACUUUUUUCUUUUAAUGUUGCACUUAAUUCUCAUGUCCCAUGUGAUGUUCACUGAGUCAAAACAAAUAACUUUGAAAUUUGAUCCAAAUACAGAUAUUUUAUCUCAAAUAUUGCCACAUAACACAUCUAGAUUCUUCCAUCAAACCAAUUUAUGUCUAUAAAUAGGAGAACUCCCAAGUGAAAAAAGUGGAAAGUUAUUUUGGUUGAGAAGAACCAAAACAACUUUUCCAGCAAAGAAAAAGUUAGCCCAGAAAAUCUAAAAAAAAAGAGGCAAAACAGAGAGUUCUAGGAAUUUUUCUUUAACAAGGGUGGUUGCCCCUCUCUUGUUUAGCCAAUGAUUUUUAUUUUUUAUUUUUCAGAAGCAACAACCCUUGGAUUCAUGUUAAUUUCUUGGAAAUGACUGGAUCAUUCAAAUGACAAUCAUACAUAUAUUCCACAACCUUUGGCAAUAAUCUUUUUUUUUGUGUCUCUAUUAAUCUAUCUACGGUAUGUAUGUGUGUUGUAUUAGAGGCGAUGAUGAUAAUGAUGAUGAUUUUUUCGAAUUCUGGGGUAACUGGAUUGGGGAUGGAGACUAUGUGAUUCAUAUCUUGGCUUGGCAAAUCAUCUUGAUUUUGCAGCCAUGGCGUGGUUGCCCUCUCUUUCGUCCUCAUCUCUUUGCAGAUCUGAGCCUCUAAAUUGUUAUCAACAACAUUUGAAAUAAUAUUUCAAAAACUGCUUUUCAUUUUUUUGAAAAUAUAAUAUAUUAUGUUCUUCUAUUAUCUAUCUAUCUGAUUUUUUAUUUAUUUAUUACCUUAAAAUCAUGAUGAACUUGAUGUAGAAAUUUCUAUAUUUUAGGUUUGUGAUUUUUCGAUGAAAUUUGUAAGUUUUUUUUUAAUAGUUGUGAUUUUUUCCACUGGUAUAAGAAAGAGUUGUGACUUUUUAGGGGUAUGAUUUCUCGGAAUGGUCAAGAAAAUGCUUGUUUAUGCAACUCUUUGUUGACUAUAGGCCUAAUUCAUCGGUGAUUCUUAAAAUUGAUUUUAAUUUUCAGUUAUAUACUCUAAUUAGAUUUUGUUGAUUUAUAUAUUUUAGGUAGGUUUUCACGAUAUUAUUUUGAUACUUUUUGCUUACAAGCAUAAUGAGUAUUAUACACGCUCACUGUUAAAAGUCUUAUUCACAAUUUUUUUUAAAAAAAUAUCUCUUUUUCUACAUUUUUUAGCUACAAUAUCCAAAACAUAUAUAAAAGUAUAUGAUAAAAUAAAUUUAGUAAUGUCACAAAUAAAAAGUAAAUUUUAGCUCAUAAAAUUUUUCAAAAGUUUAAAUUUUAACAUUAUGAAAUAAAAAUCUAAUUAUUUUUCCUAAAUCAUAAGAUUUGAAAAAAAAUUGCACUAUUAAUCAAUAACUUAAAAGUAAAGAAGAAAAUGUCAUACUUUUGUAAGAUAAUUUUUUCAAACUAAUUAAGUUCUUUUGGAAAUAUCUUUUGAAAAUUUGAUACGUAUAGAAACAAGACAGAAGUUGGAGUUGGUGGGGGCGGAGAGGAGGACUUGGUGACUGGUGGGGUGGAGGAAUGGUUGCGGUUGGGGUAGAGAGGAAGAUCUGAUGGCUAGUAGGAUGGAAGAGUUGUAGGGGUUGGGGUUGGGGUGGAGAAGGAGAAGGAAAUGGGUCGGGUGGGAUGAAAAAGACGACGAGGUUGGACUGGGGUAAUUAUUUUAUUCUUAUUGUUUGAGUUUAAAAUGACAUAUGUCAUAAAAUAUGAUUGUAUAAUAUUUAAUUAAAUAUUUUAUGAUAUAUUUAAAUUUAUCUCAAUGAUGACCUUGUAAUUCGAUGUUGAUGAUAAAAACUAAUAUAAUAUGAUAUGAUUAAAUAUAUAUUAACUACUUAAGUCUUUAAAAAAGGGUAAAAAUAUCUUGCAACUUUCCCUUGACAUUUUCAUUUUUUAUUAUACUAUCCCACUUGGAACAUUUACUAGAUGAGAUGCUUGUUUAAUAUUCAAUUUAUUAGACGUUUUAUAAUUUUUUAUUGAGUGGAGUGGCAUUGCAUAUACAUUGUUUUAUCAAUUAGGAAUUUUCAUAUUCUUCUAUUACAAGAAUUAUGAUUAUAAUUAAGUCAAAAACAAAAUAUUGUGUUUGAAUACUUAUAUUUUGAGUUGAAACUUAUGCUCUUAAAUUUGUUCGUAAUUAUCUCGAAUUCUUGGCUAACAUGGUGAUUUAAUAUAAGUUUUUCUUUACAUAUUAUUAUAGUCGUUUACUUUUAUGAACAAUUUUUUAUUCUCGCUCAACUUGCAUUUUUCUAACGGAAUCAUGGAUAAAUCACCAUUCAGCUUCUUAUAAAUAAUGUUAGGAUGGCCGAUUCAUUCUCAGAAUUUUUUUAAAAAAUGAUAGAACAGAGUCUCAACUCGUAAGUUCUUCAAUUAUACUAUUACAACCCUAGUAGCCAAGAGUUGAUAUUUCAUUCUAACUUAAGAUCCUUAUGUUUUUUAGUGCAAGAAAAUCAUGAAAUUGAGGGUUUUUAUGUCGACUCUUUGAUCUUACAAAAGUAAGGUUAUUUUCUUUCAAACGAUUUUAGUAAGUAUCAUUGGCACAAAUCCAUUUUAUUAAGUAAUUUAUUAAUAUUUUUUGUCAUCCUUAAAAUCUCAUUCUAGCCUAAGAUUCUUGUGGUUCUUGAGUGCAUGAGAAACAAGAACAGAAGGUUUUUGUCGAUUCGUUGAUCUGAAAAUUAGACAGUGAUUUCCAUUUCUAAUGAUUUUAGUAAGUACUAGUCUUGGACACGUGCAACACACGUGUAUCCUAUACUAAUUUAUAUAAAAUCAUUAGAACUAAUGAUAAAUGUAUUUUCUAAUAGAACAAAGUUUUACAAUUUAUAGAAAUUUCAUUUUGAUCUAUGAAAGAAUCCUUCCAUUGAAAACAUUUUUCUAACCUGAAGUUUUAGUUAGAGACUGAUUGGUUAAAGGCUAAAGGUGACAAGAAAAUUAAAAAUAAAAUAUGUUAUCAAUUCACGUUAACAUCCAGCGAAAUACAUGCAACAAGUAAUAAAAGUAGAAAAAUAUAAAAAUAACAACAAUGACCUACAUACUUGAUAACAAUCCAUAUGUUCUUUAUAGAAAAAAGAAGAUACAAAUAAGAAAUUAGAAAUAAUUGAGUUAGUAAAAAUUCUUGUUGGUAUAACAAUUUCUUCUUCUAUUAUUCAAAUCAGUUAACCUUAAAAAUAAAUUACUACACAUUGAGUUUUAGAUUGAAAACCAUCAUACAUUCAUAUAUAAAUUAUUUAAUAAAAAUAAUCAAACAUUGUGAAAAUAACAAGGAAUGUGGAAGGUUGUUAAAAACAAUUAUUAGGUUAGAAGAAGAAAAAUUAAAAUUAAUAUUAAUAAUUAGGUAAUUCAUAUGGUUAUAAAUGAAGUUUUUAGAGGCAAAACAUAUGUAUAAGUUACAUUAAAUAUGCUUAUAAUGGGUGAAAAAACAAAAUUGACUCAUUAAAGAAGAAAUUGUGCAACUUUUCAUUCGUGUAAGAAGUUACUUACAAAAGUACGUAAUGGACGGAUAAAUUAGUUUCACAGAUUUAGGGAGAAUUGAAUGUAGAGGGUUAAAAUAUGAUUGUUGAGAUUUCUGUUUACUCACUAUUUGUUAUUUAAUUUGAUUAUGAUUUAAUGAAGGACCACAAAUUUUGUAAUAUGAUCGUCUAAUAUUUAAUUAAAUAUUUUAUGAUAUUUUGAUUUAUCAUUGUUUAUCGCAAUGGUGAACUUGCAAUCCGACGUUAAUGUUAAAAGUUAAUACAGUAUGAUAUGAUUAAAUAAAGUCUUUAAAAAGGGGUAAAAAUGUUAAGUCAAGAACAAAAUAUCAUGUUUGAAUACUUAUUUUUUGAGUUGAACCUUUUUAUGAUUUUUUACAAAAUGAAGUUAAAGUCGAUUAUUUUUUAUUUAUUUUUUAAAAAGAACUAACAAAAUACUAAGGAUUUUUGUAAGUUAAAUAUAAUUUAUGAAAACAAAGAAACGCAUGUAAUAGAUAAAUGUUUGAUAAAAUGAAAAUUGUAUUAAUUUUCUACCUCUAAAUGAUGAAUACAAACAGAUAUGACAGUUUCACUAAUUUAUUUAUUUUUUUUGAGAAAAAAAGUCAUAAAUCAGAACUAAAAAAUCAUAUUUUGAGCUGAUACUUGUCAUGUUUUUUUAUAAAAAUGAAAUUAAUCUACUAAAUCUUAAAAAAGAAAAGAAGGGCAUAUAAAAAAUGUAUUUAUAUAAAUAAGGAAAUCUUUUUAGCCAGUGAGUAGGGGUGUUCGUGGUUUAGCUUGAAUCGAUUAUCAAUUAAAAUCUAAAUAAAAUCAAUCUAAUCGGUUUUUAAAAUUUCUAAAACAAAUAAAACCAAACGAAAAACAUAACCGUCGUUUUGAUUACUGACGUUUUGAUUCACUUUUUCUAGUUUUUUAGUUUGAAAGUAAUAAUCUUUUAGGACAUAUGUAUCUUGAUAGACUCAAAUACCUAGUAUAUAAAUAAUCCACUGAAAAGUUAUUGUUGGUUCAAUUAAGCAAUUAAACAAUACUAAAGUUAUUAAUACACGAAUAAAGUGUUUCAAUUAAGAGAAGGUGUAACUAUCUUAUGAAAUAUAUGGUAGAUAAAGACUAAAGUAAUGAAUUUGAUGCAGUUGGACUUAUGAUUGUAAUAUAUGGGCUAAAAUUUAUGUGUUGAGCUUGAGCAAAUUGUAAGUUAAAGACUUAUAUUACUUAAAAUUUAACAAAAUAUUUAUAUUUUAUUUAUGAAUAAUAUAUUUAUAAAAUUUAUUGGUUAGAUUUGAUUAUUUUUGCAGUUAUUUUUAAGUAAAACUAAAACCAAAUCAAAUAAUAUCAAUUUUUCAAAAUGCAAAAUCAAAUCUAGUCACAUCAAAUCAAAUAUCAUUUUUUAAAUUGGUUUGAUUCAGAAUGUGAUUCGAUUUGAUUUUUUAACCAUAACCAUGAACAACUCUACCGGUGAAUAUUAACAUAUAUGACAAUUUCAUUUAUUUAUAUAUUUUCUAAAAAUGGCAUACAUCUCAAGUAAAUAUAAUGUUGAGUUUAGAUUUUAUACAAGUUCAAAAAAUGAAGUCAAAUUUCAUUUGUCUAUUUGUUUUCUUAAUAAAAUUAUAAAUUAAAAGUAAAAUAUUAUCUUUUUAUUUAAAUUCUGAGUUGAUCCUUUUUGUGUUUAAAAAUAAUGAAGCUAGAAUUACUUAAUUUUUAAAAAAAAAAUAUUAAUAAGUUAUAUUUUAUAUCAUGAUAAUAAACUUAUGUUCUUAAAUUUAAUCGUAAUUAUCCCUUUGGCUAACCUUUUGGUGUUUAAAUAUAAGUUUUUCUUUACAUAUUAUUAGAGUCGUAUAUUUUUAUGAAUCAUUUUUUAUUCUCUCUACAGCUCUCACUCAACUUGCAUUUUUUAUGGACAUCAUGGAUAAAUCACCAUACAGGUUCUUAUAAAUAAUGUUAGGAUGGAUCGGUUCAUCCUCAUAAUUCAAAACAAAACGAUAGAACAAAGUCAUUUGAUUUUCAUGACACAUCUACUCGAUUCAUAAGUUCUCCGUUUAUUUCUAUCACAACCCUAGUAGCCAAGAGUUGAUAUCUUCUUCUAACUUAGGAUUCUUAUGAUUUUUGAGUUUAGAAGAAUCAUAAAUUGAGACUUUUUGUCGACUCUUUGAUCUUAGAAAGGGAAGGUUAUUUUCUUUCCAACGAUUUUAGUAAGUAUUAUUGGUACAAAUUCAUUUUAUUAAUUAAUUUAUUGAUAUUUUUAGUCAUAGUUAAAAUCUCAUUCUAACCAAAGAUUCUUGUGGUUCUUGAGUGCAUGAGAAACAAGAACGAUAGGUUCAUGUCGAUUCGUUGAUCUGAAAAAUGGACGGUGAUUUUCUUUUCUGAUAAUUUUAGUAAGUACUAGUCUUGGACACGUGCAACGCACGUAUACCAUACUAAUUUAUAUUGAAUCAUUAGAAUUAAUGAUCAGUGUAUAUUCUGAUAGAACAAAGAUUUAUAUAUAAUUAAUAGAAAUUUCAUUUUGAUCUAUGAAAGUAUUCUUCCAAUGAAAACAUUUUUCUAGCCUAAAAUUUUAAUUAGAAAACUGAUUGUUUAAAGGCUAAAGGUGACAAUACAAUUAAAAAUAAAAUAUGCUAAGAAAUCACGUGAACAUCUAGCAAAUAAAUGCAACAAGGAACAAAUGUAGCAAAAUAUAAUGAUAAUAACAAUGACCUACAUACUUGAUAACAACUCAUAUAUUCGUUAUAGAAAAAAGAAGAUUAAAAUAAAAAAAUAGAAAUAAUUGAGUUAGUCAAAAUUCUUAUUGGUACAGCAAUUUCUUCUUCUGCUAUCCAAAUCACUCCACCUUAAAAAAGGAAUUACUACACGUUGAGUUUUGGAUUGAAACCCCAUCAUGUAUCCAUAUAUGUGAGUUCUUUUCAUAAGUUCACAUGAAUAGUAAGCAAUAAAUAUAUCAAAUCAAUUUAAUCGGACUAACUUUUUAGUUUUCCUAAAAACUGUUACACUUCCAAAAAAUUUGCAUGUGAAGAAGCAUUUACUAUAAAUAAUUUAAUGAAAAUAAAUGAAAUAUUGUUAAAAUAAUAAGGAGUGCGGAAGGUUGUGAAAAACAAUUAAUAAGUGAGAAGAUGAAAAAAUUAAAAUAAUUACUAGUAAUAAUUGAGGUGUUGUUAUAAAUGAAGUAUUUUAGAGGCAACCCAUAUGUGUAAGUUACAUUACGCAUGCUCAUAAUAGGUGAAAAAAUAAAAUUGACUCAUUAAAGACGAAAUUGCGCAACUUCUCAUUUAGGUAAGAAUUUUCUUACAAAAAGUACGUAAUGAGCAAAUACAUUAGUUACACACAUAAAGGGAGAAUUGAAUGUGGAGGAUUAAAAUAUGAUUGUUGUUGUAAAACUAAACCAAACUAACAAUAUAAUGAUAAAGAAAAAAAGAAUAUGAGACAAGAGAUUUAGAAGAUGAAAACAAUAGAAAUAGAGAGACAAGAGAUGAGAGCUUUUCUUAUUAAUCAAAGUAUUUAUCAAAUCUUUAAGUGUAUACAAUAUGAACCCUUAAGCCUCUAUUUAUAGUGUAACAUAAAGGCAUAUAAAAGGUUAGUCAUAAACAUGACAUUAACAUGAAUAUAAUGGGGAGCUUAUGAAAGUGAAAUGUUACAAGAAUAAUUAUUAUAAAGGUAAAAGUUAUGGAGGUUAUGAUUAUCUUCAUAAUGAGGAAAAAGUGUAGAUAAUGGUGAGUAACUUCUUGGUGUAGUGGACAUCCACACUAUAUUAUUUUAUAACACUCCCUUGGAUGUCCAUAGAUAAUAUGCUUCGUGAAAACCUUACUAGGAAAAAACCUUGUGGGAAAAAAGUCCUAGUGAAAGAAAAAGAGUACACAUAUCUUUUAAUACGCUUGAAUGUUGCCUCGUUAAAAACCUUACCAGGAAUAUUCAUUUGCGACAAAACCAUGAUUAAGUAAAAGAGUAAAAUGCGCAUGUUUCUCCCCUGAUAAAAACUUUACUUAAUAUCUCGGAGACGAUGCAUUCCGAUCUUAUAUCACAACUUCUCAAAUAUUGAUGUUGGUAAUCCUUAGUGAAUAAGUUUACAAUAUUAUCAGUUGAACGAGCCUUUGAACGUCUAUAUCACCGUUGUGCUGAAUCGUGUGUGAAAAAGAUUUUAGGUGAUAUAUGUCGUGUCUGAUCUCCUUUGGUUGUAUCCUCCAUUCAAUUGAACUAUAAUUAUUUUCGUAUAUGGUGGCUGGAAUAUCCUUUGUCAAAGGAAAAUCACAUAUUCUAUGAAUAUGAUAUAUUAUGAUUCCAAUCCAACACACCCCUGACUUACUUCAUUGAUCUAUAUGAUUUGAAAAAGUGGUUACAAAUGUUUGUUGAAUGCCAAGAUAUUGUUGUGCCUCCAUAUGUAAGCAAAUAGCUCAUUUGCGAUCUAGCUUUAUGUAGAUCAAAUAAAUAUUUUGCAUCUGCAUAAUCAAACCAUUUUUUACUCAUUGGAGAUUGAUCAAUUUCGUUGAAACUCGUCUUUUCUUCUCAAAGAAAGUCACACAUCUUUUACCAUUUGCAUAACCAAUAAUUUGUAAGUGCACUAAUAGCACUAAUACAUUACAUUUUAAAUCAUUUUCUUGAGAUUGAAAAGAUCCUUUCUUUGUGUUAUGCAAUCUUAAAAUCAUUGAAUACUCAAUGGAAUUGCUUUAAGACCUUUUAAAUCCUUCAAGGAUUUUCAUAUAACCUUCAUUGUCUAGUUAGACAUAAUAAUCAUUGAUUAUGCAUAUUCAAGUAUUUCAUAACUUUCCAGACUGAAAAAAGUCUCAUUGCAUUCAAUAUUGAAGAAUAUAUCUCCAUUUAAUAAUGUCAGGACUUCUGCAAAAAUUCUUUAUGCCCCGAGGAACGAACAAUAUUUUAUAUCUUAUGGUUAAUAAUGUCAGGACUUCUGCGAAAAUUCUCCACUGAUAUAUAUUUUGAUCUAUAAACCAUAUUUUCAAAAAGUAUCACUUUUCUAAGUGAUACAAAAUAUAUUUGAAUAGUGUCAACCAUUUAUCCGUCUAUACUAUAUGACAAAUUCGAAUUUAAGAUCCUCGUAACCAUUUAUAGAACUGAGUGCUACAUCCAAUCAAAUAUAGCGUCGAUGAUUGUUUUGAUUUCAAUUCUAAAACGACAUAACUUAUCGAGAUAUCUUACUUUUUCAUCAUUUUCAAGUACCUGAACCUUUGUUAAGGUUUUAUAAAAUGUUAUGUCAUAGUGCUCUUUCAAAGCACUUACCUCAUUAUCAAUGACCAUUUUGAUAAUUUACUCAUCUCCCUCCUCAAGAAGUUUUACAUUUGGAAUCGAUUGGUCUAUCACGCUUUUGGCGUACCAUAAACUCGGUCCUUCAAGGACUAUUUAUUGAAGCAUUUGCAGCUUAAUAUUGGUCAGCAAAUUCAUCUGGCAAAUUACUUGCAACAUUUUGCAUAUGAAUUGUCUCUUGAACUUCAAGUUCACAUUUUUUUAACGGGGAUCUAGAUAAUUCACCUCACACAUAAUUUUCAGCUGCUACACAUAUCUCCCCCUAAUGUUAGGAAAUCUAACAUUCAGCCCAAAACCUCAAUUGGGUACCUAUAUUUGUGCAUGGUGGAGCAAUAAAAUAAUAUGUGAACAUGUCAAAAUUUUAGAUGGAAAUUAUUGGUUCCUGAUCCUGAACCAAUUGUGUUGGGAAAACCUUGUUGGCUUGAUGCAUACAUGUUAAAUAAACAUAUCUCAUACCAAAUUUUAUUUGAGAGACUUGUUCUCAUAAUCAAUGGUCUAGCAAUAGUUGGAGGCAUACAAUUUCUGCUAAACCAAUCAGCAUUAUCAACAUGACUUUAAGUUUGAAAAUAUGCUCUUAAUUUGAUAAUUUGAGCAAACAACCUUACAAAAAUCAAUUUGUAAGUUGAUACAAAUGCACAUGUGACCAUACCAUAGAUACAUCUAUUAAAUCAUAAUUGUAAACGGUCCACAUGGCAGGUGAACAGACCCAUAUCCACCUUUUUAUAUGUUUCAAAUAAUUUUAGGGGAUACAGUCUCAAUCAAAGCUGGUACAAUGAUCAUUUUAUCACGAGAACAAGCUUCAAAGGAGAAAUCUUGAGGAAUAUUUUAUUUCUUCAACAUAUAGCCACGUGAGUUCUCAAUUUGUCUUGCAUCACAUUUGAAUCAGAAUGACCAACCUAUUAUGACAAAUGAUAUUUAUUCAAGUAAGCUUCUAGUUUACUUUUGCGUGUGAUUCCAUCACCAUGCUCGUAUUUGUAUACAACAAACAACGGGUAAAAAAUAAAUUAUCUUAUACUUACAUAUAUAUUACCCACUUUGAUUGUAGUAAUUGAAGAUUUGAAAUCCUCCCAUAAUUUAUAGUCUCAAUAUAAUAAUUUGUUUUUAAUUCUUCUUAAACUUAAAAAAGUUUCUUUUGAGACUUACUACAACAACAAUAUUAUGAAUAAUUUUAUCCCUCCAAAUAGUAACAAUUAGCCCUUUCGAAAUUAUCAAUUAAUUUUGUGUACUACCACAAUUUUCACAAUGUCAUUUUAUGGUGACCAUCUCCUUCAAGGAGAAAAUUUUUACUAUUGUCAUGAUUAAAAUUAUUACAUUCAAGACUUAUUUCUUGGUAAUCAAUAACAAAUUUGUGUUUCCACACAACAACAUUUAUUUUGAUCAUGUCCACAACCUUUACAUAAAAGAUUUAUUCUUUCUUUUGUCUCGUUUUAAAAUAUACCACAAUAUUUGUGUAGUAUUCAAAGUAUAUAUAUGACCAAAAUGACUAUUUAUGUCAAAAGAUUUUCUUUCAUCUCUCAAACCUUCCGUAGAGGUGAGAUGUGACAUUCAUCCAAUAAUACAUGAACAUGUUUUUAUCUAUACGAAAACAAGUCACAUUUUCUUAAAAAAAAAUGGACCAUAAUCAUUUGUACAUGUUCCAUAUGUUUUUAUUAGAAACUCAUUGUCAUGUUUUGACAUUAUGUAUCUAUAACAUUCCGGAAAAUUACAUGUCUAGUAAAGAGCCCAAUAGGUCUUUAAGAAUGCGUAUUGGGGAUACAUAGGCAUUCCAAUGCCCAAUAUUGAGAAAUAUUAGGCAUAUUAUAGAAAAUUAGCUAAGGGGUAUAAGCUAAUUUUUAUAUAAUAUUCAAAUAACUAAAAUAUUGGGCAUAUUAUAAAAUAUUGGUUUAAAGGGUGUUAGCCAUUUUUUCUAAGUAUUAAUGAGGUUGUUCAAGAAAUGUACCUGCAAUGAAGAUCCUAAGCUAAAAACAUAUAUUUUCCAACAUUUACACAUUAGGUGCAAGGCAUCCAUGUGUCAAGCCAAGGCACCAUAGCACAUGACCAAUUAAAUUGGGCAUGUAGAUUAAGCAAUGCCCAAGGACAUAGUAAGGAUCCAUGGGACAAUAAGUAAACAUUCCCAAUGAACCAUCAAGAAUAGUUAGUUAGGAAAGUACAAGCAACACAUGUAGAAAAAUGUCCAAGGGAGGGGACCAUCCUAACCGAAUUCGGUUAGGAUAGUUAGGGAGGGGACCAUCCUAAUCACUCUCAAACGCAAAACAGUAAACAAAUGAAAGAAAAAUAGAAAAGUUUCUCUCGAUUUAUCUUAGGAGAUUUUAAGGUUUUCUUCAAGGUUUCGUGAAGGUGAUCUUUGUAGAUUUAAUUCUGCAUAAGGUAUGAAUAUUAUCUCAUGGAAUUCUUUCUCCAUGUGACUUUUCAAACGUUUGAAUUCAUGAACUUUGAAACUAAGUUGUACCCAGAUUAUAUUGUUGAACGUUCAUCUCCCUAGUUAUCCUUAUUUUCGGUUCUUUAAGCAUAUAGAUGUAAUCUUGGACAUAUUGUUGGUAUGUGGUGCUAACUGAUUUUAUAAGUUCUUGAUUUGUUAAUGACUAAUGAAGUUUAUAGAUUGGAAUCAAAUGAUUUGAGUGUUAAUUAUACGAAUUAAGGAAUGAUAUAAUGCUUACUUGUGUUUCAAGAAUAUGAAGUUACUAUGAAUCGGCUAUGGAAUUUAGUUACUGUUAAAAUGUUCAGUUUUGACUGAUUCAUGUUGGGGAAUCACUAUAUUACAUUCAUGAAAUUAUUUGAUGUGGUUAGUGAUAACAUAAUGAAUGUUGUUUAAGUGAAAGUUUUGUUUAUGCCUAUAAAAUGGCUAACAAUGUCUUGCCCAAAAAGUUGAAUGACAUUGGCUUACAAUAUUGCUUUCAAAGAAUGAUGGAAAGAGUGUCUAAUGUAAACCCAACUAAGCAUGACUAAAGUAACUUUGAAUUCAUAACCAAGGUUAUGUCAAUCAUUGGUAUAAGUCGCAACAUACCCUUUCCAAAUGAACUAUGAACAUAGUAACAACAUUGAACAAAGUUCUUAACGUUUAUAAAGAAUGAUAUAAAAAUACCGAAAGACAUGAAAUGAGUUAGGGUGAGUAAUAACAUAAUUAAGUCUUUAAAUUAUGAAGGUGAUUAGUAUGGGGUGUUAAAGGAAGUGAGACAAGUCUCACUUACACCUAAGAUAGCUAUGUUAAAUAUACUCACAAAAGCUGGUGUUAAUAAUCGUGAAACAAGUCUCAUUAACACCAAGAUGAUAAUGUAAGGUUGAAUUUCACAUUUCAUCAAGUAAAUAAAGGAAUGACAAGUUAUCUAAAGAGUUAAGUAAACAUUAUAACUAGAAGCAAGCUUCCAUAAUGUUUGAUUCAACUCUAAAAGAUGUGAAGUAAAAGAAAUUGAGCAAAGUAACGAUAGACUAGCAAUGAGCUUGUUCCAGCACAUGUAAGUCUCAUGAGAUGAGGCUACCACCAAGGUGGAUAAGUAGUCUCCACAGGUAUCCUAGUCUUCGAACUAUGUUUCCACCAUAGGAACUUGCCAGUGGAUCCACCUAAGGGAGCUAGGUAUGAUGCGGUUUCACUUUGACCGUGAAACCACCCCUUUCGGUGUGGGGCAGACAUUGAAUUUCAUGCUUAGCUCACAUAAUCUAUGUCUGUUAAAUGCUCAAAGAAAGUAUUCUAUUCACUUUAUCCGUGAACCACCUAUUUUCAGUGUGGAGAAGACAAUGGACCUGAUUUCACUUUAGCUGGUGAACUACCCUUUUUCGGUGUGGGAUAGACAAUGGAAUUCACGUUAGCUCACAUGAUCUAGAUUCACUUUGAUCGUUGAAUCACCCCUUUUCGAUUUCUGACAGACACUGAAUUUCAUGUUAGCUCGCAUGAUCUUAAUUCUAAAGUUGUCCUUAAGAAAGAAAGAAAGAAGAAGUGAUGUAUGUUCAAUGUGAGCUAACGAAGUAAGAGCUUAAGAAUAUCAAUCUUCAGUGUUUGAUAAGAAUGAAGUUUUCAGCAAGUAAUGGGCAUAGUCAAAUAAAAUUGGCUUAUAAUAACUUCUUAUAUUAUGUCAAUAAAGGGGAGUAAAAGGUAAUGCCUAAUCAAUGCCUCAUAACCUCCAUAAUAUGAAAUUGAUGAAAUAAGUGGCCUAGCCAAUAAAGAUUCGCUUGUAAAGAGUCCAUGCAAAAUCUAACAAGAAUGAAAAGAAUAACUUGUUGUAAGGAUAGCCAAAUCAAUUCCUAAGUCCUUUGAAUUACUUACUUGAUUCAUUGUAGGUAUGAGACUACAAUGAAUCAUUGCACUUGAAAUUAAAAUAUAGGAUCAAAGGAGAUUGUUGAACUACACAACAAAAAGAAGAAAAGACUAAAAAAAAAUAAGUUCAGAAAAAGGUGCUCUCGGGUUUGGGGGAUCAAUUUUUAGAAUUUUCAUUCGAGUUGUUCUACAAUAAUGUUAAUGAUUCUAGGGUCUUAUGUUCAUAUAGAAAAUGAGUUGUGUGCUUUGAAUGCAUUAAAAUACGUCAUAUUCAUACCACAAUUCACAAAUAACUAAGUAGGAAAGUCUAGUGAUGUCACUUUCCAAAAAUGGCAUGUUGUUAUAGGAAGAGCUUUCCUUGAUCAUGUAUAGUCAUUAUGUGUAUGUGUACAUACACCAUACUUAGUAUAAGUGUGUACUAAUCCUAUAUUAUUAUUAUCUUUAUAGGUGCAGGUCAGAGAGAAGGUUGAAGAUUCAUCGAAGCUGUUUGGAUUCUCGAUCUACAGACUUUGGUAGAUCCUCUUGAUGUUCAAGGAUGCUACACUUAUCUAUCUAGCUUCGUACUUUAGACAUAGCUAUUGGAUGUUGUCCCUACAACAAAUUAUUCUUUUCAUUCUUUAACAAUUACCUUUACAUUUGAAGGACAUUGUACUUAAGAUGGUCCUUCAAAUGUAAAGGUAAUUGUUAAAGACAAUUUUUAUCCAUCAAAGUGGUAGAUGGUUGUUUUAAUUUGAGCUUAGUAGAAUAUUAAUCUAUGUAGAAAAUAUAUGAAGUCUAUGUAUACUUCAUUAUGUUUAAAAGUUUUAAAUUUUCCGCAAAUUUAACUAUAUGAAUGUGAUGAAAGCUAAGAAGAGGCUUGUCUGCGACCUUUGAGAGGUUAACAACGCCGGUUGCAUUCGGAUUUCAGAAUCCAGGUGUGACAGUAACUCACCUCAACAUCACUUUGAGAGUUCAAAUGUACCAAAUGUAUUACCACUUUGUAUUCAUUUAUUUUGAUGGAGGAUUUACAAAACUUUUUAAAUUGGGUUUCACCAACAACAAUGUGCCCAACAUCUCAUACCACUUUGAUGGAUAAAAAUUGUCUUUAACAAUUACCUUUACAUUUGAAGGACCAUCUUAAGUACAAUGUCUAAUAACCUUUUAUACAAUUUUAAUGGAAAAAAUUGUCUUCAAAUUUGAAGGAACAUCUUAAGAACCCAUAAUGUUCUUCCUUUUAAUUACCACAAUGAUGACCAUUAACAUUUCACCAUAUCCAUAUUCAUACAUUCAACCACUUGUCAUUUUUUAAAUAUAUUAAUACACUGCUACUGCAUUCACAUAAGGGAAUGAAGCAAAUUAAUUGGGUAAAUUUCAUGAUUUUCGGUCAAAAGUAUAAAUCUUUAUGUUAGUCAUCAUCAUAUCAUCACUAUAAUGCAUUAGGACUUCAACCCAAUGUCUUACCCAUAUAAAGACACCUUUGGUCAUAAAUCAAUAGGACUUCAUGGUGCCCAAUUGACUUUAACUCGAUGUCUUAGCACUUGGUGCGGUGAAACCUGAGUUCACCGUCUUAACCUCAACCAUUGCCUUAACAAACCAAAUGAAUUACCAAAAAUAUAAUUAUCGAAAAUCAUAAAUAUAAUCUGAACUUGACUUGAUAUACAAGAAAAAUGAACAAAUAAAUUAAUUAGAACAUGUUAGCAUCAUCUAAAAGCCCCAAGUUAAAAUAAAUUCAAACAUUUUAAUAGUCCCUCUCAACAUUGUUAUGAAGGUUAUUAUAAUUUACUAACCAUUUUAGAAUAACUACAAAACAAGCUUUGUUAGUACAAAUAAUAUUUUAAUAACUCAACAAGUAAAUGUUCAAAUGAAGAAAAAUAAAGAGGUGCAAAAGUAAACAACAACAAUAAUCCAAUAAAAGAAGAUCAUAAAGAACAAUUUCUUUACAAAUUGUUAACUUACAAACUAAAUUUACUUUUUAAAUAUAUAAGUGAACAAAUUAAAAGUUUACUAAAAGUAAAAGCAACUUGUUGGACUCAUAUGAUUUGGAGAUGGUAAGAAAAAUAAUGAUGCAAAAUCAAAAGUAAAAUAUAAAAUAAAUUAUAUAGAAAUUUACCUUGAGAGAAAAAUAAACACAAAUAUUUUUACCUUCUUUAUGUUGUAUUUGCUUCAAUCCUUCAAUAGUAGAACAAUUGUGUUGAUAACGUGUUGUAAAAAUAAUCCAAACUAACAAUAUAAAGAUAAAGAAAAGAAGAAUAUAAGACAAGAAAUAUAGUAGAUGAAAACAAUAAAAAUAUGGACACAAGAGAUGAUAGCUUUUCUUAUUCAUCAAAGUAUUCAUCAAAUCUUCAAGUGUAUACAAUGUGAACCCUUAUGCCUCUAUUUAUAGUGUAACAUAGAGGCAUACAAAAGGUUAGUCAUAAAAAUGACAUUAACAUGAAUAUAAUGGGAGAUUAUGAAAGUGAAAUGUUACAAGCAUAAUGAUUAUAAAGGUGGAGGUUAUGGAGGUUAUGAUCAUCUUCAUAAUGAGGAAAACAUUUGAGAUAAUGGUGAAUAACUUCUUGGUGUAGUGGAAAUCCACACUAUGAUAUUUUAUAACAAUUGUUGAGUUCUCUACAUACUCACUAUUUAUGUUAUUUAAACGUUACUAUUUAAUUUGAUUUAAAUUCAAUGAAGGAUCGCAAAUUUUUUAUUAUGGUGAACUAGCUUUCAACCUUUAAGUAAUAAAAAUAUGAUUGUAUAAUAUUUAAUUAAAUAUUUUAUGAUAUUUUGAUUUAUCCCAUGGUUACCUUGUAAUUCGACAUUGAUGAUAAAAGCUAAUACGAUAUGAUAUGAUUAAGUAUAUAAUAACUAAUUAAGUCUUUAAAAAAGGGUAAAAAUUGAUCAAGUAUAUAAUAACUAAUUAAGUCUUUAAAAAGGGGUAAAAAUUGAUUAAGUAUAUAUGUCACGACCCAAAACGAGCCGCGAGUGGCACCCACACUUAUCCUACUAUAUGAGUGAACCAACCAAUCUAAACCCCAACAUUUCAACCAUAAGAAACAGAAUAUAAUGCGGAAGACUUAAAACUCAUUAAUAAACAUCGAUUAAAUAACUUCUAAAACUCAAUACUUAUUAUUCCCAAAAUCUGGAAGUCAUCACCACAAGAACAUUCUAUCCUCAAAUUACUAAAUCUAAGAGUAUCUAGGAAGCUAAAAUAAGUAAACAGAUGGUCCAUGUCCGAACUUCAAGGACAUCAAGACAUGAAUGAGAGAGAAUCCAGUCCGAGCUAGGAACAAUAGCUCACCCAGAAAUCUGACGUGAUGAAGACUAGCUAGAGUUGAGGACGAGUUGAAGUCGAUGGUACGUUUGCUUCACUCCACAAAUAACAAAGAAGAAAAUUACAAGUAGGGGUCAGUACAAGGCACAAGUACUGAGUAGGUAUCAUCGACCAACUCAAAAUAGAAAGCAAUAUAUAUCAGAUAAUAACAUAAAAUUGACUACCAUACUCAACUGGUGACAACAACAAGUACCAUAACCAUUGGCCACAACCCAAGCACAUCUAUGAGGACUGAAGCCUCCACACCAUACUCAUUUGGGGAAUAGGUUCUUUAAAUUUGAGUAUAUUAACAUAAUUAAAGAUUCAUUCUCUUUAUUAUCCUGGUGUCAAAACGUGACACUCUGAUCCCCUACUACUACAUGUCGGUUCGUGACACCCGAUCCCCUAAUUCUAUGUGUCGGUUCGUUACACCUAAUCCCCUAAUUCCUGGUGUCGGUACGUGACACCUGAUCCCCUAAUUCUACGUGUCGGUUCGUGAUACCCGAUCCACUAAUCUCAUUCCUUUAGUUCAUCAAACCUUCUUUUAUACCAAGGCAUCAUCAUUAACAAAUUGGAUUUAAGGUUUUUAAGAUUCCACAGUAUCAUCAUUAUAAUCCAUCACCAUUUACAUAAUCACAACAUGCAACAACACAAUUAAGCAUAUAGAAGACUUUACAAUACCACUCAACACAUAUCAUUCGCUAUUAAGAUUUCACUAUGAAAUAGCAUAAACCAUAACCUACCUCCAUCGAAGAAUCGUGAUCAAGCAAUCUACUUCUCCAAUGCUUUUUGCUUUCUCUUCGUUCUUCUUUCUCUCUCGCUCGUUCUCUCUUCUUUUCUUUUUAAUUUUCUCCUCUUUCAAAUUCCCUUUGUUUUACCCUAAUUACCAUAUAAUUAAGUAUAAAAGAUGAUAAAAGUAACCCACUAUUUAUUUUAAGGUUAUCUCCUUUAACCCUCAAGUAAAUAAGUUAUUAAACUUACCCACUAAUUUCAUACAGUUUGACAUAAAUAGUCCAAAACACCCCUUUAAAACUUUAGGAGAAAUCUGACCCAGUCAAGGUUACGCAGCUCGUGACGGCCCAUCGUGCCUGCUACUGUCCGUCCUUCUAUUUCCGUCACAAAGUUCAGAGAGUCGAAUUCAUUAAAGAGUCUGUGACGGUCCGUCGUGCCUACGAUGGUCCAUGCUGCUCUUCCAUCGCGAAGUUCAGAGAGUUGUUUCCCCGUACCCAAAUUUCAGAGUUUAAGUGUUUUGGGAUGGAGACCCUCAACGAUCCGUCGUGUGGUCCGUCGACACAGUCAGUUAUUUUCAAAACUAAACUUUACUACUCGAAAUGACUAAACAGGUUGUUACAAUAGAUACCAAUUUACCCAUCGUUCGUCCUCGAACGAUUACAAGAAGAAAAACAAGGGCAAGAAAGAGUACCUGAAUCUGUGAAAAGGUGUGGAUAUCUUUCUUGCAUAUCAGCCUCCUUCUUCCAAGUGGACUCUUCAACUGGCCGAUUCUUCCAUUGAACCUUGAUGGAUGCAAUCUCGCUUGAUCUCAACUUGCGGACUUCUCUAUCUAAAAUGGCAAAAGGCUCCUCCUCAUAAGACAAAUUCUCAUCAAGAAGAACUGAAUCCCAACGAAUGAUGUAGUUUCCAUCCCAAUGGUAUCUUUUCAGCAUAGACACAUGAAAUACCGGGUGCACUCCAAAGAGUCCUAGGGGCAAGGCUAAUUCAUAAGCUACCUCCCCCACGCGGUUUAGAACUUCAAAUGGACCAAUGUACCUCAGACUCGCUUACCUCGCUUACCGAACCGCAUCACCCAUUUCAUGGGUGAAACCUUCAGCAAGACUUGUUCACCCUUCAUAAAAUCCAAGUCUCUAACCUUUCGAUCUGCAUAUUCUUUCUGUCUACUUUGAGCCGCUAAAAGCUUUUCUUGAGUGCAUUUCACUUUAUCUAACGAUUCCCUCAGAAGGUCAGUACCCCAAGGUCUAACCUCAAAUGCAUCAAACCACCGAAUGGGAGACCUACAUCUUCUCCCAUAUAGUGCCUUAAAUGGGGCCAUAUCAAUACUUGAGUGAUAGCUAUUGUUGUAUGAGAAUUCUUCUAAGGGUAAGAAGUUAUCCCAAUGACCACCAAAUUCUAUCACACAUGCACGAAGCAUAUCCUCCAAAACCUGAAUUGUUCACUCAGACUGACCAUCAGCCUGAGGGUAAAAUGCAAUACUAAGGUCUAACCUAGUACCUAAUUCAGCAUGCAAUUUUCUCCAAAACUUAGAAGUAAACUGCGUACCUCUAUCUGAUAUGAUGGAAAGUGGAACUCCGUGCAAUCGAACAAUUUCUGAGAUAUAAAGUUUGGCUAACUUCUCUGCAUUGUAAGUCACCUUAACCGGAAUGAAGUGAACAGACUUAGUUAAUCUGUCAACAAUCACCCAAAUAGAGUCAUACUUACCCAUUGUCUUUGGAAGACCAACCACGAAGUCCAUUGCAAUUCUCUCCCACUUCCAUUCAGGGAUGGGCAUUCUCUGAAGUGUCCCUCCAGGCUUCUGGUGUUCAUACUUUACCUGCUGACAAUUCAGGCUUUGAGCAACAAAAUCAACAAUGUCACGCUUCAUCCUAAACCACCAAAAAUAUUACUUUAGGUCAAGAUACAUCUUGGUUGCACCAGGAUGUAUAGAAUACCUUGAACUAUAAGCCUCUGUAAGAAUAGUGUAAAUCAAAUCAUUGACGCGGGGUACACAUACCCUUCCCUUAAUUCUCAAAACACCUUCCUCAUCGAUUUUUGCUUCUUUAGCCUCUCCUCGCGAUACCUUAUCUCGAAUCCGGAUCAGUUUCUCAUCAAUAAACUGUUUUCCCUUAAUCUUGUCAAGAAAGGAAGAUCUUGCCUCCACACAGGCCAAAAAUCCUCCUUUCUCUAGUACUUCCAGCCUCAUAAAGUCAUUAGCCAGAGUCUGAACCUCUCUAGACAAUGGGCGUCUAGAAACCUGCAAGUGAGCUAGACUUCCCAUGCUUCCUGUCUUUCUACUUAAAGCAUCUGCCACAACAUUAGCUUUUCCCGGAUGAUACAAGAUAGUGAUAUCAUAGUCCUUCAGUAGUUCCAUCCAUCUCCUCUGUCUCAAAUUCAAAUCUUUCUGAGUAAAGACAUACCUGUAAACUACGAUGAUCCGUAUAGACUUCACACUUAACCCCAUAUAGAUAAUGUCUCCAUUGCUUUAAUGCAAACACUACUGCAGCCAACUCCAAAUUAUGGGUCGGAUAAUUACGUUCAUGCACCUUUAAUUGCCUCGAAGCAUUAGCAAUUACAUUCUUCUCUUGCAUUAGCACUGCACCCAAACCAGAAUAGGAUGCAUCACAGUAAACAAUGAAAUUGUUACCUUCCACUUGCAGGGUAAGAAUUGGUGCAGUAGUCAACAAAGUCUUGAGCUUCUGAAAGCUUUCUUCACACUCGUCCGACCAUACAAAUGGAACACUCUGCUUAGUCAAGUUUGUCAAUUGGGAAGCAACAGAAGAAAAUCCCUUGACAAAUCGAUGGUAGUAGCUAGCUAAACCAACGAAGCUCCUUACCUCUGUAACAUUAGUAGGUCUCACCCAACUCUUCACUGCUUUGAUCUUAGAAGGAUCCACCAUUACUCCAUCCUUAGAAACUACGUGCCCCAAGAAGGACACUGAAUCUAGACAAAACUCACACUUGGAGAAUUUGGCAUAAAACUUUUUCUCCCUGAACAUUUCCAAUACAAUUCUCAAGUGCUCCUCAUGUUCUUUCUUGCUCUUGGAGUAUACCAGUAUAUCAUUAAUGAAUACAAUGACAAAGAGAUCCAGAUAUGGCUUAAAAAUCCUGUUCAUCAAGCUCAUGAAAGCAGCAGGGGCAUUCGUAAGCCCAAAAGACAUUACUAAGAACUCAUAAUGUUCAUACCUGGUCCGGAAAGCAGUUUUUGGCACAUCUGUUGCCCGUAUUUUCAAUUGAUGAUAACCAGAUCUCAAAUCGAUUUUUGACAAGGUACAAGCACCUUGUAACUGAUCGAACAAAUCAUCGAUGCGAGGAAUAGGAUACUUAUUCUUAAUAGUUACCUUAUUCAGUUGUCUGUAGUCUAUGAACAUCCGAAAACUUCCAUCCUUCUUCUUCACAAACAAAACAGUAGCACCCCAAGGGGAAGCGCUUGUUCUAAUGAAGCAUUUUCCUAACAACUCUUGAAGUUGGGCCUUUAACUCCCUUAACUCAGCGGGAGCCAUUCUAUAAGGGGGUAUGGAAAUGGGGCAAGUACCCGGCUCCAGAUCAAUGCAAAAUUCAAUAUCCCUAUCCGGUGGCAUACCAGGAAGGUCUGCAGGAAACACAUCCAAAAACUCAUGGACUAUCGAAAUCGACUCAAUUGAAGGUACUUAGGUAGUAUCAUCCCUGAUGUGUGCCAAGAAAGCUAAACACCCUUUACUAACCAUUCUCUUAGCACGAAGAAAGGAGAUGAUACGAACUAGAGUGGAAGUGUAGUCACCCUCCCAUACUAACGGAUCUGUCCCAGGCUUGGCCAACAUUACAGUUUUAGCAUUACAAUCUAAGAUUGCAAAAUUUGGAGAAAGCCAAGUCAUACCCAGAAUUACAUCAAAGUCAACCAUUUCUAGGAUAACCAAGUCUACAUGAGUAUUGCUCCCCACAAAAGCCACAAGACAAGACCUAUACAUCUUUUCAACUAUCACAGACUCACCCACCGAAGUAGAAACACGAAUAGGCAUGUCAAGCAAAUCACAAUGUAAAUCAAAACCAGUAGCAAAUGAGGAAGAUACAUAUGAAAAUGUGGAGCCAGGAUCAAAUAAUACAGAAGUUAUGCAAUCACAAACCAAAAGAUUACCUGUGAUAACAACAUCAGAUGUCUCCGCUUCAGACCUCCCAGGGAAAGCAUAACAAUGGGCCCUAUCACCUGUCUGCCCAUUGCCCCUACCAUGUUGCGCUGCAGUAGUUCCACUUUGCCCGCCACCCCGGUUGAUUUGGUGACCUCCAUUACCUUGGCCACCCCGUCCUCCAGAAUAGCGGCCUCUUCCAUGACCACCUCUACCUCUAAAUAUUGGGGGUCUAUAGCUCUGUUUUGGACAAUACCUCCUAAUAUGUCCAGUCUCCCCACAUCCAUAACACUCUCUGGGUUCAAGCAUAGGUCUCUGUGAGAACGACGGAGUCUGGGGAUAACCCCCAAACUCAGAGAAGUGUUGACCAGUCUGCGGUGGACCCCCAGUUACAGCCUGCAGUGAGGACUGAAUAGGUCGGGCUGGGUAACCUCCUAAACUCUGCCCUCUGGAGUAAGACCCACCAAACUCACCUCCCUUACAAAACUUCUUAGGUGUCGAUGCCAUGGUGAAGUCGUCUUGCUUCACUCCCUCCACUUCUAUCAAAAAAUCUACCACCUCCUGAAAGGAUUUUGCUACAGUAGCUACCUGUAAGGCUGGAAUCUACAAAUCUGACCUCAAUCCCUUUACAAAACGGCGAAUCCGCUCUUGUGGACUGAAGCAAAGCUGGGUGGCAUACCUGGAUAAUGCACGAAACUUAGCCUCAUAAGUAGUAACCGACAUCCUGCCUUGUUCUAGGCUCAGGAAUUCAUCCCUCCUCCUAUCCCUCAAGGUCCGGGGUAUAUACUUCUCUAUAAACAAGCUAGAGAAUGAUGCCCAAGUCAUAGGUGGUGCAUGUGCUUGUUGACACUCAACAUACGAUCGUCACCACAUUUUCACAUUUCCCUGAAACUGAUAGGUUACAAACUCAACAUCGAAUCGUUCCACUAUGCCCAUCUUAUGUAGCAGCUCAUGACAAUCAACCAGAAAAUCAUAGGCAUCCUCAGAUUCAGCACCCUUGAAGACUGGAGGUUUCAAUUUCAAGAACUUCGUGAAAAGUUUGUCCUGAUCACUCGUCAUUAUAGGCCCUGUAGUCAAUCGAGGAAACGUGCCUAUUUCCAAUGAGGCAUCCAUGUGGGGAGCCACAGCAGCUGCAUGUUGUACUCCCGGAACCUGCGGUGCUGGUGAAGAAAACACCAGAGGCGUUUGGCCUUGAUCGGAUAACCCGCUAAGAUAAGCAAGAACCUGGUUAAUCAUCUCUGGGGUAGGUUGGGGUGGUAAUUCAUCAUUCUGCACUUGCUCAUUCUCCCCUUCCUCACCCUCUCUUACUACUUCCUCAGUCGGUGGAGGAGUCACCGCCCUAGUACUAGAUGGGCCAGGUGCUUGUCCUCUUCCUAUAGAAGACGUCCUCCCGCGACCUCUACCACGGCCUCUUGCCACUGCUCCUCUUCGAGCUACAGCCUCAGUGGCUGGCUCAGAUGCAUCCUGUCUUGCCAGUGUUGGUGUUGGCGCGGUUGUUGCUCUAGUUCUAACCAUCUGGGAAAUAGAGUGGAGAUGGUCAGAUACCAAUUUGUAUCACCUAGAUACCAAUUGGAUCCAAGUAAUAGCAUGAAAGAAAGAAAGAACGGAAUUUUUCUAAAGUCCUAUAGCCUCUCAGAGAAAAGUAAAGGCGUCCCCCUACCGUUCCUCAAGACUCUACUAGACUCGUUCUUGUGUGAUGAGACCAACGAACCUAAUGCUCUGAUACCAAGUUUGUCAUGACCCAAAACGAGCCCCGAGUGGCACCCACACUUAUCCUACUAUGUGAGCGAACCAACCAAUCUAAACCCCAACAUUUCAACCAUAAGAAACAGAAUAUAAUGCGGGAGAAUUAAAACUCAUUAAUAAACAUCGAUUUAAUAACUUCUAAAACUCAAUACUUAUUAUUCUCAAAAUCUGGAAGUCAUCACCACAAGAACAUUCUAUCCUCAAAUUACUAAAUCUAAGAGUAUCUAGGAAACUAAAAUAAGUAAACAGAUGGUCCAUGUCCGAACUUCAAGGACAUCAAGACAUGAAUGAGAGAGAAUCCAGUCCGAGCUAGGAACAAUAGCUCACCUAGAAAUCUGACGUGAUGAAGACUGGCUAGAGUUGAGGACGAGUUGAAGUCGAUGGCACGUUUGCUUCACUCCACAAAUAACAAAGAAGAAAAUUACAAGUAGGGGUCAGUACAAGGCACAAGUACUGAGUAGGUAUCAUCGACCAACUCAAAAUAGAAAGCAAUAUAUAUCAGAUAAUAACAUAAAAUCGACUACCAUACUCAACUGGUGACAACAACAAGUACCAUAACCAUUGGCCACAACCCAAGCACAUCUAUGAGGACUCAAGCCUCUACACCAUACUCAUUUGGGGAAUAGGUUCUUUAAAUUUGAUUAUAUUAACAUAAUUCAAGAUACAUUCUCUUUAUUAUCCUGGUGUCGGAACGUGACACUCCGAUCCCCUACUACUACAUGUCGGUUCGUGACACCUGAUUCCCUAAUUCUACGUGUCGGUUUGUGACACCCGAUCCCCUAAUUCCUGGUGUCAGUACGUGACACCCGAUCCCCUAAUUCUACGUGUCGGUUCGUGACACCUGAUCCCCUAAUCUCAUUCCUUUAGUUCAUCAAGCCUUAUUUUUACCAAGGCAUCAUCAUUAACAAAGUGGAUUUAAGGUUUUUAAGAUUCCACAGUAUCAUCAUUAUAAUCCAUCACCAUUUACAUAAUCACAACAUGCAACAACACAAUUAAGCAUAUAGAUGACUUUACAAUACCACCCAACACAUAUCAUUCGCUAUUAAGAGUUCACUUGAAAUAGCAUAAACCAUAACCUACCUCCACCGAAGAAUCGUGAUCAAGCAAUCUACUUCUCCAAUGUUUUUUGCUUUCUCUUCGUUCUUCUUUUUCUCUCGCUCGUUGUCUCUUCUUUUAUUUUUAAUUUUCUCCUCUUUCAAAUUCCCUUUAUUUUACCCUAAUUACCAUAUAAUUAAGUAUAAAAGAUGAUAAAAGUAACCCACUAUUUAUUUUAAGGUUAUCUCUUUUAACCCUCAAGUAAAUAAGUUAUUAAACUUACCCACUAAUUUCAUACAGUUUGACAUAAAUAGUCCAAAACACCCCUUUAAAACUUUAGCAGAAAUUCGACCCAGUCAAGGUUACGCAGCUCGUGAUGGCCCAUCGUGCCUGCGACGGUCCGUCCUGCUAUUUCCGUCACAAAGUUCAGAGAGUCGAAUUCAUUAAAGAGUCUGUGACGGUCCGUCGUGCCUACGACGGUCCGUGCUGCUCUUCCGUCGCGAAGUUCAGAGAUUUGUUUCCCCAUACCCAAAUUUCAGAGUUUAAGUGUUUUGGGACGGAGACCCUCGAUGAUCCGUCAUGACCUCGACGAUCCGUCGUGACUACGACAGUCCGUCGUGUGGUCCGUCGACACAGUCAGUUAUUUUCAAAACUAAAGUGUACUGCUCGAAACGACUAAACAGGUCGUUACAAUAUAAUAACUAAUUAAGUCUUUAAAAAAGGUUAAAAAAGUCUAGCAACUUUCUCUUGAUAUUUUCGUCUUUCAUUUUUGAUUUAAUACUAUCCCACUUUCAACAUUUACUAUAUGAUAUUCUUGUUAUUUAAUAUUCAAUUAAUUAGAUGAUUUAUUAUUUUUUAUUGAGUGGAGGAGACAUAUAUAUAUAUAUAUAUAUAUAUAUACACACACACGCACACACACACACACACAUUGUUUUAUCAAUUAAAACUUUUCACAUCUUUCCUUACGAGAAUUAUGAUUAUAAUUAAGUCAAGAACAAAGUAUCAUGUUUGAAUACUUAUUUUUUAUGUUGAAACUUAUGCUCUUAAAUUUGUUUGUAAUUAUCUCUCAUUCUCGGCUAGCCAUUUGGUGUUUUAAUAUAAGUUUUUCUUUACAUAUUUAUUAGAGUCGUUUGUUUUUAUGAAUCAUUUUUUAUUCUCGCUCAACUUGCAUUUUUUAGGGCAUCAUGGGAAAAUCACCAUUUAGAUUCUUAUAAAUAAUGUAAGGAUGGGUCGGCUCAUCCUCAGAAUUUAAAAAAAAUGAUAGAACAAAGUCACUUGAUUUUCGUAACACAUUGGUUCGACUCGUAAAUUCGUCGAUUAUUCUAUCACAACCCUAGUAGCCAAGUGUUGAUAUUUCAUUCUAACUUAAAAUUCUUAUCAUUUUUGAGUGCAAUAUAAUCAUGAAUUAAGGGCUUUUGUCGACUCUCUGAUCUUAGAAAAGAAAGGUUAUUUUGUUUCCAACGAUUUUAGUAAGUAUCAUUGGUACAAAUCCAUUUUAUUAAUUGAUUUGUUGAUAUUUUUGGCCAUCUUUUAAAUCUCAUUCUAACCUAAGAUUCUUGUGGUUCUUGAGGACAUGAGAAACAAGAUCAGAAACUUUUUGUCGAUUCGUUGAUCUGAAAAAUGGAUAGUGAUUUUCAUUUCUAAUGAUUUUAGUAAGUACUAGUCUUGCACACGUAUAACACACGUGUAUCUCAUCCUAAUUUUAUAUAAUCAUUAGAAUUAAUGAUAAAUGUAUUUUUCAAUAGAACAAAGUUUUACAAUUAAUAGAAAUUUCAUUUUGACCUAUGAAAGUAUCCUUGCAAUGAAAAAGAAAUUCUAGCCUGAAGUUUUUGUUAGAGAACUGAUUGGUUAAAGACCAAAGGUGAUAAGAAAAGUCAAAAUAAAAUAUGCUAUCAAAUCACGUUAACAUUCAGUGAAAUCCAUGCAACAAGUAAUAAAAGUAGCAAAAUAUAAAGAUAAUGUAAUUUUUUUCUUAAGUUUAUUUUAAAGAUAGUUUUUUAAAAUUUUUACUUAUUAAGUUUACAAGUUAAGUCUAUAAGUUUUCAAGAUUUGAAUCUUUUGAAGUUUAUAAGCUAUUACUUAUUAAUAUGUUAUAAAUUUGUAAUUUUAAAAAAAUAAAUAAAUAUAAGAAUAAAAAAUUACACAAAUUAAAAAAUAUAAUAUAAAAAAUAUAAACUAUAAACUAUAAUAUAGGUUAAUUAAUAAAUAAUAAUUAAUCGGAAACCGAACCGACACCGAACUGGACCGGCAUCGAACCAGACCGGAUCGGGAUCUGGAUAAAUCGAUACAGGUACACCGGUAUCAAAUCACGAUUACAUUCGUUUCGUUUACCGAUUCAUGGUGUCUCGUUCCGUCUCGUAGGCAAUCAAAUCGGUGCAAACUGAAACGGUAUAGAUCCGUUGCCCAGUCUUACUUAAGAGUAACUUAACAAAAAACUUUCUGUUAAUAAUUAGGUUUAUUUAUAUGACCCAUUGGUGACAUUUAUGAAUAUGAAUUUUGGAUAUAACUCAAUCCAAAAGUAAGAAUGAUUUUUCAAAAAUCUGAAGUAUUCCUUAACGGGAGCAUGCACAAUAUACCAUGGAGUUCAAUAAUAAAUCAAAACUAUUUUAACAGACUUUGAUACCAAGUAAAUAUAUAGAAAAAGAAAAUUUAUCUAUAUACUCCCUCUAUCGCUAAUUACUUGUUCAUAUUUUCUCUUCCUCUUUAGAUGUUCCCAUUUACUUGUCCAUUUUGACAAAUCAAGAAAGAACAAAAAAUAAAUUCUAUUGUAUCCUUAUUUAAAUUUUUUAAAAAUUUCUAAGUUUUAAUUUAUGUUUUUUGAAAUCAUAUUUAAUAAAGGUAAAAUUAUAAUUUUACUAUAUUAACUAUUAUUAUCUUAAUAUGUGUGUCUCUUCUAAAGUGAACAGCUAAAUAGGCACAGAGAAAGUAUAUAUAACUUAUAAGGAUAUCAACUUUUUUUUUAAAUGUUGCAAUUAAUUCUCAUGGCUCUAUAUAUAAGGAUAUCAACUUUUUUUUUUAAAAUGGUGCACUUAAUUCUCAUGGCUCUAUAUAUAAGGAUAUCAACUUUUUUUUAAUGUUGCACUUAAUUCUCAUGUCCCACAUAAUGUUCACUGAGUCAAACAAUUAACUUUGAAAUUUGAUCCAAAUACAGAAAUUUUAUCUCAAAUAUUGCCACACAACACAUCUAGAUUCUUCCAUUAAACAACUUUAUGCCUAUAAAAAGGAAAACUCCCAAAUGAAAAAAGUGGAAAGUUAUUUUGGUUGAGAAGAACCAAAACAACUUUUCCAGCAAAGAAAAAGUUAGCCCAGAAAACCUAAAAAGGAAAAAAAGAGGCAAAACAGAGAGUUUUAGGAAUUUUUCUUUAACAAGGGUGGUUGCCCCUCUCUUGUUUAGCCAAUGAUUUUUAUUUUUAUUUUUCAGAAGCAACAACCCUUGGAUUCAUGUUAAUUUCUUGGAAAUGACUGGAUCAUUCAAAGGGCAAUUAUACUAUAUUCCACCACUCUUGCAAAUAAUCUUGGUUCUUUUUUUAUUUUUUUUGUUGUUACUCUCUCUACGGUAUGUAUGUGUGUUGUAUUAGAGGCGAUGAUGAUGAUGAUAAUAAUAAUUUUUCGAAUUCUAGGCUAACUGGAUUGGGGAUGGAGACUAUGCGAUCCGUAUCUUGGCUUGGCAAAUCAUCUUGAUUUUGCAGCCAUGGCGUGGUUGCCUCUCUUUCGUCCUCAUCUCUUUGCAGAUCUGAGCCUCCAAAUUGUUAUCAACAACAUUUGAAUUUCUUGAAAUAGUAAUUCAAAAAUUGUUUUUCAUUUUUUUGAAAAAAUAAUAUAUUAUGAUCUUUUAUUAUCUAUCAAUCUGAUUUUUUUUAUUUAUUUAUUACCUUAAAAUCAUAAUGAACUUGAUGUAGAAAUUUCUCGAUUUUAGGUUUGUGACUUUUUGAUGAAAUUUACAAGUUGUGUUUUUUUUAAUAGUUGUGAUUUUUCCCACUGGUAUAAGAAAUAGUUGUGGUAUAUAAUAAAGAGUUGGACUUUUUAGGAGUAUGAUUUUUUGGAAUGGUCCAGAAAAUGCUUGUUUAUGCAACUCUUUGUUGAAUAUAGGCCUAAUUCAUCGGUGGUUCUUAAAAUUGAUUUUAACUUUCAAUUAGAUACUCUAAUUAGAUUUUGUUGAUUUAUAUUUUAAGGUAGGUUUUCACGAUAUUAUUUUGAUAUGUUUUGCUUACAAGGUAUAAUGAGUAUUGUACACACUCACUAUGCGUAAAAGUCUUAUUCACAAUUUUAUUAAAAAAAACUCUUUUUCUUCAUUUUCUAGCUACAAUGUCCGAAACGUAUUAUAAAAAUCUAUGAUAAAAUAAAUUUCGUAAUAUCACAAAUAAAAAAGUAAAUUUCAGCUCAUAAAAUUUUUCAAAAGUUUAAAUUUUAUAUUAUGAAAUAAUAAUUAAUUUCUUUUUCAUGAAUCACAAUAUUUGAAAAAAAAUAUAUAUUACAUUAUUAAUCAAUAACUUAAAAGAAAAGAAGAAAAUAUCAUAUUUUUUAAGAUAAUUUUUUCAAACUAAUUAAGUUCUUUUAAAAGUAUCUUUUGAAAAUUUGAUAUGAGAAGAAACGGGAUACAAGUUGGAGUUGGUGAGGGCGGAGAGGAGGAUCUGGUGACUGGUGGGGUGAAGGAAUGAUUGCGGUUGCGGUGGAGAGGAAGAUCUGAUGGCUGGUAGGGUGGAAGAGUUGUAGGGGUUGGGGUUGGGGUGGGUGUGGGUGGAGAAGGAAACUGGGUCGGGUGGGUGAAGAAGACGACGGGGUUGAGCUGGAAUAAUUAUUUCAUUCUUAUUAUUGAGUUUAAAAUGACAUACGUCAUCAAAUUUUUGGCUUUUUUUCUACUCAAAAGUCAUUAUACAUAUAUAUAUAUAUAUAUAUAUAUAUAUAUAUAUAUAUAUAUAUAUAUAUAUGUUACGUGUCUUUAUUUGAUUCAUCACUUUGACAAAUUAUCAACAAGUGUAUUAUAUACACUUGUAUAUUUGAGUGAUUGUAAAAAAAGUGUCAAAAAGCCAUAAUAUAACCUUACAUAAAGUGUCUAAAAUGAAAAAAAGUUUAGUUAAAGUGUCUAAGAAAGUUAUUGUCAAUUUUAGGGGGUCAUCGAUGGGUUAGGCCUUGACUAUAAAUAGAGAAGUUUAUCUAUUCUUUUUCUUGCAUUUUAUUUUUUUUAAAAUUUAAUUAUGGAUAGUCCAAUAACUAUAUUUGAUUUGUGUAAACAUUAAUUUAGGGAACGUGUAUUCCGUACUAAUUAAUAUAGAAUCAUUAGAAUUAAUAAAUAAUUUUCUAAUAGAACAAAGUUUUAUAAUUAAUAGAAAUUUCAUUUUGUACUAUGAAAGUAUCUUUGCUGAAAAAUAUUUUUCUAGCCUGAAGAUUUAGUUAGAGAACUGAUUGGUUAAAGACUAUAUGUGGCAACAAAAUUAAAAAUAAAUAGGCUAAGCAAUCACGUGAAUAUCUAGCAAAAUACAUGCAACAAGGAAUAGAAAUAACAAAAUAUAAAGAUAAUAACAAUGACCUACAUACUUGAUAACAAUUCAUAUGUUCUUUAUAUAAAAAAGAAGAUAAAAAAUAAAAAUUAGAAGUAAUUGAAGUAGUCAACAUCAUUACAGAUAUGAUAAUUUCUUCUUCUACUAUCUAAAUCAAUUUGCCUUAAAAAAUAAAUUACUACACAUUGAGUUUUGAAUUGCAACCCCAUUACAUAUCCAUAUUAUGUGAGUUUUUAAUAAGUUAACAUUAAAAAUAAACAAUAAAUAUGUCAAAUCACUUUAUUUGAACUAACUUUUUAGUUUCUGAAAACUUUUUACACUUCCCAAAAAUGUGCACAAGCAGAAAUAUUUAUUGUAGAUCAUUUAAUGAUAAUAAAUCAAAUAUUGUGAAAUAACAAUGAAUGUGAAGUUCGUUAAAAUUAAUUAAUAGAUGAAAAGAAGAAAAAAUUAAAAUAAUUAGUAGUAAUAAUUGAGAUAAUUCAUAUUGUUAUAAAUGAAGUAUUUUAGAGGCAACUCAUAUGUGUAAGUUAUAUUACGUAUGCACAUAAUAGGUGAAAAAAAAUUAACUGAUUAAAAAAGAUAUUGUUCAACUUUUCAUUUAUGUAAGAAUUUAGGGAAAAUACCCAAGUACCCCCUCGACCUAUGCCCGAAAUUCCAGAGACACACUUAUAUUAUACUAAGGUCCUAUUACCCCCCUGAACUUAUUUUAUAUGUAAUUUUCUACCCCUUUUUAGCCUACGUGGCACUAGUUCGAAAAAAAAAGUCAACCAUCGUUGGGCCCACAAGAUAGUGCCACGUAAGCUAAAAAGGGGUAAAAAAUUAUUAAUAAAAUAAGUUCAGGGGGGUAAUAGGACCUUAGUAUAGUAUAAGUGUGUCUCUGAGAUUUCGGGCAUAGGUUGAGGGGGUACUUGGGCAUUAUCCCAAGAAUUUACUUACAAAAGUACGUAAUGAGCGAAUAAAUUAGUUUCAUACAUAUAGGGAGAAUUGAAUAUGGAGGGUUAAAAUAUAAUUGUUGAGUUUUCAACAUACUAGCUAUUUGUGUUAUUUAAACAUUACUAUUUGAUUUGAUUUUAAUUCAAUGAAGGACCGAAAAUUUUGUCCAGUAGUAAACUUGCAUUCAACCUUCAAGUAAUUAAAAUAUGAUUGUAUAAUAUUUAAUUAAAUAUUUUAUGACAUAUUUAAAUUUAUCUCAAUGAUAACCUUGUAAUUCGAUGUUGAUUAUAAAAACUAAUAUAAUAUGAUACGAUUAAAUAUAUAAUAACUAAUUAAGUCUUUAAAAAAGGGUAAAAAACCUUGCAACUUUCCCUUGACAUUUUCAUCUUUCAUUAUACUAUCUCACUUUGAACAUUUACUAGAUGAGAUGCUUGUUUUUUAAUAUUCAAUUUAUUAGAUGUUUUAUAAUUUUUUAUUGAGUGGAGUGACAUUGCGUAUACAUUGUUUUAUCAAUUAGAAAUUUUCGUAUUCUUCUGUUACGAGAAUUAUGAUUAUAAUUAACUCAAAAACAAUAUAUCGUGUUUGAAUACUUAUAUUUUGAGUUGAAAAUUAUGUUCUUAAAUUUGUUCAUAAUUAUCUCAAAUUCUUGGCUAACCUGGUGAUUUAAUAUAAGUUUUUCAUUACAUACUAUUAUAGUCGUAUACUUUUAUGAACCAUUUUUUAUUCUCGCUCAACUUGCAUUUUUCUAAGGGCAUCAUGGAUAAAUCACCAUUCAGCUUCUUAUAAAUAAUGUUAGGAUGGGUCGAUUCAUUCUCGGAAUUUUCUUAAAAAAUGAUAGAACAAAGUCUCAACUCGUAAGUUCUUCGAUUAUACUAUCACAACCCUAGUAGCCAAGAGUUGAUAUUUCAUUCUAACUUAAGAUUUUUAUGGUUUUUUAAUGCAAGAAAAUCAUGAAUUGAGGGUUUUUAUGUCGACUCUUUGACCUUACAAAAGAAAGGUUAUAUUGUUUCCAACGAUUUUAGUAAGUAUCAUUGGCACAAAUCCAUUUUAUUAAGUAAUUUAUUGAUAUUUUUGUCAUCGUUAAAAUCUCAUUCUAGCCUAAGAUUCUUGUGGUUCUUGAGUGCAUGAGAAACAAGAACAGAAGGUUUUUGUCGAUUCGUUGAUCUGAAAAUUAGACAAUGAUUUUCAUUUCUAAUGAUUUUAGUAAGUAAUAGUCUUGGACACGUGCAACAUACGUGUAUCCUAUACUAAUUUAUAUAAAAUUAUUAGAACUAAUGAUAAAUGUAUUUUUUUAAUAGAACAAAGUUUUACAAUUAAUAGAAAUUUUUUUUUGACCUAUGAAAGUAUCCUUGCAAUGAAAACAUUUUUCUAACCUGAAGAUUUAGUUAGAGAACUGGUUGGUUAAAGUCUUAAGGUGACAAAAAAAUUAAAAAUAAAAUAUGUUAUCAAUUAACGUUAACAUCCAGCGAAAUACAUGCAACAAGUAAUAAAAGUAGCAAAAUAUAAAAAUAACAACAAUGACCUACAUACUUGAUAACAAUCCGUAUGUUCUUUGUAGAAAAAAGAAAAUACAAAUAAAAAAUUAGAAAUAAUUGAGUUAGUAAAAAUUCUUGUUGGUAUAAUAAUUUCUUCUUCCGUUAUUCAAAUCACUCCACCGUAAAAAUAAAUCACUACACGUUGACUUUUAGAUUUAAAAUCAUCAUACAUUCAUAUAUGUAAGUUUUUUUCUAUAAAUUUACAUUAACGGUAAAUAAUAAAUAUAUAAAAUCAGUUUAAUUGAACUUACUUUUUAGUUUUCCAAUGAACUAUUACACUUUCAAAAGUUGUGCAUAUGCAUGUCCAUGUGCAGAAGAAUUUACUAUAAAUUUUUUAAUGAAAAUAAUCAAAUAUUGUGAAAAUAACAAGAAAAGUGGAAGGUUGUCAAAAACAAUUAUUAGGUUAGAAGAAGAAAAAUUAAAAUAAUUAAUAUUAAUAAUUAGGUAAUUCAUAUGGUUAUAAAUGAAGUUUUUAGAGGCAAAACAUAUGUAUAAGGUACAUUACAUAUACUCAUAAUGGCUGAAAAAAUAAACUUGACUCAUUGAAAUUGUGCCACUUGUCAUUUCUGUAAGAAGUUACUUACAAAAGUACGUAAUGGACGAAAAAAUUUGUUUCACAGAUUUAGGGAGAAUUGAAUGUAGAGGGUUAAAAUAUGAUUGUUGAGAUUUCUAUUUACUCACUAUUUGUUAUUUAAUUUAAUUAUGAUUUAAUGAAGGACCGCAAAUUUUGUAAUGUGAUGAAGUUACAUUCAAUCUUUAAGUAAUUAAAAUAUGAUCGUAUAAUAUUCAAUUAAAUAUUUUAUGAUAUUUUUAUUUAUCAUUAAUUAUCACAAUGAUGUACUUGCAAUCCGACGUUAAUUCUAAAAGUUAAUACAGUAUGAUAUGAUUAAAUAAAGUCUUUAAAAAGGGACAAAAAUGUUAACUCAAGAACAAAAUAUCAUGUUUGAAUACUUAUUUUUUGAGUUGAACCUUUGUUAUGAUUUUCUACAAAAUGAAGUUAAAGUCAAUUAAUUUUAUUUUUAUUUUUAAAAACAACUAACAAAAUACUAAGAAUUGUUAUAAGUAAAAUAUAAUUUAUGAAAACAAAGAAACGCAUGUAAUAGAUAAUGUUUGAUAAAAUGACAAUUUUAUUUAUUUUCUACCUCUAAAUGAUGAAUAAAAACAAUAUGACAAUUUCACCUAUUUUUAAAAAAAAUUAUAAAAAAGUCAUAAAUCAGAACUAAAACAAAAAUCAUAUUUUGAGCUGAUACUUGUCAUCUUUUUUUUAAAAAAAAAAUGAAAUUAAUCUACUUAAUCUUAAAAAAGAAAAGAAAGACAUAUAAAAAAUGUAUUUAUACAAAUAAGGAAAUAUUUAUAGCCAAUGAGUAGGGGUGUUCGUGGUUCAGUUUGGAUCGGUAAUCAGUUAAAAUCAAAAUGAAAUCAAUCUAGUCGGUUUUUAAAAUUUAUAAAACCAAAUCAAAUCAAAAGAAAAACAUAACCGUCGGUUUGAUUACUGACUGUUUGAUUCACUUUUUCUAAUUUUUUAGUUUGAAAGUAAUAAUCUUUAAGGACAUAUGUAUCUUGAUAGGCUCAAAUACCUAUUAUAUGAAUUAUCCACUGAAAAGAUAUUGUUGGUUCCAUUAAGCAAUUAAACAAUACUAAAGUUAUUAAUACAUGAAUAAAGUGUUUGAAUUAAGAAAAGGUGUAACUAUCUUAUGAAAUAUAUGGUAGAUAAAGACUAAAGUAAUGAAUUUUGAUGCAGUUGAACUUAUGAUUGUAAUAUAUGGGCUAAAAUUUAUAUGUUGAGCUUGAGAAAAUUGCAAGUUAAAGACUUAUAUUACUUAAAAUUUAACAAAAUAUUUAUAUUUUAUUUAUGAACAAUAUAUUUAUAAAAUUUAUUGGUUCGAUUUGGUUAUUUUUACAGUUAUUUUUUAGUAAAAUUAAAGUCAAAUCAAAUAGUAUCGAUUUUCCAAAAUGCAAAAUCAAAUCUAAUCACAUCAAAUCAAAUAUCGUUUUUUUAAAAAAUUGGUUUGAUUCAUAUUGUGAUUCGACUUUAUUUCUUAACCCUAAUCAUGAACAACCCUACCGGUGAAUAUUAACAAAUAUGACAAUUUCAUUUAUUUAUAUAUUUUCUAAAAAUGGCACACAUCCCAAGUAAAUAUAAUGAUGAGUUUAUCAUUUAUAUAAUUUUAAAAAAAUGAAGUCAAAUUUCAUUUGUCUAUUUGUUUUCUAAAUAAAAUUAUAAAUUAAAAGUAAAAUAAUAUCUUUUUAUUUAAAUUCUUAGUUUAUCCUUUUUAUAUUUAAAAAUAAUGAAGUUGGAAUUACUUAAUUUUAAACAUAGAAAUAAUAAAAUAUUAAUAAGUUAUAUUUUAUAUCAUGAUAAUAAACUUAUGUUCUUAAAUUUGAUCGUAAUUAUCUCUAAUUCUUGGCUAACCUUUUGGAGUUUAAAUAUAGGGAAAAUACCCAAGUACCCCCUCAACCUAUGCCCGAAAUUCCAGAGACACACUUAUACUACACUAAUGUCUUAUUAUCCCCCUGAACUUAUUUUAUAUGUAAUUUUCUACCACUUUUUAGCCUACGUGGCACUAGUUCGAAAAAAAAAGUCAACCAUCGUUGGGCCCACAAGAUAGUGUCACGUAAGCUAAAAAGGGGUAAAAAAUUAUUAAUAAAAUAAGUUCAGGGGGGUAAUAGGACCUUAGUAUAGUAUAAGAAUGUCUCUGAGAUUUCGGGCAUAGGUUGAGCGGGUACUUGGGCAUUAUCACUUAAAAUAUAAGUUUUUCUAUACAUAUUAUUAGAGUCGUAUAUUUUUAUGAAUCAUUUUUUAUUUUCUCUACAAUUCUUAUAAAUAAUGUUAGGAUGGGUAUGCUCAUCCUCAUAAUUCAAAAAAAAUGACAGAACAAAGUUAUUUGAUUUUCAUGACACAUCUACUCGACUUGUAAGUUCUCCGAUUAUUUCUAUCACAACCUUAGAAGCCAAGAGUUGAUAUCUUAUUCUAACUUAAGAUUCUUAUGGUUUUUGAGUGCAGGAGAAUCAUGAAUUGAGGCUUUUUGUCGACUCUUUGAUCCUAGAAAGGGAAGGUUAUUUUCUUUCCAACGAUUUUAGUAAGUAUCAUUGGUAAAAAUCAUUUUAUUAAUUAAUUUAUUGAUAUUUUUAGUCAUUGUUAAAAUCUCAUUCUAACCUAAUACUCUUGUGGUUCUUGAGUUCAUGAGAAACAAGAACAGUAGGUUCUUGUCGAUUCGUUGAUCUGAAAAAUGGACGGUGAUUUUCUUUUCUGAUAAUUUUAGUAAGUACUAGUCUUGGACACGUGCAACGCACGUAUACCAUACUAAUUUAUAUUGAAUCAUUAGAAUUAAUGAUCAGUGUAUUUCUGAUAGAAUAAAGUUUUAUAUAUAACUAAUAGAAAUUUCAUUUUGAUCUAUGAAAGUAUUCUUGCAAUGAAAACAUUUUUCUAGCCUAAAGUUUUUAGUUAGAGAACUGACUGGUUAAAGGCUAAAGGUGACAAUAAAAUUAAAAAUAAAACAUGCUAAGAAAUCACGUGAACAUCCAACAAAUAAAUGCAACAAGGAAUAAAUAUAGAAAAAUAUAAAGAUAACAAGAGUGACCUACAUACUUGAUAACAGUCCAUAUAUUCAUUAUACAAAAAAAAUUAGAAAUAAUUGAGUUCGUCAAAAUUCUUAUUGGUAAAACAAUUUCUUCUUCUGCUAUCCAAAUCACUCCACCAUAAAAAAGGAAUUACUACACGUUGAGUUUUGGAUUGAAACCCCAUUACGUAUCCAUAUAUGUGAGUUUUUUUUAUAAGUUCACAUGAAUAGUAAACAAUAAAUAUAUCAAAUCAGUUUAAUCGGACUAACUUUUUAGUUUCCCUAAAAAUUGUUACACUUUCAAAAAAAUUGCAUGUCAAAAAGCAUUUACUAUAAUAAUUUAAUGAAAAUAAAUGAAAUAUUGUUAAAAUAAUAAGAAAUGCGGAAGGUUGUAAAAAACAAUUAAUAGGUGAGAAGAAGAAAAAAUUAAAAUAAUUAGUAGUAAUAAUUGAGGUAAUUCAUAUUGUUAUAAAUGAAGUAUUUUAGAGGCAACCCAUAUGUGUAAGUUACACUACGUAUGCUCAUAACAGGUGAAAAAAUAAAAUUGACUCAUUAAAGACGAAAUUGUGCAACUUCUCAUUUAUGUAAGAAGUUACUUACAAAAGUACGUAAUGAGUGAAUAAAUUAGUUUCACACAUAAAGGGAGAAUUGAAUGUGGACGAUUAAAAUAUGAUUGUUGUUGUAAAACUAAAUCAAACUAACAAUAUAAAGAUAAAGAAAAAAAUAAUAUGAGACAAGAGAUUUAGAAGAUGAAAACAAUAGAAAUAGAGAGACAAGAGAUGAGAGUUUUUCUUAUUAAUCAAAGUAUUUAUCAAAUCUUCAAGUGUAUACAAUAUGAACCCUGAAGCCUCUGUUUAUAGUGUAACAUAAAGGCAUAUAAAAGGUUAGUCAUAAACAUGACAUUAACAUAAAUAUAAUGGUGAGGUUAUGAAAGUGAAAUGUUACAAGAAUAAUGAUUAUAAAGGUGGAAGUUAUGGAGGUUAUGAUCAUCUUCAUAAUGAGGAAAAUAGUGGAGAUAAUGGGUGAGUAACUUCUUGGUAUAGUGGACAUCCACACUAUAAUAUUUUAUAACACUCCCCCUUGGAUGUACAUAGAUAAUAUGCUUCGUUAAAAUCUUACUAGGAAAAAAAAACUUGUGGGAAAAAAUCCUAGUGAAAGAAAAAUAGUACACAUAUAUUUUAAUACGCUUGAAUGUUGCAUCGUUAAAACCCUUACCAGGAAAACUCAUUUGGGACAAAACCAUUAUUAUGGAAAAGAGUACAACGCGCAUUUUUCUCCCAUGAUAAAAACUUUACUUAAUAUCUCGGAGACGAUGCAUUCCGAUCUUAUAUCAGAACUUCUCAAAUAUUGAUGUUGGUAAUUCUUAGUGAAUAAGUUUACAAGAUUAUCACUUGAAUGAUCCUUUGAACGUCUAUCUCAUUGUUUUGUUGAAGAUCGUGUGUGAAAAAGACUUUAGGUGAAAUAUGUUGUGUCUGAUCUCCUUUGGUUGUAUCCUCCAUUCAAUUAAACUAUAAUUUUUUUCGUAUAUAGUGGCUGGAAUAUCCUUUGUCAAAGGAAAAUUUCAUAUUUUCUGAAUAUGAUAGAUUAUGAUUCCAAUCCAACACACCCCUGACUUACUUCAUUGAUCUAUAUGACUUGAAAAAGUGGUUACAAAUGUUUGUUGAAUGCCAAGAUAUUGUUGUGCCUUCAUAUGUAAGCAAAUAGCUCAUUUACAAUCGAGCUUUAUGAAGAUAAAAUAAAUAUUUUGCUGCAUAAUCAAACCAUUUUUUACUCAUUGGAGCUUGAUCAAUUUCGAAGAAACUCGUCUUUCUUCUCAAAGACAGUCAUACAUCUUCAACCAUUUGCAUAACCAACAAUUUGUAAGUGCACUAAUAGCACUAAUACAUAACAUUUUAAAUCAUUUUCUUGAAAUUAAAAGAUCCUUUAUUUGUGUUAUGCAAUCUCAAAAUCACUGAAUACUCAAUGGAAUUGCUUUAAGACCUUUUAAAUCCUUCAAGGAUUUUCAUAUAACCUUCAUCGUUUAGUUAGACAUAAUAAUCAUUCAUUAUGCAUAUUCAAGUAUUUCAUAACUUGCCAGAUUGAAGCAAGUAUCAUUGCAUUCAACAUUGGAGAAUAUAUCUCCAUUUAAUAAUGUCAGGACUUCUGCGAAAAUUCUUCAUGCCCCGAGGCAUGAACAAUACUUUAUAUCUUACAGUUAUACUUUCGCACAAUGAUUCAUUUGUACCCCCAAUGAUAUAUAUUUUUAUCUAUAGACCAUAUUUUCAAAAGUAUCACUUUUCUAAGUGAAACAAAAUAUAUUUGAAUAGUGUCAACCAUUUAUCCGUCCAUACUAUAUGACAGAUUUGAAUUUAAGAUCCUUGUAACCAUUUAUAGCAUUGAGUGCUACAUCAUAUCAAAUAUACUUUCGACGAUCGUUUUGAUUUCAAUUCUAAUACGACAUAACUUAUCGAGAUAUCUUCAUUUUUCAUCAUUUUCAGGUAUCUGAACCUUAGUUAAGAUUUUAUGAAAUGGUAUGUCAUAGUGCUCUUUCAAAGCACUUACCUCAUUAUCAAUGACCAUUUUGAUAAUUUACUCAUCUCCUUCCACAAGAAGUUUUACAUUUGGAAUCGAUUGGUAAAUCACGCUUUUGGCGUACCAUUGACUCGGUCCUUUAAGGACUAUUUAUUGGAGCAUUUACAACAUACUUAAAAUAUUGGAUCAGCAAAUACAUCUGGCAAAUUACUUGCAACAUUUUGCAUAUGAAUUGUCUCUUGAACUUCAAGUUCACAUUUUUUUCAGCGAGGGUAGAGAUAAUUCACCUCACACAUAAUUUUAAGCUGCUACACAUAUCUCCCCCUAAUGUUAGAAAAUCUAACAUUCACCCUCAACCUCAAUUGGGUACCCAUCUUUAUGCAUGGUGGAGCAAUAAAAUCAUAUGUGCACAUGUCAAAUUUUUAGAUGGAAAUUAUUGGUUCCUAACCCUGAACCAAUUGUGUUGAGAAAACAUUGUUGGCUUGAUGCUACAUGUUACAUAAACAUAUCUCAUACCAAAUUUUAUUUGAGAGAUUUGUUCUCAUAAUCAAUGGUCUAGCAAUAAUUGGAGGCAUACAAUUUCUGCUAAACCAAUCAGUAUUAUCAACAUGACGUUAUAGUUUGAAAAUGUGUUCUUAAUAAUUUGAGCGAACAUUCUAACAAAAAUCAAUUUGUAAGUUGAUUCAAAUGCACAUGUGAUAAUACCAUAGAUGCAUCUAUUAAAUCAUAAUAGUAAACGGUCCACAUGGCAGGUGAACGGGCCCAUAUUCACCUUUUUAUAUGUUCCAAAUAAUUUUAGGGGACACAGUCUCAACCUUAGGUGGUACAAUGAUCAUUUUAUCACGAGAACAAUAUGCAAAAGAGAAAUCUUGAAGAAUCUUUUAUUUCUUCAACAUAUAGCCACGUGAAUUCUCAAUUCUCUUGUAUCACAUUUGAAUCGGAAUGACCAACCUACUAUGCCAACUGGUAUUUAUUCAAGUAAACUUCUAGUUUACUUUUGCAUGUGAUUCCAUCACCAUGCUCGUAUUUGUAUACAACAAACAACAGGGGAAAAUGGAUAAUCUUAUACGUGAAUAUUUAUUACCCACUUUGAUUGUAGUAAUUGAAGAUAUGAAAUCUUUCCAUAAUUUAUAGUCUCAAUACAAUAAUUUGUUUUUAAUUCUUCUUAAACUUAAAAAGUUUCUUUUGAGACUUACUACAACCCCAAUAUUAUGAAUAAUUUUAUUCCUCCAAAUGGUAACAAUUAGCCCUUUCGAAAUUAUCAAUUAAUUUUGUGUACUACCAUAAUUUUCACAAUGUCAUUCUUAUGGUGACCAUCUCCUUCAAAGAGAAAAUUUUUAUUAUUGUCGUGAUUAAAAUUAUUACAUUUAAGACUUAUUUCUUGAUAACCAAUCACAAAUUUGUGUUGCCACACAACAACAUUUAUUUUGAUCAUGGCCACAACGUUUAUAGAAAAAGAUUUAUUCUUUCUUUUGUCUCAUUUUAAAAUAUACGACAAUAUUUGUGUAGUAUUCAAAGUAUAUAUAUGACCAAAAUGACUAUUUAUGUCAAAAUAUUUUCUUUCAUCUCUCAAACUUCCCGUAGAGGUGAGAUGUGACAUUCAUCAAACAAUACAUGAACAUGUUUUUAUCCAUACGAAAACAAGUCACAUUUCUUUACAAAAUGGACCAUAAUCAUUUGUACAUGUUCCAUAAGUUUUUAUUAGAAACUCAUUGUCAUGUUUUGACAUUAUGUAUAUGUAACAUUCCGGAAAAUUACAUGUCUAGUGAAGAUCCCAAUAGGUCUUUAAGAGUGCGUAUUGGGGAUACAUAGGCAUUCCAAUGCCCAAUAUUGAGAAAUAUUAGGCAUAGUAUAGAAAAUUGGCUAAGGGGUAUUAGGCAAUUUUUAUAUAAUAUCCAAGUAAGCAAAAUAUUGAGCAUAUUAAAAAAUAUUGGCUUAAAGGGUGUUAGCCAUUUUUUUCUUAAUAUUAAUGAGCAACUUUUAUCAUACUGUGCUCUCCAAAGAGCAACUCUUCUCAAAAUCUCACUCAAAGGGUGCUGAGAAAUGUACCUGCAAUGAAGAUCCUAAGCUAAAAACAUAGAUUUUCCAACAUUUACACAUUAGGUGUGAGGCAUUCAUGUGUCAAGCCAAGGCACCAUAGCACAUGACCAUUUAAAAUGGGCAUGUAGAUUAAGCAGUUCUCAAGGACAUAUUGAAAAUCCUUGGGACAAUAAGUACACAUUCCAAAUGAACCAUCAAGAAUAGUUAGUUAGGAAAGUACAAGCAACACAUGUGAAAAAAUGGCAAACGGAGGAGUAGUUAGGGGGCAGGCGUGCACAAGGGUUCCAACAUGUGGGGCCCAGAUCUCUAACAAACUCUACACUUUAACUAACUGACCUUACUAGCUAACUAAACUAGGAAAAACAAAAAUAAAUUAUCUAGUACACUCGACAACCUAAGACCUAAUUGGAAGACACUAACCUAGUAACUAGUUAAAGAGACAACCUAGUACCUAACCUAGGAUAGUCCAAAGGGUUAGCUAUGAUCCUAACGACUUAAGGGUACUUUAGUAAUUACCCUAGGUCACCUAAUUAAUUAAAUUAGUGUUAGUGAAAAAACUUAAAAGAUAAUAAAAUUGCAAGAUUACAAUUGAAAAUAAAAUAAAGAAAGUAAUCUCUUCAGGCUGAGGCGCGGAUAUCUCGCUCUCUUUAAGGAGAUUCAAGCCCACUGCAACAAAUGUUUUCACUGGUCCAGCAGUAGUCCUCUUUGACUUGUACCCUCCAGGAUACAACAGCCUUCACAAAGUAUAACUCAACAACUCUGGACAAGAGUUGAGUCCAAAGCUCCACAAAAAAGAACACCUCCCUUCAACUAAUAAGAACUAUCUUUUAGGCUAACUCUUUCAUUCUUUGUUUUCUCUUGUGUUUUGUGUGUCUCUAAAACCAAAUGAAGACUACCACUAUUUAUAGUACAAGAAGUCUUCCUAGCAAUGAAUAGUAAGAUAAUGGAGGUAGUAAAUAGUGAAGAUAAUGACCUUAGGAGUUUCAUAGGUUACAAUGGGAGUUAUAUAGGUUACAAUGGGAGUUACAUAGGUUACAUAAGUUACAAUAGGAGUUACAUAGGUUACAAAGAUUAAUGGAGGAAUUAAGAAUGAAAUACAUUGAUGGAUAACCAAUGCUAAUGGAUAAUGUAGAAGUUAUCCAUUCCAAUGUUCAUUCUUAUAACUCCAAAAUAAAGCAAUUUAAUAUGUUAAAUAUUAAUAUUAAAAUGCUAAUAACCUAACAAUCCCCCACUCAUUUUAAUAUUUAGAUAAAAGAGUAUAUCAGUUGAAGGAAGACUACUAUGCAUAAUGAAGGUGUGCUCUGCAUUGAACCUCCACUUAGUGAAACAGUAACUUUUACUCCAGAGUCGUAGUGGUCUCAGACUUGAACUAUGACUGCUUAAGAGAAAUAAAAUAUCACUGCUCACACAUAAUAAUCAAGGUGUUGAUAUGAGCUUUAACAGCCAGCACGUUAUGGCCAUGUGUUAUCCCAGUUUCAUGAGUGCAUUUGAGAAUAAGCCCCAUUCUCAUAGGAAGCGAUCUACUUCCACACAUCACAUAGGUGAAAUCUGUCGAGAGUGCUCCGCUAAGAUUAACACACUCCACCCAUACGGGCUACAGAUACUCAUUAAGUGUUUUAUCAACUCAACCUUCACAAACUACAGGAAAUAAUGCACUCACAUCAUAGGGAGGGGAAAAAAUAGUGCAUUUUUCACAACAAGUCAACAUAUGAUUAGUUUUUCUCUUUGAAACUGGUUAUAGGAUCUCUAGUCCCCAGGUUAGGUUUCCUCAUAUAUGACUCAAGGAUUUGUAGGCUUCAAUCCCAUCCCCCUCGAUGUGCUCCAGACCUUUUCUCUUGUUAAGGCCUUCGUAAGAGGAUCUGCAAGAUUAUCACAAGAUUUGGCAUAAUCAACAUUUAUGGUACCAUUUGUCAAAUACGAUCUUGCAUUACUGUGUUUCCUUCUUAUAGGUCUGGAUUUACCAUUGUAAUAACGGUUUUGAACUCUACCAAUUUCAGCGGUGCUAUCACAAUGAAUUAAAAUAGGAGGAAUUGGUUUUUCAAAAUAAGGAAUUUGAAACAAUAAAUCUCUUAACCAAUUCGCUUCCUCAGUAGCUGAAGCUAAAGCAAAUAGUUCAGCCUCCAUGGUAGAGUUAGCAAUUAUAGUUUGCUUUUUUGAUCUCCAACAAACAGCACCACCACCUAAAGUAAAGACAUAACCAAUGGUAGAACAGGAAUCACCUGCCAAAGUGUUCCAAUCGGCAUCACAAAAGCCUUCAAGUACAGCAGGAUAUUUUUUAUAGAACAAACCACAAUUUUUCGUUCCAAUUAAAUAUCUCAUAACUCUUGUUAUAGCAUGCCAAUGUUCAUUGCCUGGCUUGCUUGUAAACCUGCCAAGUACUCCUACUGCAUAUGCAAUAUCAGGCCUAGUGCAAUCAGUCACAUAUCUCAAACUUUCGAUUAUACUAGCAUAUUCCUUUUGAUUUAUUACAUCAUUUUCACUUUCAACAGGAAAUAAGUGAACACUUGAAUCAAACGGAGUAGCAACAUGCUUGCAAUCAUGAAAGUUAUAUUUUUUAAAAAUUUUCUCAAAAUAAUGUGACUAGUCAAGGAAAAUCCCCUCACAUGUUCUUGUUAUUUUUAUUCCAAGAAUAAAAUUUGCCUCACCAAGAUCUUUCAUAUCAAAAUGGCUUCUAAGAACAUUUUUAGCUUCAUCAAUAACAUUCAUGUUAGAGCCAAAGAUCAACAAAUCAUCAACAUAUAGGCAAAUAAUCACAUGGGAAUUAUUCCAAGACUUAUGGUAUAUGCACUUAUCACACUCAUUUGUUUUAUAGCCAUUUUCAAUCAUGCAGGAAUCAAACUUUUCAUGCCAUUGCUUUGGUGCCUUUUUCAAGCCAUAUAGGGAUUUAGUAAGUUUACAUACUUUACUUUCUUGGCCUGCUUCAACAAAACACUCGGGUUGGUCCAUAUAAAUUUCUUCAUUUAAGUCUCCAUUUAGAAAAGCAGUUUUUACAUCCAUUUGAUGAAUUUGCAAAUCAAAAAUUGCAGCCAUAGCAACUUAAAGUCUAAUGGAUGUAAUUCUUGUUACCGGAGAAAAAGUAUCAAAAAAUUCUAGGCCUUCUAGUUGUUUAAAAUCUUUUGCAACUAGCCUAGCUUCGUAUUUAUCAAUAGAUCCAUCCGGUUUCAACUUUUUCCGUAAGACACAUUUACAACCAAUUGUUUUACAACCCGGUGGUAAAUCAACUAAUUUCUAAGUUUUAUUAGAAAUUAGAGAUUCCAUUUCAUCAUUUACAUCCUCUUUCCAAAAAAUAGAAUCAUGUGAAGAUAAUGCUUCUUUCAAAGUUAGAGUGUCAUUUUCAACAUUAAACACAUAAAAAUCAGGACCAAAAUCUUUUUCUACUCUAGCUCUUUUACUUCUUCUUAACUCAAAAUCAACAACUUCUUUAUUUUUCAAAGUUGAAGUAGAAGAACUAGGUAGUAACAAAAUAUUUUGUUCAAUCCUUUGACCCCCACUAUUUUUAAUAUCAAAAGGAAAUUUAUUUUCAUGAAAAAUAGCAUCACCAGAUUCUAUUACAAUAUUAUCUUCAAGAUUAAAAAAUCUAUAGGCUGUACUAUUUGAAGCAUAACCAAGAGAAAGCACAAGUAGUAACUUUCUUACGCAACUUUGUAAUCUUGGGAUCCAUUAGCCUCACAAAGGCUAGACAACCCGAAACUCUUAGAUAUCCCAAACUUGGCUUGUAACCUUUCCACAAUUCAAAAGGUGUCAAUUUAGACUUUUUAUGAGGCACACGAUUCAACACAUAACAAGCAGUUAAGAUAGCUUCACCCCAAAAAUUUAAAGGUGCAUGUGAUUCAAUAAGCAUGGCGUUAGUCAAUUCAACCAAAGUUCUAUUUUUCCUUUCCGCUACUCCAUUAGACGAAGGAGAGUAAGGAUGAGUAGUUUCAUGAAUUAUUCCCAAUGAUCUAAUAAAAGAAUUAAACUCAUUUGAUUCAUAUUCACGGCCUCUAUCACUUCUAAUUCUUUUUAUUUUUCUUCCAAACUGAUUUUCAACCUCAUUUAGAUAAGUUUUGAAAUUUUCAAAAGCAUCACUUUUAUUUUUCAUCAAGUAAACAUAUGUAAACUUAGAAAAAUCAUUAAUUAAAGUGAUAAAAUAUCUAUUACCUCCACAAGUUAGAAUUCCACCAAGUUCACAAAUAUCAGUAUGAACUAAUUCUAACAAAUCAGUUUUUCUUUCAACUUGAAAAUGAGGCCUUUUAGUGAUCUUGGCUUUACUACAAGCCUCACACUUUUCAAAAUUCUUUUUAACCAUUGGGAUUAAUCCUAAACUACUCAUGAUUCCAACAUAACGAUCAUUAAUAUGACACAAACGAGCAUGCCAAAAAUUAGUAGAAGAAAGCAUAUAAACAAAAGUAGAAGUUUUAUUCAUUUCAACAUUCAACUUAAACAUCUCAUCACAUGCAUACCCCUUCCCCACAAAAAUACCUUUCUUCACUAUUACAUAUUGAUCAGAUUCAAUAAUCUGUUUAAAGCCUGCUUUAUUAAGAAGAAAACUAGACAUCAAAUUUUUUUCUCAUAGAAGGAGUAUAAAGUACAUCUUUCAAUGUUAAUAUCCUUCUAGAAGUAAAACACAAUUCAACAUCUCCCUUUCCAAGCACUUGAGUAGUGUGAGCAUCACCAAGCAUGAUGGUUUUGGGCUCCUCAAAAUGAGUAUAUUUUUUAAACCAGUCUUUGUCAUAACAGACAUGACGGUUUGCACCAGAAUCAGCCCACCAUCCAUCAACAUUCUCAACCAUGUUUUUAUCGGUAAUCACCGCCACAAAAGGUUCUUCGGUAACGUUUGCCUGAGGAUUAGGACCACGUUUCUGGAAUUUGUAAAAUCGAGCAAUAUGCCCACUCUUGCCACAAACAAAGCAUGGUCCCUUUUCUUGAACUUGUUGAUUUUGUGCUUGGUGAUUUUCACCAUUAUUUUUCUUGAUAGGUCUACCAUUAUUUUUCUUGAAUUUUUUCUUCUUAGGAUUUAAAGAAGUAUUUUUAUGAGUUUCAGGAUUAGCAUUAUUCAAAGUUAUUAAAUUUACCUUCGAUGUGAUGUUGUUCUCUUCUGUUUGUAAAAGUGCAUCUUGGCCUCUUGCUUCUUUUUCCAUGCGAAUUUUCAUUAUCAAGGUUUCAAGAAAGGUUUCCUUUUGUUUAUGGCGCAUAGUUUUUUGAAAUUCCUUCCAAGAAGGUGAAAGUUUAUCCACUAUGCCACAAACAAUAAGGUUAUCUCCAAUUUUAACCUCUUCGGACCUAAGCUCUCCAACAAUCAUGACGAAGUCUUGAGCUUGAUCUACCACUGAUUUGUUGUCCACCAUUUGGACACGAAAAAAUCUACUAGCUGCAUAUUUUUUCGCUCCAGCCUCUUCGGUAUCAUACUUACUCUGCAAAGCCUUCCAAAUUUUCUUUGCACUAGAGUAAGUUCUAUCAUAAUAAUCAUAAAAAUUAUCAGAUAGACAAUUAAGAAGAUAAUACCGACACUUAUAGGAAUCACCAUCGUACUUUUCCACUUUCUCUAGAUGAGAAAUAGUUUCAUCAUCAUUCAUAGUGGUGAUGUCUUCUUUAUUUGGAUUCUUCUCGGUUAAAACGUAAGAAACAUUGAGAAGACUUGAGUAGAAAAGUACUUUACCCUUCCAUCUCUUGAAAUGGUUACUAUUGAACCGAAAUGGCUUGUUAAGAUCUCCCAUAUUGACAUCCGCGGUUUUUUCAACUGUAGCCAUCUUUGAAUCUCCUUAAAAUUGUUGGUGAAUAAACUUACAAGAAAAUAAAAUUGCAAGAUUACAAUUGAAAAUAAAAUGAAGAAAGUAAUAUCUUCAGGCUGAGGCGCGGAUAUCUCUCUCUCUUUAAGGAGAUUCAAGCCCACUGCAACAAAUGUUUUCACCUGUCCAGCAGUAGUCCUCUUUGACUUGUCUCCUCCGGGAUACAACAGCCUUCACAAAGUAUAACUCAACAACUCUGGACAAGAGUUGAGUCCAAAGCUCCAUAAAAAAGAACACCUCCCUUCAACUAAUAAGAACUCUCUUUUAGGCUAACUCUUUCACUCUUUGUUUUCUCUUGUGUUUUGUGUGUCUCUAAAACCAAAUGAAGACUACCACUAUUUAUACUACAGGAAGUCUUCCUAGCAAUGAAUAGUAAGAUAAUGGAGGAAGUAAAAAGUGAAGAUAAUGACCUUAGGAGUUUCAUAGGUUACAAUGGGAGUUACAUAGGUUACAAUGGGAGUUACAUAGAUUACAUAAGUUACAACGGGAGUUACAUAGGUUACAAAGAGUAAUGGAGGAAUUAAGAAUGAAAUACAUUGAUGGAUAACCAAUGCUAAUGGAUGAUGUAGAAGUUAUCCAUUCCAAUGUUUAUUCUUAUAACUCCAAAAUAAAGCAAUUUAAUAUGUUAAAUAUUAAUAUUAAAAUGCUAAUAACCUAACAAUUAGUAAUUUAAUUAAUUAAUUUAAAUGGUCAAAUCGAAAUCCUUACACUAGACAAGGAACUAACUAAGAAACAUCCUAGUACCUAAUCUAGGAUGGUCCAAAAGGGUUAGUUAUGGUCCCAAUGACUUAGGGGUAUUUUAUUAAUUACCCUACGUCCCUUGAUUAAUUAAAUUAAAUGAUUAAUUUAAGAAAAAUUUCCAAGUAAGGCCGAAAUUCUUUGAAAAAAUUUCAGAUAUGACUUAUUAAAUAUUUUCUUAUUUCUAGUCCCUCGAUUUCUCUUAGGAGAUUUCAAGGUUUUCUUCAAGAUUUCGUGCAAGGUGAUCUUCGUAGAUUUAAUUCUACAUAAGUUAUGGGUUUUAUCUCAUUUAAUUCUUUUUCCAAGAGACUUUUCAAACGUUUGAAUUCAUGAACUUCGAAACUAAGGUUGUACCCCAAUGAUAUUGUUGAACGUUCAUCUCCCUAGUUAUCCUUGUUUUCGAUUCUUUAAGUAUAUAGAUGUAUCUUGAACAUGUUGUUGGUAUGUGGUGCUAACUGAUUUUAUAAGUUCUUGAAUUGUUAAUGACUAACGAGGUCUAUAGAUUGGAUUCAAAUGAUUUGAGUGUUAGUUACACGAAUUAAGGAAUGAUAUAAUGCUUACUUGUGUUUCGAGAAUAUGAAGUUACUAUGAAUCGGCUAUGGAAUUUAGUUAUUGUUAAAAUGUUAAGUUUUCGACUGAUUCAUGUUGGGGAAUCAUUAUAUUACAUUCAUGAUAUUAAUUGAUUUUUUUAGUGAUAACAUAAUGAAUGUUGUUUAAGUGAAAGUUUGAUUUAUGCUAAUAAAAUGGCUAACAAUGUCUUGCCCAAAAAGUUGAAUGAAAUUGGCUUGCAAUAUUGCUUUCAGAAAGAGUGGCUAAUGUAAACCCAACUAAGCAUGACUAAUGUAACUUUGAUUUCAUAACCAAGGGUAUGUCAAUCAUUGGGAUAAGUCCCAACAUACCCUUUCCAAAUGAAAUAUGAACAUAGUAACUACAUUGAACAAAGAUCUUAACGUUUAUAAAGAAUGAUAUAAAGCUAUCAAAAGACAUGAAACGAGUUAAGGUGAGUAAUAACAUAAUUAAAAGUCUUUAAAUUACGAAGGUGACCAGAAUGAGUUGUUAAAGAAAGUGAGACAAGUCUCACGCCUGCCCCCUAACUACUUUAAAAAAGAAAAGAAGGACAUAUAAAAAAUGUAUUUAUGCAAAUAAGGAAAUACUUAUAGCCGGUGAAUAAGGGUGUUCGUGGUUCAGUUUGGAUCGGUUAUUGGUUAAAAUUAAAAUGAAAUCAAUCUAGUCGGUUUUUAAAAUUUCUAAAAUCAAACCAAAUAUGCCCUUUAACUGGCUUCGAAUCAUAUUUGUGUCUUUCAAGUUUGGGUGUGCACAAGUAGACAAUUAAACUUGUAUAAAGUUGAAAAAAAAGACACACAUAUCUCGUACAUGUCAUUUUUUGUCUUACACGGUGUUUUACGCGUAUUUUGUCAUGUAGGACUCAUGUGUUUAUUUAUUUAAAAGUUGAAUAGUUAAAUUGUCUGUUUGUGCAUUAUGAAAGGUAGAGGACAAAGUUAAAAUUUGAAGCCAAGUUUAUGAUCUAAUAUAUGUAUUAUGCUAAUAACUUUUGAAGACAUAUGUAUCUUGAUAGACACAAGUACCUAGUAUAUGAAUAAUUCAAUGCAAAGUUAUUGUUGGUUCAAUUAAGCAAUUAAACAAUACUAAAGUUAUUAAUACACGAAUAAAGUGUUUCAAUUAAGAGAAGGUGUAACUAUCUUUAAAGAAAUGUGAUUUGCCGGAAUAAUCAUGACUUUUCACAUGGUAUACAAAAUAUACUUCUUCGUGGUACUCUUUGUUGACUAUAAACUACUCUUCUUUUUCUUGCAUUUUAAUUUUUUUUUGUUAAAUAUAGACAAUCAAAUAACUAUCUUUGAUUUUGUGUACAUAAGCAAUUGAAAAGUCAAAUAUGAGAGCCAACAACAAAAAUAUCAUGUACUAUUUUAUAACUUAUAAAAUAAAAAUUAAUUUGUACCAAAAAUAGUUUUAAAAAAUAAUACAUAGCUACUAUCUUAACAUGUUCAUAUGACAUUUAAACAAUCUGACAUGAAAAAAAACGUAUAAGACACAUUUUGUUAGAUGACAAGAAAAAUGCACAACAAAUAUCGUCUAUAAGGUACUAUUAUUGAAAUACGACUAAUUACAAGAUUGAGCCUAAACAUAAACAUUAUUGUAUUUAACUAAUAAAAAAUUUCAUAAGUUCGCAUAAAUAAGAUAUAUAUAUAUAUAUAUAUAUUGAAUACGUGUUGUACAAGUUUGACCCAAAAACUCUUUCACAAGUGUUGACCAACUCGAUCAUUUGAAUAUACUUAAAUAGAACUAUAAAUCAUAUUUCCUCCGAUCUAUUUUAUGUGAUAUUUUUUGAAUUUUAAAAUUUAAAUAAAUUUAUUUUUAUUCAUAAAUUUUUUGUAAAUUUUUUAAAUAUUUUAAAUUAUCAAUAUUAUAAAUUAUAGUAUUUUAUUUACGUAGUUUAUAAAUAUAUAAAUUUAAUUUUAGAAAAUAAAAAUUGUAUGAGUAAAUUUUCGAUCAAACUUAAAUUGUUCUCUAAAAAUAAAAAAUAAAACAUAAAUUAAAACAAAGAGAGUGAAUAAUUAAAAAUCCCGCUAGAAAUAGCAAAAGUUAAAGCUAAGAGUUGUAAGAAAUGAGUAAUAAAGAAAAAUCCCUAUUGGAUCUUCCAUCUCCAAUCUUAUUACAAAUUCUCUCAACAUUACCUCCUACCACACUCUUAUACGUCAAAAUCGUCUCCAAAACUCUUCUAAACCUAAUCUUAGAUUCCGAAUUUUUAAAAUUGUCACGUUCAGUAUCUCCAGCUACCAUUAUCAUCCACCAAUUUAACUCUAAUAGGACCAACACGUUAAAGAUUUUGAAAUUCGCAGUCGAUUAUAACUUUGAUCAUGAUUCAAAUGUUCACCUUGAUCUGCAACUUUACUUUCCUGUUGAUCUAGUUUUCCUAGUUGGAUCUGUUCAUGGAUUUGUCUGUUUUAAUUACUUUUUCGGUAAUGUUGAUGGUAUUUACAUCCUCAAUCCAACAACAAGAGAAUAUAUCAUCCUUCCUGAACCACAACGGGUAAGAAAGUGGCCUAAUUUAGUUACUUAUGGCUUUGGUUUCGAUCCUGUUAGGUUCGAGUACAAAGUGGUCAGAAUUUACCAAGAGGAGAUUCGCGAUAGUGAUACUAAUGGUUUUCGUUAUUAUAAGUCUGAAGCACAAUUUUACACAAUUGGGAAAUGGUAUUGGAGAAGUAGUGUAGAACAUGUCAUGUUCUGUUUUGGAUGCAGGGCAUAUGGGGUGAAUCUAUAUGGAAGGAUUCAUUGGUUGGUUUCUGAUGCUAAUGGAAAUGAGUUAAUAUGUUCGUUUAAUUUGGAGAAUGACUUGUUUGAAUCAUUCCCAACUGCUCCAGGUUACACAUGACUUGUUUAUGUGUGUGUGAUAAUAAUGCGGAUACUCAUUUUGGGAGUUUUUGGACGUUGUUUAUGGGUGAUGUUACUGAUUCAUGGGCUAAAGAGAUUGUGAUAAACAUAACUCCUGAAUACAACGAUUGGUUGUGCUAUGAAAUGAUUAAUGUGUUGAAAGUUUUUGAAGAUGGAGAGGUGUUGUUCUUGUGGCGCAAUGAUUUCUUAUUCUUGCACCAUCCUGUGAAGAAAACUUUAAAAUCGCUGGAUAUCCGUGAAGGGAACUUGUUGGCAUGUGGGCAUGUAUCAAGUUCUUUAUCUCUCAAGAAUUUCGAAGCAGAAGUUGUGAAUGUCUUCUAGAUUAUUGUCAAAGGUGUGUACUGUACAACUUGAGUAUACUUUUUUUUUGUUACUAUUCUAUGUUGUGAAGGUCUUUUAGAAGCAUGUAUUUUGUACUACUAAAAUAGAGUAUAUUUGAUGGGAAAGUUGUGCAUACAAAUCUGCAAGUAAUAUAUGAUAGUUAAACUAUUUCUUAACAGUUCAGUUUAUUUAUAUGACCGCACUAAAACCAAGUAGCAAAACUGUGUUUUCCUCUGUCUGUUUCUCUGUGUAGGACUGUAAGUAUAUUAGUUAGAAUUUAUUUAAUUGAUAGUUGAAUUAUUAAAUACAACUAACUGUUUAUGGGUUUGUGUUAAUAGUUUAUUAAUCAUACACAAGAAAUUAAAAAUUGAUUCAUUUAAAAGAGGGGGAAAUAGACAAUAAUUCAUUUGUAAGAAAUGGGUGAUGAAGAAAAAUCACUGAUGGAUCUUCCAUCCCCAAUCUUGUUACAAAUCAAAACCCUCUCCAAAUCUUAUCUAAAUUAACCUUAGAUUCCGAAUUUUUAAAACUAUCACGUUCAGCAUCUCCAACUAGCAUCAUCAUCAACCAAUUCAACUCUUUUUGGAUUAACAGCUUAAAGUUGUUGAGAUUCGAUUGUGUCGAUAAUAAUUGUGAUCAUGAUCCACAUGUUGACCUUCAUCUGCGACUUUCCUUUCCAAUAGAUCCAUUUUUCCUCAUUGGAUCGUAAUAACAGAUAGUAUUAAAUAAAUAGUAUUAUAUAAUAUUAGUUUUUACUGUGUACUAAUUCAAGUCCUAUUAGGAUUAGUACUCCUUAAUCCUAGUCCUAUUAGGAUUAGUACUCCGUCCUAUGUCUCCUAUAUAUAUCUCUCAUGUAUUCCCUUAUUAGGUUAAUAGUUCAAUACAAUCAAUAUUUCUUCAUGGUAUCAAGAUCCAGAAAACCUAGAUCUUCUUUUCUCUAGGUUUUUUUUUUUCUCUCUUUAGGGCACCGAUCGUUCCCGCUCUUCUCUUGGGCGGCGGCAACCAUGACAACCGAGGUGGAUCCUCUCGAUUCACUUCCUUUUGGCAUUAAACUCCUCUCAGGCAUCUUCAUGCCCUCAUUCCCGAAAAAUUAUCAGACAUAAAUUACCCUACAUGGAAAAUCACCGUUCUUACAGCCCUUGAGGCCAAUUGCCUUCUCAAAUACGUCGAUGGAAGCACAGAACCGCCGCCGGCAGUCAUCACCGCCACGGACAAAUAAAAAAAACAAUCCGGCCCAUGCCGCCUGGAAAGUUGUGGAUGGCCAGAUCUGAUCAUGUUUUAUUGUGGUCAUCUCUCCCACGGUUCAGAAACACGUCCGAUCCUACAUAACUGCUUCAGCCCUGUGGACGGCCCUAGCAACACGCUAUGCAUCAAUUUCCCACUCUCAUAUUUUUCAAUUGCGUGAUCGUCUCCACACAAUUACCAAAGGCACGAAAACUAUGGCGAAGUAUUUAGACGAGGUCUCCACCAUCAUCACAGCCCUUGACACCGUGAACAAAAUCAUUCCCGAAAAAGAUCUUGUCAUGUGCGUCAUUCGGGGGCUUCUAUCAGCUUACUCCUCCAUUAAACAGGCGGUUUGCAUCAGUCCAAUGCCCGUUGACCUGGCUACUCUCUCCUCGUGGCUAAAAAGUGAAGAAAUUAACGUGGAUCUGGAGAGCAAACUUCUUCUUCGAGAAGCCGCUGUUAUGGAGCCGGCCACCGCCCUCACCGCAAGCCAGAACUAUCACGGGGGGCGUGGUGGCGGCCGGCUAUGGAAGAAACAGCGAAGGCCGCGGGCGCGGCGGUCGGCAGGGCAGUCGUCCGAUGUACGACGGUCAGCAGCACGACAGCAAUAACAGCCUGCACUCCUUCGGCAGCGGUGGGCAGUCAUCUUCCAGCGGCGGGCAGGGCACUUACGAGCGGGAUUGUCCAACUUGUCAAAUCUGUCAGAAAAUAUGACACACCGCUGCUAGUUGCUGGUUUCGGUAUGAGGAGAGUCGAAAUAGUGAUAACCGUGCCAAUUAUGCAUCUCAAGCCGGCCCUUACUCUGAAUGGCUGUUGGAUACUGGGGCCAACAUGCACGUUACUUCUGAUCUAUCCAAGCUUAACGCUCCAAAUCCAUAUCAUGGCUCCAAUGGUAUUACUGUUGGAAACAGUGAGUCCCUUAAUAUUUCUCACACUGGCACGGGUACCAUUAAAACCCCCACCGCUAUCUUUCACCUAGGUAACCUUACCCACGUCCCUUCUAUUAAAACCAAUCUCCUUUCAGUUCACCAAUUCACAAAAGACAAUAAUUGCUCACUCUUGUUCACCUCUAAUAAUUUUCACAUCCUAGACAAUACUACCAAGAGGUUGAUUUUUCAGGGCCCCUGUGAGCAUGGUCUGUACGUUCUUCCUGGCACAAGUUUGUCUGCCCACCCAGUUUUAGAAAGCGUUCUUGUGGUUCCGGUGGCUCUUUCGGCUGAUGGCCACAGUCUGUUGUGGCACAGUCGUCUGGGUCACCCGUUUACUCAAAUAAUAAAUUCUUUAAUGUCUCAAUUAGGUUUUUCUUCCAUUCAUGUAAACAAUUGUGACUCCUGUUCAAUUGCUAAAUCUUAUAAAUUACCUUUUACUUUAUCUGAGAAGCGUACAACUGCACCUUUUCAACUUAUUCAUUCUGACCUAUAAGGUCCUACUGCUGUUCCUUCAUUUACUGGUUUUCGCUAUUAUAUUUGUUUUGUGGUUGAUUUUACAAAAUACACUUGGUUGUACCCACUAAAACACAAAUCACAGGCAUACACCACCUUUGUCACUUUUGAAAAAAUGGUCAAAACACAAUUCAAUUCUCAUGUUAAACUUUUUCGAAGUGACAAUGGAAAGGAAUAUGUAAAUAACAUAUUUGGCCAGUUUCUGCAAUCCCUUGGAAUUAUACAUCCAACCUCUUGUCCAUACACUCCCGAACAGAAUGGGGUGGCUGAGCGUAAGCAUCGCCAUCUCAUUGAAAAGGUGGUUACUCUUCUACAUUAAUUUCAUCUCCCUGUCUCCUUUUCGGUAGAAGCUCUAGCCACCGCAAACUACCUCAUUAACAGAAUGCCCAGUCACACCCUCUCCAACAAAUCACCCUAUCAACUCCUUUACCAAGAACUUCCCAAUUAUACCAACCUCUACGUCUUUGGGUGCCUUGCCUACCCUUGGCUACGCCCUUAUAUUACUCACAAAUUACAACCCCGAUCCCAUCCUUGUAUUUUUUUGGGCUAUCAUCCUACCUCCAAGGGUUAUCGCUGUCUUGACCCACAAACUCAUAAAGUCUACAUAUCUCAUCAUGUCAAAUUUGCCGAAAAUGAGUUUACGUACGAGUCUAUUUCCUCCUCCACAAAUACAUCAUUCAUUGGCGUCUUUCCUCUUUUUCCAACAUACUCACAGGGUCCCUCACCACCUUUCCCCACACCUCCACCCACCACCCAACCACCCUUCAUCACCCCUUCGACCGUCACCCACAAUACACCCGCAACCACCACCCACACUCACAACCAACCCGAACCACCCCAUACCCACAACAUCUCCAGCCCGAUCCGUUUUGGGUCCUUCCCAGCCACCCCCGAAUCACCACCACCCGUGCCACCCCCACUACUCAUCCCAUGUUAACUUGUGGCAAAGUCGGUAUCUUUAAACCCAAAACAUUUCAUGCUACCAUACUACCAAAUACACCCCUUCCCGAUAGUGAAUCAACAACCUACUCUGUUGCCUCAAAAAAUGCUUAUUGGCGUCAUGCUUUGGAUGAAGAGUUUAAGGCUUUGACUGAUCAGAAAACUUGGGUUCUUGUACCUAAGCCCCAUGGGCUGUAAAUGGGUGUACAAAAUUAAACACAAUGCAGAUGGCAGUAUUUCCAGGUACAAGGCUCGUUUGGUUGCUAAAGGCUACAAUCAGGAGUAUGGGCUUGAUUACUCCAAGACAUUCAGUCCUGUUAUUCGGCAGAAAACCAUUCGCCUGGUACUGUCACUCGCCGUGCGCAACAAUUGGCUCAUCAAUCAGUUGGAUGUUUCCAAUGCUUUUCUUCAUGGCAUGCUUGAUGAAACUAUCUACAUGACGCAACCACCGGGCUAUGUUGAUCCCCGCUUCCCUCAACAUGUUUGCAAACUCCGGAAGUCUCUGUAUGGGCUCAAGCAAGCCCCCGUGCUUGGUACACACGUCUAAAAAUGUUCCUCGAGGGACUCGGCUUCACGUGUUGCGUACACGACAGGAGUCUGUUUACUCGACAUUCAGCACACGGUACAGUCAUUCUUCUUGUCUAUGUAGAUGAUAUCAUUAUUACAGGCUCUACUGCAACUCUCAUUCAGGAUGUCACUCGAACUAUGCAUAUUACCUUCAAAAUGAAGGACCUUGGCCCGUUACAUUAUUUCCUAGGAAUAGAGGUUUCUCGGAAUGGCAGCGGCUUGUUUCUUCAUCAGUCAAAAUAUGCUCGAGAUCUGUUGCAGAAAGCUGGACUGGAAAAAUGCACCAGUCAACCAACACCGAUGGCAGUCUCUUCGUCUACAAAUGGAGCCGACACCCCCUUUGCCGAUAUCACCCACUUCCGCAGCCUCAUUGGGGCUCUACAGUAUCUGGCCAUUACCCGUCCUGACAUCCAGUUUGCUGUCAACCGAGUUGCUCAGCGCAUGCAUAAACCAAGUGAACAUGAUUACCAUUGUCUAAAAUGCAUUCUUAGGUACAUAUUUGGCAUUCUUGGUCGUGGUUUACUCAUUCGACGCGGGGACUUGGAGCUUCGGGGUUUCUCAGAUUCAGAUUGGGCGAAUGAUAAAAAUAACAGAAAAUCUACAUCGGGGUUUCUCGUUUUUUUGGGGCCGAACCUGAUCUUCUGGUGUACAAAAAAACAACCCAAGGUCUCUCGGUCCUCGACUGAAGCUGAAUACCGCGCCCUUGCUCUUCUUGCUGCUGAGACCAUGUGUGUCACAUAUAUUCUUCGCGAACUCCGCGCCACUCACACUGUUCAUGCUCUCUAUUGUGACAACAAAUCAACCAUCUGUGUGGCCAAGAAUUCCGUCCUACACACCAGAAUGAAGCAUGUUGAUACCGAUUGUCUCUUUGUUCGUGAUGAAGUUCAGGCCGGCACCAUGACUGUGCAGUAUGUACCCACUGAAGACCAACCGGCUGAUAUUCUCACCAAGCCUCUCCCGAGCCGACAUCACCAUUACCUCAGUUCCAAGCUUCCGUUCGCUUCCGCUCAGCUCAGCUUGAGGGGGGAUAAUAACAGAUAAUAUUAAAUAAAUAGUAUUACAUAAUAUUAGUAUUUACUGUGUACUAAUACAAGUCCUAUUAGGAUUAGUACUCCUUAAUCCUAGUCCUAUUAGGAUUAGUACUCCUUCCUAUAUCUCCUAUAUAUAUCUCCCAUGUAUUCCCUUAUUAGGUUAAUAGUUCAAUACACUCAAUAUUCCUUCAGAUCGGUUCAUGGUUUUGUUUGUUUUAAUAGCUUUGUCGGUGAUGUUGAUAGUAUCUAAAUACUCAAUCCAACAAUAAGACAAUAUAUCAUCCUUCCUCAGCCAAGCCACAAGGGGUAAGAAAUUGGCCUAAUUUGGUUGCUUAUGGCUUUGGCUUCGAUCCUGUUAGGUUACAGUACAAAGUGGUUAGUUAUCGACAGGAGAUUCACGAUGAUUUUCAUAAUUACAAGUCUGAAUAUUGGAGAAGUAUUGACCAUUUCAUGUUCCAUUUUAGAUGCAGCGGAUAUGGGGUGAAUUUAUAUGGAAAGAUUCAUUGGUUGGUUUCUGAUGCUAAUCGAAAUGAGUUAAUAUGUUCAUUUAAUUUGGAGAGUGAGUUGUUUGAAUCAUUCCCAACUUCUCUAGGAUACACUAAAGAAAAUUGUCCAAAUUUAUGAAGUUUGGGAGUUUUUGGACGUUUUUUUGUGUGUGUGUGUGUGAUAAUAAUGCAGAUGCUCAUUUUGAGGUAUGGGUGAUGAAAGAAUACGGAGUUACUGAUUCAUGGGUUAAACAGAUUGUCAUAAACAUAACUCCUGAAUGCAACAAUUAUUGGUUGUGCUAUGAAAUGUUUAAUCUGGUGAAAGUUUUGGAUGAUAGAGAAGUGUUGUUCUUGUGGCGCGAUGAUUUCUUGUUCUUGCACCAUCCUGUGAAGAACACAUUGAAAAGGGUUGAUGUCUGUGAUGGAAACUUUGUAGCAUCUAUGAAUGUAUCAAACUCUUUAUCUCUCAAGAUUUUUAAAGUAAAGGUUGUAAAUGUCUUUAAGAUAUCUUGUACUACUAGAGUAUUGUGUAUUUUUAGCUUUGUGUUUUACAUCCUUGGCUAACAAUAACAUACCAUCAUGUUAUUUGAGGGGAAAGUUGUUUGUACAAAUCUGCAAGUAAUAUAUGAUAUUUAAUCUAAUCAAAGACAUACCAAAAACAAAAAAUAUCUGAUAGCAUUGUAGACUGAACAUCGGGUGCGUGGACAAUUCGAGCAACAUUAAAACAAAAGAGUUGGAAUUUUAAGAAAAUAAGAAAGGCUGAGAGAGAAAUACUGCAAUGUAAACAAAGGAAAAUAUUCAAAAGGUAAUGUAAUGAAUGAGUUUUGCUUGUAAGCUUCUAAUAUUCUCUCCUUAUUUGGUACUCUUGUUAUUUUAGAUUACAAAAAAUCCCAAAUAUAUCAUUGAGUUUUUAGAAAGAAAAAAAAACUGAACGAAAUGCCUGUUGGUGCCACUUUCGGAAGAUAAGUUUGGAUCUAACUCAAUUUUAAAAUUAGUUGAUGAAUCUUGAGAAUUACUUAAUCUCGAAAACUAUUUGUAAUUCGAUUUUGUUCUAUUCCAUUAUAUAUUAAGAUGGAAUUGGAAUGGAACGGGAUGAGAUAAACGGGACGACAUUUUUAGUUAUUUCAAAAUCGAUUAAAUUUUUUUAGUUAUUGUGAUUUUUCAAACCAAAUAUGAAUAUUUUUUUUAUUUGUCUAAGUUUAAAUUAUUAGUUUUUAAAUUUAUAAUGUAAUUUUUAACUUAAGUUUAUUUUAAAGAUAGUUUAUUUUUUAAUUUUUACUUAUUAAAUUUACAAGUUAAGUCAAUAAGGUUUCAAGAUUUGAAUCUUUUGAAGUUUAUAAGCUAUUACUUAUUAAUAUGUCAUAACUUAAGGUUAUAUUAAUAAAUUGUGAUUUAAAUAACUUUAAUUUGUAAUUUUAAAAAAUUAAAUAAAUAUAAGAAUAAAAAAUUACACAAAUUAAAAAAUAUAAAAUAUCAACUAUAAUAUAUAAUAUAAAUUAAUUAAUAAAUAAUAAUUAAUCGAAAACCGAACUGACACCGAACUGGAUCGAGAUCCGGAUAAAUCGAUACCGGUACACCGAUAUCAAAUCACGAUUACAUUACGUUUCGUGUACCAAUUCAUGGUGUCUCGUUCCGUCUCGUAGGCAAUCGAAUCGGUGUGAACUGAAACGGUAUAGAUCCGUUGCCCAAUCUUACUUAAGAGUAACUUAACAAAAAACUUUCUGUUAAUAAUUAGGUUUAUUUAUAUGACCCAUUGGUGCCAGUUAUGAAUAUGAAUUUUGGAUAUAACUCAAUCUCAAAAAUAAGAAUGAUUUUUCAAAAAUCUGAAGUAUUCCUUAACGGAAGCAUGCACAAUAUACCAUGGAGUUCAAUAAUAAAUCAAAACUACUUUAACGGACUUUGAUACCAAGUAAAUAUAUAGAAAAAGAAAAUUUAUCUAAAUACUCUCUCUGUUUCUAUUUACUUGUCCAUAUUUUCUCUUUAGAUGUCUCUAUUUACUUGUCCAUUUGACAAAUCAAGAAAGAACAAAAAAAAUCUAUUAUACCCUCAUUUAAACUUCUUGAAAAAAAUUUUUAAAAAUUUUUAAUUCAUCUUUUUUAAAAUCAUAUUUAAUAAUGGUAAAGUUGUAACUACACUAUGUUAAUUGUUAUUAGCUUAGUAUGUUUGUCUUUUCUAAAGUGUACAACUAAACAAGUAUAGAGGGAGUAUAUAUAAGGAUAUUAACUUUCUAUUUUUUUUUUUAAUGUUGCACUUAAUUCUCAUGUCCCAUGUGAUGUUCACUGAGUCAAAACAAAUAACUUUGAAAUUUGAUCUAAAUACAGAUAUUUUAUCUCAAACAUUGCCACAUAACACAUCUAGAUUCUUCCACCAAACCAAUUUAUGCCUAUAAAUAGGAGAACUCCCAAGUGAAAAAAGUGGAAAGUUAUUUUGGUCGAGAAGAACCAAAACAACUUUUCCAGCAAAGAAAAAGUUAGCUCAGAAAACCUAAAAAAGAAGAGGCAAAAUAGAGAGUUUUAGGAAUUUUUCUUUAACAAGGGUGGUUGCCCCUCUCUUGUUUAUCCAAUGAUUUUUAUUUUUUAUUUUUCAGAAGCAACAACCCUUGGAUUCAUGUUAAUUUCUUGGAAAUGACUGGAUCAUUCAAAUGGCAAAUAUACAUAUAUUUCACAACCUUUGGCAAUAAUCUUUUUUUUUUGUGUCUCUGAUAAUCUAUCUACGGUAUGUAUGUGUGUUGUAUUAGAGGCGAUGAUGAUAAUGAUGAUGAUUUUUUUGAAUUCUGAGCUAACUGGAUUGGGGAUGGAGACUAAACGAUCCGUAUCUUGGCUUGGCAAAUCAUCUUGAUUUUGCAGCCAUGGCGUGGUUGCCCUCUCUUUCGUCCUCAUCUCUUUGCAGAUCAGAGCCUCAAAAUUGUUAUCAACAACAUUUGAAAUAAUAAUUCAAAAACUAUUUUUCAUUUUUUUGAAAAUAUAAUAUAUUAUGCUCUUCUAUUAUCUAUCUAUCUGAUUUUUAUUUAUUUAUUACCUUAAAAUCAUGAUGCACUUAAUGUAGAAAUUUCUAUAUUUUAGGUUUGUGAUUUUUCGAUGAAAUUUGUAAGUUCUUUUUUUUUUAAUAGUUGUGAUUUUUUCCACUGGUAUAAGAAAGAGUUGUGACUUUUUAGGGGUAUGAUUUCUCGGAAUGGUCAACAAAAUGCUUGUUUAUGCAACUCUUUGUUGACUAUAGGCCUAAUUCAUCGGUGAUUCUUAAAAUUGAUUUUAAUUUUCAGUUAGAUACUCUAAUUAAAUUUUGUUGAUUUAUAUAUUAUAGGUAGGUUUUCACGAUAUUAUUUUGAUACUUUUUGCUUACAAGCAUAUUGAGUAUUAUACAUGCUCGCUGUUAAAAGUCUUAUUCACAAUUUUUUUUUAAAAAAAUCUCUUUUUCUAUAUUUUUUAGCUACAAUAUCCGAAAC
rnacentral:lncRNA from 1 species